rnacentral:lncRNA from 1 species
UUUUGUGGACAAGGCCAAGGAACUGUUUCUGCAGAUGAAGGAUAAGAAUAUUAACCCAGAUGUGGUUACUUAUAACUCUUUGAUUCACGGUUUUUGUUACGCUAAUGAUUGGAACGAGGCGAAUUGUUUGCUUAUUGAGAUGAUGGAUCAAGGGGUACAGCCUGAUGUUGUGACUUUCAAUGUGAUCAUGGAUGAGCUCUGCAAGAAUGGGAAGAUGGAUGAAGCAAGUAGGUUGUUGGACCUGAUGAUUCAGCGUGGUGUGCGUCCAAAUACUUUUGUCUAUAGCACAUUAAUGGACGGGUUUUGCUUGACUGGUAGAGUUAAUCAUGCGAAGGAACUAUUUGUUUCUAUGGAGAGUAUGGGUUGCAAACAUACUGUUUUUAGUUACAGUAUUUUGAUAAAUGGUUACUGCAAGAAUAAGGAAAUAGAGGGAGCGUUAACCCUUUAUAGCGAAAUGCUCUCUAAAGGAAUUAAGCCAGAUGUUGUUAUAUAUAACACCUUGUUUACUGGCCUUUUUGAAAUACACCAGGUUGAGCGUGCUUUCAAGCUGUUAGAUGAGAUGCAACGUGAUGGCGUGGCAGCUGAUACCUGGACAUAUAGAACCUUUAUUGAUGGGCUCUGCAAGAAUGGUUAUAUUGUAGAGGCAGUUGAACUAUUUCGUACUUUGAGAAUUCUCAAGUGUGAACUUGAUAUUCGAGCCUACAACUGCCUCAUUGAUGGAUUAUGUAAAUCCGGCAGACUCGAAAUUGCACGGGAACUAUUUCGUAGUUUGCCUUGUGGAGUCCUAAUAGCAGAUGUUGUAACAUAUAACAUCAUGAUCCAUGCGCUUUGUACUGAUGGGAAAAUGGACAAGGCACAUGAUUUGUUUCUUGAUAUGGAAGCAAAAGGUGUAGCACCCAAUUGUGUCACAUUUAACACGCUUAUGCUAGGUUGCAUCCGCAAUAAUGAGACAUCAAAAGUUGUUGAACUCCUUCACAGAAUGGAUGAGAGAAAUGUAAUACCAGAUGGAUCUACACUUUCAAUUGUUGUGGACUUACUUGUAAAGAAUGAAAUUAGCUUAAACUCGAUUCCACAAUUCAAGAGUCAAAGUUAAAGUGAGUUUAUAUUGAUUUAGUCUCAUGUUUCUUCUGCCUGAAAACCCGAUCUGGAGGAUCCCAUUCUUAUUACAACAUGUAAAGGAGUGUUGUCUAAUGUUGGCAUGUUCCUAGGUUCUGUCCAUGGAUUCUGUUUGCAGACAUGGCUAACUUCUUGUCCAACAGAUAAGUUUUAAAGUCUUUCAACUUUAUGUUGUAAAAUAACAUUUUUAUUAUUCAAUUCAUGAGUUUUCCUUCUGUAACACAUCCUUCUCAUUAGCUGGAAGUGCAAAUUUUUUAGGCUUUUCCUUAUGGCCUCUUUUUCUUCUCUAAAUAAAAUGGCAUUUUGUUUCCCUCCUGUGAGGUACAACGUUUAUGUUCAAACUUUCUGUUAGUUAAGUUGGUUGUCUUUGAUAUAGGGAACUUCCAGUUGAACUGAUUUGUAAUUCGAGUAUAUGAGAUUACCAACUGUAUUGGGAAUUGAUGCCAAAUUAAUUAUGUCAUCAGGUUUUUCAAUCAGCGUUCAUCAUUUAUUUCUAUUAACAGUUAAUAGCACAGCUUGUCUUCUCAGCUUCAUUGAUUCCUCUAAAAAAUAAUCUUGUAAAGACAAUUUUUUUUUUUUUUUUUGGCGUGGUAAAUGCUAGAUAGUUUGUGGUCUGAAUGAUACUAAUAAUUGCCCAAAUUGCCAUGUAACAAGGAGUGUUGCAUAGUGAUGUCAUGCUCACAGGUACCACUCAUCAACAUGGCCAACGCUUUCGAUGCAGUCAUUAUUAUGGAAAUUCAAGAGUUCUCCUCCUAAGAGGUCUCUCUCUCGUUCUCUUAAUUUCCUUAUUCUGUUUUGGAAGUAAUGUAAUGGGAAAAUAGCAUUUAAUUUCCUUGUGUGUGACAUUUUCUUCUAUAAAUGCUAUAAAAUAUCUUUUUUUUUCAUCAUUGAUAUGUAUUACACAAUCAGAAGACUACUCGUAUUUAUAUGAAACAUCUACUUUAUGGCACAGUUCAGAUUUUUAUCCUUAUAAAUAUUGGAGGGAUAUCUUUAUGUUUCUUCUGUGAUAACGUUUCUGCGUGCUGCAACCUUUUUAUUAGAUUGAUAGAAUGUGAAUACAAGGAAAUUCUGUUUGAUAAUCUCGGCAAACCAGGAUUAAUAUGAAAUGGAGCGUCAUCAACAAAUACUUAGCAUAUUGCUGACUAUGAUUUGUUCUCCUCCCCUCAUUCUUUUUGUGAGUAGAAUUGGAUUGUGAAACUUGUUAUGUCAGCACAAGUGUUCUUACAAGUUGACGUAAAAUACACUGACUUGAAAUAAUGGCAUGGUAAUUGGUAUAGAUAAGCUAGCAUGAGUAUAUUUUGUCACCAAUUUCGCCAACCGCGUCUGGGUGUGGAAAUUAUAUUGCAUUUCUAAUGUCAUUUGAAAGAAAAACUUGCAAAAUUUGUAAUUUGUUAAAUCUGAACCGUGGUUCACAUCUACUCUUCCCGAACUUGAGUCAUAUGAUUCAAUUUUUUAGUGGGCAUGGCGAGAUAGAUUUCUACCAAGCCCAACCCAUUUAUCUACCCUUUUGUAAUUUUCUAUCAUGCAUAUAUUUAUAUUUUUGUAUAGUUAAUAUCUAAUUAUUUAUGUAUUUUUAUCGAAUAACUACUAAUUAUAUUUUUCUAAAAAAUCGGCAUGAAAAGUUCAACUUAAUAUUGAAUUAAAUUUUGAUAAGUAUAUGUCAAAUGUUUGGAAUUCUUUUUCUAGUCUUCAUGAUUGAUUAAUUGGAAAAUAAAUGUGUAUGUAUUAAAAUGGUAUUGGAUAAACAUGCCCCUAUCACCCAAGUUUUCCUUUGGAUAAUUUCCUAACUUGCAAGUUGAUAUCGAUGUUUAAAAAGAACCAAAAAAAAAAAAAAAAAAAUACAUUGAAAUCUUUAUAAAUUACUUCUUGACCUAAUAGUUGACACUUUCUCACCUUAUUCUUGAGGUUGAAGGUUUGAAUUUUCUUAUGUGGAUUUUAGGUGAACUACAGAAAAACAGCUUAUAUGAGACAUUUUCAAAAUAAGUAUGAAUGUGGUACUUAUUCAUCAGAUGGACAUAUUAAUGACGUGAUAAAUUCGUGUUAUGUAAAUUUUCCAGACUGUAUAUUUAUAUUAUAAUAUUAAAUAAAUAAAUAAGAAGAAAGAAAGGAAAAUGCAGCUUCCAAAUUUUUUCAUAGAUUGGCUAUAUGCACAAACAGCAAAUCAAAACAAAAAGAAAGGAUGUGACAUGACCUUACUUCCUGUUAUCCCAGUUAUGGAAUUCAAGUCAAUCUUUGAAGUAAUGCACUUUUAUUACUCUAUGACAGAGACAGGUCCAAGUCUUUCUUCCAAAUUCAUAAUCUUCAACAUUUCUCCAACCAAUCAAGCAAGGCUAGAGAUAGGUAACAUACAUUUUGAUGUACAUUUGGCUUUUGUAUCAUCUACUUCACUAGUGAUCCAUUAAAUGGAUCCACCAUUAACGUAAAUGCUAGUUUAACUAUUGACAGUGGAGCAAGUAUGUAUGUGGUCCCUACGCACAAGCAUACACGCCCAUUAAAGCAUUUACUCUCCUCAUCAUUGGAUAUGAAUUUUGUGAACUAUAUAUCUUUUUGGGGGUUUCAUUUAUCUUUCCGGUCUCUUAUGAUCAUUCACGGCUCCUGCUGCUGCUUCUUAUUGGCUCUUUGACAUCCUCUGUCUUGUUCUUGCUGUGUGUGUCAGCCACUAGCAACUGCUUCAAGCAAUGUGAGUUUGUUGCGUGAGCUUCCGUUUUGGUUAUUUUCAAUUAUUAUUUUUGUUGAUGGGUUUGUGAUUUUGUGCUGUAUUAUUACAGGAUUACACUGUUUAUAUGGAAGAGAGAAGAUAUGAUGAGCCUUAGCUGGUUCAGGAUUCGGACCAUCAGAUUCUUUCGGAUAUUCUUGGAAGGUUUAUAUUUCAAUCUCUUUAGCCGAAUUUACCUAUUAUAUUUUUAUCAUAUAAACGCUAUGCAAAAUGUUUAUGUUAAUGUAUGGCGAAAAUUGAAAAAUGGAAAAUAAAAAUAUUUGUGCUGCUUUCACUAUUUAUCUAUGUUAAUCUGUUUGAUAAAAUGAAGUGGAUGUCAUUAUUUCCAUGCAUCAGUAAUUACAAUCCAUAUUAUGCUCUUGCUAGUCUGUGCUCCAUUUGAACAUCGCAACGAACUUAUUUACUUACAUAUAUUUUGUGCUUUCUGGUUGGAAAUUGGAAGUUUUAACCAAUUUCUGAUCAGAAACAGCCCUUUUGAGUGCUAUGGCAGAAACCGCAGACGCGGCCUAACCUUCAUUUUUAAUUUGUAUCAAUUGGUAGUUUUUUAUAACUCUCUCUUUUCCCCUCUAUCAAUAAUGAAUGGUAUUCGCUAGAGAAACCGUAAGGGGACUAAUCAUUGUGAAAAGCACUAGGUGAUAACUAGCAGUUUCAAUUUGACAGCAAAGAAGCUGCUAAGGAAUCAAUUCUCUGUACAGCCACAAGCAUGGUUUUUCUGGAUUUGCCGCAGUCUUAACAGUCUCAAGCCAAGUUAACUGCAGGUGUUAUAAUGUUGGUGAAUGAAAUCUGUUUUAGCUGUCCAAAUUUGUUUUAUUAACCAAUAUUUUCUGUUGAUACGUUUUGUAUGAUGCAUUUGUGCAGAUCACCCUGCCGUGGUCUGUAUUGUACCAAAUAGGACACUCAGUUUGCACACAACCAAAAUGUUGUGAAUGAAAUUCCUUCAAAAGGCCAUUCAGGCGCUGGAAGUUAUUUUCAGAUUCAUGGAAAUAACUAUAAUACUGGUGGCAUUUAGUUUCCAAGUGAUCUUGGUAGUUCAAUAAGUUCUAGUUCUACACUUGUUUCCAAAGGUUUUGGUUACAUGAUGGUCUGCCCGUUGAAUUACAAACUUGUGAUGAUUUGUACAAGAGGAAAAAAUGUAUUGGUUGGAAUUUUUGUUUCAUAUGAUAUAACUCUGUGAAACAGCUUUACAUUUUGUGUUCAAGUUGAACAACAUACAAUUUGAACGAAGAUUAUUCAAUCAAAUUGAAGAUUUCUGUUUGAAUAUUUUGAAUGACAAAAUUAAAUUUACUUUCAUGCAGAUGCAGUAGCAUUUAAUCAAGUUCCUUGUGCUGUUGAAACAAAAAUAUAACAUCCUUGCUUGCAUUUCAACAUGAUAUGAUGCUACUCUUUUACUGUUAACCAACACACAUACAUCAUGUAGGCCUAAUGGCAAAUGUUGUAAUAUAUAACAUCAUGAUCCAUGGGCUUUGUAAUGAUGGGCAAAUGGACAAGGCAUCAUGAUCCCCCCCCCCCUCCUUUUUUGCUAUGGAUUGUAUUUCUUUUUUUUUCUACUUUUACUUGCGUUGACAAUUUGAGCUUGCUGUCUUGUGGUCUUAGAACCUGCUAAAGUAAGCGUGUAAGCGACAGUGAAGAAGGGGAAGGGUUUACUCGUCAUUUUCUUUUUGAAAGCAAUGCGUUUUAUGCGGUGAUAUUUUUUUUAUCUACGUUGUGAAAAAAUUUGACUGAUUUUGAAGAUCCUUAAAGAUCGUCCAUCUUGGUUCUGGCAUUGUUGCAGCCUUGAAGUUUGCAAAAUGAUUCCUGCUGGAUAAAUUGAACAGCUGCCUCUUUGAUGGAUUAUGUAAAUCUGGCAGACUUGAGUUUGCAUGUGAAUUGUUUCGUAGUUUGCCUCGUCGAGUCCUCGUGGCAGAUGCUGUAACAUAUAACAUCAUGAUCCAUGGGCAUUGUGACGACGGCCGAAUGGAUAAGGCACAUGAUUUAUUUCUUGAAAUGGAAGAAAAUGCUGUGGCACCCAAUGUGAUCACAUUUGGUACGUUUAUCCAUGGUUUUAGCCAAAUCAAUGAGCCAUCAAAAGUUAUUGACCUUCUUCACAAGAUGAGGGAGAAAAAAGUAAUGCCAGAUGCAUCUAUAGUUUCAAUCGUUGUGGACUUACUUGUAAAGAAUGAAAUUAGUCUGAACUCACUUCCGUCAUUUCCUGUCCAAGAGCGACAGGGGGAAGUUGAUGAGUGAAAUGUCAAGUUGUAGCAGCAUGUGCUUUCAGCCCAAAAUCCUGAUCCGCAGCAUCUCAUUCAUGUUACAAAAUGACAUGUUGGCUGGUGACAGCAUGUUCUCUCCGGUGCUGUUAAUGGAUUCUGAUUGUUCUUGUGAUCUGGAGAGUUUCAUUCAUAUUACAGAUCCUUAUCAGGACGAGCUAGCAUAUGUGAUCACCAACUGUACAUGGUUGUUGAUGCCAAAUUAAAUUAUGGUAUCAUGUUUUUCAACUUGUUAUUUAAUAUAGUGCUUCCAUUGAACGGCCACAAGAAACUGUAGAAUCACCGUGUCUUGUUUAGAAGCUAAUGAAUUAGUUGCACCUUGUCACUUUAUUGAGACUUGAUUGUCAUUUGUGCUUUGAAUUUACAGCAUAUUUUAUCCUUGCUGUACUCUUUGCAUAAUCACUUUUGAGGGCUGCUAGUAUGUAUAAUUGAAAAACCUUAUAUAAAUUGUAAGCAUUUUUAUUUAACUUGUUGUAAACGUCCAGUAUAUGUCUCUCCUGUGAAAUGAUUCAUUCUCCAUGCUGCUAGGGCCUAGGCUUAUGACUCUCUGAAAUGAUUUACCCUCACCUGCGCACAGACAUUUAUCACAUUCGAGAAAUCUUCAAACAAUGUGAAAAAAAUGCCUCAAACACGACAUAAACUUAGUUGUUUACAUGAAAAGUGGCAGAAACUUGGUGAAAUUACCGAUUAAACUUCCAAAUAACAUUUCAAAUGGUAUUGUGAAAAAUUUCACUCUUUUGGUAAUAAAAAAGAACCUUAUUUCUAGUUCUCUAUUAACAAUCUUACCACUAAGUUCUCUCUUAAGUAAACACAUAUAUAUGUUAAUUUAUUGUUAAUAUAAACAAAACUAAAUAUUUAUAACUUAAAAGAUAAGUGUUGAAUAGAGGCGUUCUCACAGGGAAAAAAAAAAAGUAUUUAAAAAUAGUGGUGAUAUCAUAAUUUUUUAUAUUGAUACGAGAAUAUCACACUAAAUUUUUAUACCAUGUAUUGGCAAGACAAAGUUUCUUGAAACUGACAAACUUUUCUCUAUGAAGAUUGAAGACAAUAUGAUAAGAUAAAAUUUAUCAAAAGCAUAUAUGCUUGCCAGGGCUGGACCUUUGAUUUUUAGUCCUCGCCUUUCGUUCUUGUUUCAUAUUCUUCUGCUAACAAAUCUUGAUCAGGAUGAGUCUCCUUUUUUCUUUAAAAAAAACCCACACGUAAAGUCUUGGCCAUAAGCCUCAAGACCUAUUGGCUGUUGCAGUGGUGAGUUCACUCUCAGGAAUCAAAUCUUUCAAAUUCAAGCGAAUUUGAAGAAGCUCGAAUUUGAAGAAAUUUCAAAUGCCUCGUGCAGGCCUAAUGCCAAAUGUUGUAACAUAUAACAUCACGAUUCAUGGGCUUUGUAACGAUGGGCAAAUGGAUGAGGUACAUGAUAUAUUCACGCUUCUGUCUAUAACACAUUAAUGGAUGGGUUUUGCUCGACGGGUAGAGUUAACCAUGCGGAGGAACUAUUUGGUUCUGCCAUUGUUGCAGCCUUGAAGUUUGCUAAACGUUUCCUGCUGGAUAGAUUGAAAAAGUUUGUCUGGAUGGCCUGGUUUUGAAUUGAUUUUAAUAGAAAACGAGCUUCAAGCAUGUGCUCCAACUACUCUGGCAUGAGGUAAUACUAUAAUUUAUUUAUUUUUAAUGAGUGAGGCUAUAAAUCCUGAAUUCCAACUUGACAUGGCAUUAAUCUGGUGAGUGGCAGAAUAUUAAUUAAAACAAAAUCAUUUUCAACUUAACUUUCACAUCAAACAGAGGGGCUAAUAUGCUUUCCGGAUUAUGAUCCGCUGGCAAUCGGAAAGCCAAAAAAUUAAUUAUUCCAUUAUUAAUUCCAAUAGUAUCGCUGUAUCAGCUAAAAAGCACAAGAUUAAAUUGAUUUACGCACUUGCACCAUUUAUUUAAGCAUACUGUUGGUUUAGCGUUUGCUUAAAUUUGAAAGUAGAGUGUUUCCAUGCCACAGUGCCAUGACAUUGGUGAUUGGCCAACAGUUUUUUUUUUUUUUUUUUUUGUGUAAUCUUUUUUGGUUGCAGUAAUAAAAUGUUAAUCCUUUCUUCUCAUGAAUGUUUUCUUGAACUGAAAUGUUAAUCAUUUCUUCAUGUUGAGGCAUUAAACUACUACAGACCUAGGGUGGCAAUAUAUGGAAGUAAAUGGUCGUUUAGUAGGACCCUUUAAUUAGGGUAUUAGCUGCUCAAUUUGGAGAUCUCAUGGACCAACAAUUUAUCUGGAAUGUCACAUUCACAUAUUUGAUUGAAAAAGGAAUUAAGGAAUUUCAGGUGGCCCGGAAACGCAACCAACUAUACCCGACAAUGGCAGAAGACAUUAUAGAUUAUCGAUUAUUGAGUUAAAUAUGAAUGGUGGGAUUUCAGGUGGCCUAAAAAGUUAAACAUGAAUGUUCUACAUAAGGUUAUCUGUAACUUGAAGUUCAACAAAAAGUUUUAAAACUAGAUAUUACAAUGGUGGGAUUUUGCCUUUUAUCUCUUGUUUCUCUUCCCUUAAUCGUUUCUUGGCAUGUUUUAUCAGCUCUUCCUUUGGGUCAUUUUGUAGGACGGGUUACACCAGCUAAGCACAUGGAAAGGUUAUGUAGACUGGACUCUGGAGGAAUAAACCUGCCCUGAGAGGCCGUCAUGGUGGCAUGCUUUGCUGCUUGUUUUGUCUUGGGUCGGUCUAUUUUUCCUAUUACUAAGGCACAUUUGCACCGUUAUGUCUUGCGAACGAUUAAACAUUUACACUUUAUAGUAAAAAAAAUUACAUAUUAAGAGAAAUAUUAUAUUUGCAUGCUGAUAUGAAUUAGCACUAGAAACAUGAGGCUUGCUAAUUAGAAUUGUUAUAUUGUCAAACUCAGCUGUGGAGGUACUGGAGAAUCCAGUAUAUCUGGCCAAUGCAAGCAACCUUGUGCUGUAUCUUUCAAAGUUUAUGCGUUUUUCACCAUCCAGCUCUGCAAACAUAGUUACCAAUUUCAUGGGUUCCUCUUUGCUCUACUUGGUGGCUUUUUUACGGUUGCUUUCUUCAACACCGACAGCAGCUAUGUCAUAAGUGAGCAAUAGAAUUCAUGGUAAGUUUUUUGUUAGGAUCAAACUUUUUAACUUGUUAAAUUUUUGUAAUUUCUUACUAAUAAGGCAGAGUUGCCUAUUUUUAUCCGAUUAUCAUGCCUCAUACAAUUUUCUUGGGAUUUGCUUCGAUGCCUCUGUGACUCACCAUGAAACUCAAAAACUUUCUAAAACUAGCUCCAAAUACACAUUUCUUUGGAUUAAACUUCAUUUGGUACUCCCUCAGCAAACCAAAUGUUUCUUUCAAAUGCUGCACGUGGUCACUCGAGUUGUGAGACUUUGUGAUAAUGCCAUCCUUAUAUGCCUCCAUUAUGUUCCCAAUCAGCAGCUUGAAGAUCUUAUUCACGAAUCUCUAGUAUGUUGCUCAAACAUUUUUCAAGCCAAAGGACACGACAUUAUAACAAUACAGCCCUUGGUUAGUAACAAAAGAAGUAUGCUCCUCAUCCUGCUCGAACAUCGGUACAUGGUUGUAAUCCAAAAAGGCAUCUACAAAGCUGAGAAGUCCAUGUCUAGUUGUGGAAUCGACCAACUGAGCUAUUUUAGGCAAUGGAAAAAUAUCUUUGAGGCAUACCUUAUUGAGGUUCAUGAAAUCCAUGCACAUUCUCCACCUCCUGUUCACUUUCUUCACCUACAUCACGUUCGAAAGCCGCUACGAGUUGUUUACCUCCUUGAUGAAACCUGCAUGUAAAAUUUUAUCCACUUCACUACUAAUGCCGUCAUACCUAUCCUAGUUAAAGCAUCUUCUGUUUUGUUUCAUCGGUCUCGCAUCUCUGCUCACUGCUAACUUGUGACAAGCCGCCUUGGCAUCGACCCCUGGCAUAUCUUUGUCCUGCAAGCCAAACACAUUAAAAUGUGGUUGCAACAACUCCACCAGCUUUGCUUCCAAAUCUUCCCCAUGGGUGGCUUUAAGUAUAGGCGAACAAGGCCGUCGCCUAAGCUCUCAUAUUUUAAGAAGACCUCAUUUUUUAAGUAUUUCCUUAAUAAUUCUCUAAUUAAUAAAAUAUUUUAAUAUAUAUUUUAAGAAAUUAAAAAGUUUAUUAGAUAUCUCUCUAUUCUUAAUUAUUCUAUAAUUAAGAAUUAUUUUUUAUAAAAAAAUCUAUAUUUGGGAACCUUAAUUUUAAAGAAAUAAUUAAUACUAUUCUUUAACCAUUAGUUCAUUCCUUUUCAAUUAUUCAAUGUUAGCAUAUUUGACUUUUAAUAUUUCUUUUAAUUUCUAUUAAAAACCUCAUAAUCUCAAGAAUUAGUAAAUGAAAAAAAUUUAUUGUUCGCUUCUCUACAAAUAAAAUUUUUAUAUUCGUUGGUUCAUUUAAAAUAAUUAGUUUCUUAAAAUAUAAAGUCCAUUUUUAUUUUUGAACAUCAAUUCAUCAUUUUAAAAUUUUUAUAUUCUAUCUUUCUAAAUAUUCUAUUUGAAAAUAAAAUUGUUUUUAUUUAUUUGUUUGUUUAUUUUUUAACGGUUUUAAUGGAAUAAAAAAAUUAUCUUCUUGACUAUUUUUUAGGUUUUAUUUUUUAAAUUUUUGAUUUUUUUAUUAUUGUUGAAAUUCAAGAAUUAAAGAUGGAAUAAAUUUUGAUCCUUUGUAUAUAUCUUUGAGUAUUAAAAUUACAAAACAAUAGAGGUCUCAUAAACAAAUUUCGCCUAAGGCCUCUCAAACUCUAAAGCUGGUCCUGAUCUUCCCCCUAGGGGUAGCCAUAAAUUUUGGGUUCGAUUUAGUUUAACCUUUAAAAUCCGAACAUGUUUAAACUUAGAACCUAUUCGUUUUUAAUUGUUUUGUCAAACUUUUAGGAGAUUAAAGGGGUGUGAAAGGACAUAAGAAGUCUUGUUAUGGCUUGGCCCUUUAUAAUAGAUAUUGGUGCACAUGCUCUUUUCUUCUAUAUUUUUAGAGAAAGAAAAUUAGUAUAUGAUCUGUUUGAAGUCGCCUGGAAUUUCAAAAAUCCUAUGCUUCAAUAUAUUAUUAAUCAAAUCCCCUUAUAUCUUGAUAAAAUCUUUUUUACUCUUUCAUUCGCAAGGAGCUGGAUGAUGGCUGGAAAUAAGGAAAUUCCUUUUUUUUUGUUUCACCCCAAUUGUUCUUGUAUUUGUAUAUUGCCAUAUAUCAUAAAAUACAAAUUUAUGUAUGUCAAAAUGAAAUCGAUCUUAAAAAAAGAAAAAAAAGAUCUCGCGUUACUGCCGCUUACACACCCCCAUGCCACAGCUGCUAUUAAUUCCGUUUGGCGCACCAGCAUUACAGCUUCUAGCUGUUCUUUCUUCCUUGAGUUGAUUUGGUUCCUCGUUCUAGGCUUCAAGUUAAUGUCGUCUUCAGCCAUUCUAGAGUCGUUUACUUUUGAUCUAGCUGUUGCUGUCUCUACCUCCUUCUUCAUUAAUUGCCAUCAGCCGCAUAAAGGAAGGAUGUGAGUUUAUGUUUACGAUUCCUAAUGGUGAUGAAUAAGACAUGGUGUAAGAGAUGUUGUUAACUGAAUUUAGUAUGCUUUCUAGGAUCAUAUGCAAUACAUAUGUAUUUCUUGUAUAAUUGUUGUUUGUAUAUUGUAUUUCAAUCGGGCAUGGCUAUCUUUGUCUUACUCUUGUACAUUUCUAUUACUUUAGAUAACUAUUAAGGUGUAGAUGGCUUUCACGGAUAAAUAAUAAGCAAUUUUAGGAGCUUUUCGUGUAAAAAUAUAGAACCUAUAUUGUUGAAAUGUCGAGUAUACUUAGUAGUUGAUAUUUGUUUAUAUUUUUACAUUAAUCUGGGAUGGGAUUUGAACUUUAUAACCGAAAUUGAAUCUAAACCAAAAUUAAGAUAAGAAUAUUCAAACUAAAUCGAUCCAAAAUGCAAACCUAAACCAAAUUGAGCUAAAUUAAAUUUGAUUUAGUUUGGUUUGGGUUUACUCUCUAAACCUGAUUGGAUUGACUUCUCCAACCCAAUUAAGUUUUAGCCCAAAUUGAAACCUAAACAACCUGAAUCAAAACCCGAUUUGCCCACCCUUAUGAUACGAACCCAUCCAAAAACUAACGCAACCCUAAUCAAUUUAAUCUCUAAGAUUAAAUAGAAGCACUACCCAAUGUUCAAUGAAAGCAUGAACCUUAGUAUGUGAGGAUGCUACAAUCAAUUAUGGAUGAUUUGAUUAUAAGUUAAGAGUUUGAAUGACACAGAAAUUUGAUAAAUUCAAAUAGUUUGUUUAAGAAUAAAAAAGAAUUAACUCUCUCACUAAUUGCAUCAAAAUUUAUUUGUCUUUGUUUAUUAGAUGCGAGUACAUUAUAUAGGAUUGGUUACAAAAAUUUUUAGAAAUAAAUCCUAAACCGAAAUCAAAUCAGAAUCCUAAUCUAAUGCAAAUAAGAAAAGAAUUUUAGUCAAAUCAUAAUCCUAAUCAAAGCAAGUAGGAAAGAAUCUAAAUCGAGUCAAAAUUAUAAUCUAAGUAAAUAGGAAAGAAUCUAAAUAAAAUCAUAAUCCUAAUCGGUUUAAAUAAAUUACAUCAAUUAAAAUAAAAACUCAACAAUUAAAAGAGAAAUAACUUCUUGUUUCUCCACCAGCAUCAUCCAGAAACGGGAAAGUAUUCAAAAAGAAAAGUAGCAUAUUUUUCAAAUGGAAAAGUAUAUGAAAAAGAAAAAUAAGAUAUUUUCUCGCCGUAAUGUGCAAGCCAACUUCCUAUUUUAUGGAAGUGAUUAUUUGGAAACUUUAAGAGCCGUAAUCAUGUAUUUAUCACGUGCAAUUCCUUCAAUAGGCCUCUAUAAAUUUGAUCGAGCCUCAAUUACUUGAAUAAACCCAUUAAACGCUUCUUUAAAUUUGUUUGUUCGAGCUCUAGUGACAGGUCCAACGAUAACUUGAAUAGGAUUUGAAUAUAUCUCAUCCCACGUGCUUGUGAUAGUUUUGUCCUCAAUCUAAUCAUUUUACUUCCCUAAUCUCGACCCAAUCUUUAAAAUUUUUUCAUGCUAGCUUGACUUUACUAUGACUGCCUUGAGAUUUUCAACUGGUUUUUAUCUCUCUUUCUUGAAAUCUCUUCAAGUGUCAAGUUAUCUACGUGGCUUCUUUAGUCGCGGACACAUAAUCGCACCUAACAAUUCUCUAGUCACCCUUUACAACUUUUGCCACACUAUUUACUCAUUCUUUGAGUGCCAUGUAAUGGUUAGACAUCAUGGACUUGCUAAUCCUCAUAAAGGGUCUUCCAAAAAUUAUUUGAUAUGGGCUGUCUUCCUCGACUAUUAUAAAAAAAACUGGCAUGAUGGUCUUUUCAAAUGGUCCAGAGCCGAUCGUUACUAGCAGCUCUAGGCAUUAAUUUUCCUCUUCUAUAUCCUUUCAAAGAACUGUUGGUGUGCUUGUUGGGUAAAAAUUCAAAUACUAUGGGUGUCAAUGUGUAAGUAUACACAACAAGUAAUAUAAUGAUAAAUAUACAAGAUCAUCUCCACAGGGGUUGAUGUUACGAAAAUUACUACAGCAAGCUUAACAAUUUUGGUUGAAGUGAAAGUAGAUUGAUCAAUUAAACAAAUAAACUACCUAAUAAAAUGCAAUAAGUAAAUAUGCAGAAAAGCAAACUCUCAGGUCAAACACAAAAAUAAAAUCAAUAGGAAUGAAGUAGUUGAGUGACUAAACUCUUUUAAUGGAAUUGACUAUUUCUUGCAAAUUUCGAUUCAGUUGCUGCAGCAUCUGCUACAGUACUAGGCAUAAUCCUCAUGCAUCAUCAGCUGUCGCAUGUUGGAUGUCUUAUAUCUAUAUGCAACCUAACAAUGACCAAUUGUUAUGCCAACAUAAUAUAUAUCAUUACACAUUUAGGUUCUAUUUACCCUAUAAGGUGAAUCCCUAUAUCUAGUUCAUCACUAAUUUUAGAUUAAGUAUGACCUUUUUUGGAAUCAAGUUGAACUCAAUCUAGGAACCCAAUCUAAAACUAAAUAUUAUUCUAAUAUGUUCCACUAAGAUAAGCCAUUUUGUGGCUCUUUCCUAGCUUGUACCAUUAAAUGGGUAGUCAGCUAAAAUAAUGACUUUAAAUAAAUACUAUCACAACAAAAUGUUAUAGCAAACAUGCAGCCAGGGACGUAGCCAGGAUUUUGAUCGAGUUGGGGCACAUUUAAAAUAAAAAAUGACUUGAAUGCGCGAUUGCUCGUGUGGUAAGUGUGGGCCCCACAAACUCCAAAUGGGAGCUUGCCACAUGUACAAUCGUGCUCCUUAUAGAGUGUUUCUGACUGCAUCUAAUUAAAAUGCUAUUAAAAUAUAAUACACUUCUAAAAAUUUAGAUGGAAAUAUAUAACAUUAUGUUGAGUGUUAGAAAAUGGAUAUUUAUAAAGGAGAAAAUCGUCAUUUUACAUUUCAAGUCUUACUAACAACCCUUACUUUUAUGUAUUUAAGCUUCUUGUAAUUUAAUUAUGUGUGUUUGAUUUUAAUUAAGUAUUUUAUGUAUUUUAGGGGCAUCAUAGUCAAUUCACAAUAAAUGAGAGAUCAAACGAUAAAACGGACAUCACUUUUGAACUCAGGACGGUCGAAAACCUUAAGAGAAGCAUAAAAGGAAAAAUGGCACUGUUCACAUGUACGGUACUAUUCAUAUGUACGGUACUGUCUACGUUACUGUUCACGACACUGUUCAUAUAGACGGAUCGAUGACGUGGCAUUGACCGAUGAUGUGGCAUUCACUGAUGAGGUGUCAUGAUCCUGUUGGACUAAAAUUCUUAUGUACUGUUGAUGGUGACGUGGCAGCAUAUUAGUGGACUAAAAAACGUGUGUACGGUACAUGCAACACAUGGGAAUAUUUUCAACCAAACCGCAUUACUGUUCAAACCGUGUCACUGUUCAAACCGCGUGGUCAAACCGUGUUACUGUUCAAACUGCGUACUGUUCACUGAUGACGUGGCACAAUCCUGAGCAUCCAAACUGUUUUCAAUCCGAUGGCCAUGAUUUACUCAAUGUAUCUAUAAAAAUGGGACUUCUCCCCCCGAACGCAUGCGAUUGCUCAUGAGGAAUAACAUACCUGCUGAUAUCUUUUGGUUAAUCGAGGUGAAAGUACGAUUGGCAGGUGAGUUACCUCCAAAAUUUAUUGCAUACAUGCCUGGUUGUGGUAAAGAAAAUUAUGCAAGAAAACGAUGAGCUCGAAGAAUUUCUGUUGCUUGUCAUAAGUAUGCCAGAAUGAGUUGCGAUAAAAAUCCAUAUUCUUUAGGAAUGGCGUCUGAUAACAGGGAAUAUAAGAUUCAAUUCAUUAGGGAUGACUUGAAUAAGGAGUCAUUGGAUGAUAUCCUUUUAUCUCUUGAAACGCAUCCCAUUAGAUAUGUGCAAGGAACGAUUAUUCAGUUAUGACCAUUAUUCCAGAAAGAGCAUGCACGAUAUAGUCUCGGGAAUCUGACUAUAAACGACCAUGUUUGCCAGUUUAUAAAAAAAUUGGAUGGGAAGCCUAUCCUAGACCCAUAAAGGGCGUUCAAGCCGUUUCUGGACGUAAAACCAGAGGAAGAUGUGAGCCACAGUCGCAACUACCUGUAAAUAUCCUUUUACUUUACUGUUAUUUUAUUUUACUGUUGUUUUAUUGUUUGUAUUAUUGUCUUUAAUAAUUUUAUUGUUGUUUGCUUUUUCCUUUUUACUGUUUCCUUUUUUACUCGCGAACCAUGUGCUUUACGCGUUAUUUGACACUGACAUACUACCUCAUACACAGCUGUGACCCACUGUCCCCAAGAUUCUUAAAUAUGAAUUUUUGUCAAGCACUCACAAAUUAUUUUUGAGAAGUAUCCCAAUGACAGCUACUCCACAUAGACAAUUUAAGAACAUUUGUGUGCUUUCUGGAUUUAACUAUGGCAAACCUAAAGAGUUCGUUGAGGCAGCCAUAGAUCUUGGUCGAAGCAUAGCAGAGAGAAAAUUACACUUGGUGUAUAGAGGAGGUAACUGAGGGUUAUUAAAAUUGGUCUCAAAAGCUGCUUUUGUCAGAGGAAGCCAAGUGCUAGGCAUCAUCCCAAGCGUCCUAAAACCUUUGGGCAGUUUGUCUGACUCAUCGACUGGAGAAGAGUUAGUCGACUCAGGUAUGCAAGCAAGAAUAACUGAAAUGCUUAAUCAUGCUGAUGUUUUUAUUUUCCUUCCAGGAGAUCUUACAACACUAGAGGCACUUAUCACACUAGCAUCUUGGGCCCAUCUGCACAUUCACCAGAAACCCAUCGGUUUGCUAAAUGUCAAUAACUUUUAUGAUGGCUUUAUCGCAUUUCUUAACCAUGCAAUAAAAAAAUAUUUCAUUCCUUCAAAUGCGAAAAAACUUUUUAUUUGUGCUCACACUGCUACUUGAUCUGUUACAAGCUCAUAGACCGGAGCCAAACCCCUGGACCUUUGUGUUGGAGCGUCCAAAUAAUGAUGGUAACAGUAGCAGCAGUAAGAAGUACAAAUUAGAUUUAACUCUCCGCUUGUAAAUAUUUUCUUUUGUGUUGCACCACUCAGGUGAUGCCUUCUACACUCUACUUCUUUCCUUUAAAACAUUGAGGACAAUGUUUCAUUCUGGUUGGGGAGAGGGAAUAGUCGACAAUUGUGGAAUCUUGGUUAAGUUUUUACUGAUUUUUUGUUGUAGAAACUAACUGUUGCUAACUUUUUAUGUUGAAGAUGGCUGAAUAUGGAGUGUAGUGACUCUAGAAACGCAUCUUCAUUGUUUGAAAAAAAUUAAAAAAAAAAAUCAGACAUUUUCUUUUUCUUUAUUAAGUUUUGAUGUUCAUUUUUCUUCUUCUUUUUAAUUUCUCCUCUAUAAAUAUACAUUUUCAAAUUGUUGAGUCGAAGAUGGCUGAAUAUGGAGUGUAGUGCCUCUAGAAACGCAUCUUCUUAGUAAAAAAAAAAAUUUCUUUUUCUAUCAUAUUAAGUGUAACUUUUCUAAUUAGUUUUUAUACAUCCUUUUCACAUUUCUGCAUGCAUAUUUUCCUUUCAUGUUUAGGAUAGGUUGGGGGGUAUAACGUUGUUUAAAAAAAAACAAAAACAAAAAAAAAAAUUUGUGUGAUUUGUUUUAAUAUUGGAUGACAUGAUUAAUUUCAUAUUUUAGUAUUUGUAUUAUCUUUGGUCUUAAGUGAUGUUACACUAUGUUUGCUACUCUACAUGUUGAUGUCGGAGAUAAAUAUGAGUUGCUUGAAGGAAUGAACAUGUCAUAAUAAGUACCAAGUGAGUUUUUGAGCCUAUCAUUUUUCUUGGAGAGUAACCCUUUCCCACAUUUUUUAUACAGCUUAACAGUUUAUUAUUUUAUACACGAUCUCUAGAUUUCUUUUGAGUUAACCCUUAAAACAAAAUUUGUAAAAAAAAGAAGAAAAAAAUGUGUGUUGCUACAUUUGGAGGUCCAUCUAACUAGUAGAUAUGGAAGAUUAUUUAGAGCCCUAAAAGACGGUGGAAAGGUCAUCUUUGAUCCGUUUGAGUCUUUCUACCCAUCCCUUUUAUGAAAUAUCUAUUGUUAACCCUUUUGAGCCUUUUAAAAAAAAAUUAAAAAAAAAAAACCUUUUCUUUGUCAACUUAUCAUCUUGACCCACUCUGAUUUGGAGUAUUAUCCAAUAUCUUACAAGUUCCAUCACCUAUUUAUGUUUGAGAAAAAUGUAAAUAAAUAUUUUGUACAGUGAAGUUAUGCCCAACAAAAGCAAAAACAAAAAAACAAAAAAUUGUUAUUUAAAAAAAAAAAGAAAAAAAUAACAAUAAAAGGUGAAAUCCACCUUACAACUUCAAAAAAAAAAGUUCUCUAUAGUUUUCUCAAACAUACACUUUGUUUUCCUUAUUUCCCUUCUUUGUUAGUCAUGUCCCUAGCCUACGUUACGUCCUAAUAAAAAUCCUUCUUGAUUUUAGGGAACUAUAGUCUGAAGUAAAUUGGGUUGACUACCAUUUUUGUUUGACUUGAGAUCGUAUUAUUUCUAAACUGAGGGCAUAUUUCUUUCAUCUUGGUGAGAGCAUGUGAUAUCACUUCUUUAUUAUUUUCUCUCAAUUAUCAUUCAUUGGAAUAACUAUUUUUAUUGGGUUUAAUUUCUUUGUAAGAGUGUCACUACUUCCAGUGAGAUUUUGGGGUUUGACAUGUCAUUCUUGAAAGUAACUGUGACAAUCUACUAAGCUGAUUCAUGUGGAUGGUUGAUGUGGGCGUGAUGUUCCUUUAGACUGGAGAUAAUGCUUAUACUUUUAUUUGAUUACUAUCAUUAGUCUGAUUAAAUAAACACGAGUGUUUAAAAAAAAAUCAUUUUGAAUUUGAAUUUUAUUUUCGCUUUAUUUGCUAGGGACUAGCAAUAAGUUGGUUGGGGGGUGUGUUGAGUAUUAGAAAAUGUAUAUUUAUAAAGGAGAAAAUAGUCAUUUUACAUUUCAAGUCUUACUAACAACCCUUACUUUUAUGUAUUUAAGAUUCUUGUAAUUUAAUUAUGUGUGUUUGAUUUUAAUUAAGUAUUUUAUGUAUUUUAGGGGCAUCAUAGUCAUUUCACAAUAAACAAGAGAUCAAACGGCAAAACGGACAUCACUUUUGAACUCAGGACGGUCGAAAACCUUAGGAGGAGCAUAAAAGGAAAAAUGGCACUGUUCACAUGUACGAUACUAUUCACAUGUACGGUACUGUCUACGUUAUUGUUCACGACACUGUUUAUAUAGACGGAUCGAUGACGUGGCAUUGACCGAUGAUGUGGCAUUCACUAAUGAGGUGUCAUGAUCAUGUUGGACUAAAAUUCUUAUGUACUGUUGAUGGUGACGUGGCAGCAUAUUAGUGGACCAAAAAACGUGUAUAUGGUACAUGCAACACAUGGGAUUAUUUUCAAUCAAACCGCGUUACUGUUCAAACCGUGUUACUGUUCAAACCGCGUGGUCAAACCGCGUACUAUUCACGCAUAUUGUUGACUGAUGACAUGGCGCAAUCUUGAGCGUUCAAACUGUUUUCAAUCCGAUGGCCAUUAUUUACUCAAUGUAUCUAUAAAAAUAGGACCUCUCCCCCCUAAUUUGGAUCUCUGAAUCCAUUUUUGGACUCUAUUUUAUGUAAUUCCUUCUCCAUCUUGUAUUUUCUACGUAUUUUAAUAAAUUCUCAUUUUGCCCCUAGUUCAAUUAUGAGUGGCUAAUUUUCUUUCAAGUUUGGGUUGAAGGUGAAGUCUCAACAUGUGUCAUGGGCUUUAUUUGGUAAAUUUAUUUUCUCUUCCCCUCUUGUUUUUGUGGAUGUUUUGACUUUUCGUUGACAAAUAAUAAUAAUCUUGUCUAGUACCGCCCUGGUUUCACCGGCUCCCUAGUAUAAGAUUAUUAUUAUUUGGCACGAUAAGCCCUUAGCACCAUAUUGAUUAGAGCGUGGUUCAUGAGGUGUGGAUUCCCCCCUCAUGAUUUAAUUGGCAUUAAUAAGGAUUAUUUAGCCCAUGAUGCAUAUUGAUACGGAUCCAGAUACUCAAGUACGUCAUUUCAAUAGAUUUUCACUUCAAUUUAUUCUUGCCAUUUCAAUUCCAAUUUUAGGAUCAUUUAAGUCACUUUCACCACAAAAUCCAACCACUUCAUACAAAAUUAAUUCUACAUAUAACUAAAAUCCACCUCCUCGUGGGAUCGACACUCGUCACCAUUAGUCUAUUCUACAAUAGAUUCGUGCGCUUGCGAGUUCAAUAAAAUUUGCACAACACAUUACAACUAUAAUAUUCAUUGCUAAUAAAUUUACUUAGUAUAAUUGGUCUCAGUGAAAACUUCUCAAUGCGAUUUUAUGAGUUGCAAAUAAUGCAUUAUCAAUAUAAGCACAAAUAUAUUUUUCAAUAUACAAGACUAGGUUAUAGCUUAAUUUGCUCUUAAAAUCUUUUAAUAAUAACAAAAAAUAUUUAUAUAUUGUAACACACAAAACAAAAUGAAUGCUAGAUAAAAUUCUAGAUUUUAAAACUAGACAAAAGAUUAAUCAAAAAAUUAAAAAUUAGAAUUGGGUAGACUUACAACUUAUGGUUCAAUGUCGAAAUACCAACUAUUUGAUUUUGCUUGAAUAAAAAACAAAACGAUUAAAGACUGGUCCAUUAACCAUUUUACUAACAUUUUGUUGUGAUUGUUUUUCAUUUUAAUAUUUGUUCUUGUGUCUUUAAUCCAGUUUCAUGAAAUGUUAAUAACUAAUUAAAUUAUUUAUAAUUAGAAAUUUAAACUAUGGACAAUAUGAAAUAUUUUAAAAUUACUAGAGUCAGUUUCAAAUUUUACAAUUCAGCUGGGGUAUUUUUCAUAAAUAACAAAUAAAAUACAUUUUUUUAGUAUAAUUAUAAAAAAAAUUUAAAAGCCAGCAGGGGCAUGUGCCCCACUCGUCCCAUGCUGGCUCUGUCUCUGCAUGUAGCAACAUAUAAAUUCAGUUAAUGAGCCAUUAAAGUUGUUUAUCACUCAACCACAAGGAAUAUUAGUUCAUGAUUUUCAAAACGAAACUAAACAACAAAGUUUCAGCCGGCAAAUACAUUCUCAUGUCAAAGAAUAAAAAUAAAUCAAAAUAAGAAUAAGAAAGACUGAAUUCCAAUUGAUUCCGGCAAACUUCUCCACUGAUGCAGUCUUGAUUCUUGCUCUUGAAAUCUAUUUUUCCUUGUUUCUUUUCUAUUUAUGAUCUUGGUUGACGGCCGCCUUUUUUCUUUUGUACAUGUGCCUCUGUUAUAGUCCAAAAUUAGGGUAAACGGAAGUUCAGAGCGCGCAUCUUCCCAAUUAGGAAAUUGCAGAUUGCAAUCCGUUAAGUAUCUUGCGCGAAAUCUUCUCUGUCAUUGUUCCCGAAUUGCUACAUCACGGUUUUCUACAGCAAUAGCUACAGUAUAUGCACUGUUCCAAAUUUACUCCAAUUCUUCUAUAGUCGUAUUCUUUUGUCCUUUUUGCAAACCCAUUGCUACAACAUCCUUCCCAUGAAAAUUUAACUUCAGGUUACCUACAAUUAUGCAUAUGUUUUAAGGACACAAUUAUUAGAAAUCAAGCAAAUUUUAUUAAACUUAAACUAAAAUGAAUGUUAAUGUAAACUAUCAUUAAAUGCACUAAAACACAUCAAUUACCCUCUAAGUAAUCUUGAUUUUAAGUCUAAAAGUAUCAUGAUAAUCUUAUUUCAUAGAGUUUUCAAUACUCUAACUUCAAGUUGCACGAAUCUAUAAGGAUUCUUAUGAAUUCUUUGCUCGUUACAUUAGCUUUUAACACCAAAACAUCUUCAUGCAAGUAUAGUAUCCCUUCCUCAUCGUAUUAUGUCCAAAUGAUUGGAACUUGCUUGGUUCUUGCUCAUUUUGUCAAUGAAGCAUUGAAGAGAAUAUCAUGACUUGUUAUUGCAUACCUUUUGUAGUACUUCUAGGCUUUGUUAGAGUUAUUUACUAGAGUUGGCCCUCUUACAAUAACUCUAGCUACUGGCUCUUCAAAAAUCAUAUCACCAGUAUUCUUUUUUGCUGUAUGCACUGUUGAUCUGUCAUUGGAUAAGAACUGUCAAUAUACUUAUUCAAAUAAUAAUUUCUUACUAGAACUUCUACUUGUUUUUUUAAGUCGUGACACUGUGGUUUGGUGUGGCCAUGGGUGUUAUUCAUCAGCAUUAUCCUAUCUCUUAGGAAAUUUUGGCAAGUAAGGACUAAUGAAGGUAGGUUUUGGUUUUGGUUUAGUUGACCUUGUAUUUUGAGUUGGGUUAACUUGGAUCAUUAUAGUGAGGAUGGCUAUCAACUAGUUAUAUCAUUUCAAGUAGCUCUAUUUAGAGAGGGGUGGGGUUAAUUUCUUUUUACAUAGUAUGGGAGAUAAGAGUGGCCAAAAUCAAAUUUAGAUUGGAUUCGGAUCAAUUUGAUCAUAUAUUAAAUUUUUCGGAUUGACUAAAAAAACUCAUCUGAAUGUACUCGAACUUGAAUCUAAUAUGAAUAUAUUUGGAUAGGAUGAAUAAUUUGGCUUAAGUUAGAUUUGGAUCGGUUUGGUAAAUCUCAAAUUUAAUUUUAAUUUACAGGUCACUAUACUCAAUGGAUAAGACAUAAUUUGUAUAUCUCUGUAAUAAACAUUCAAUUUUGAUAUUCAACUACAUAGAUAGAAGAAAAAUAAGUCAUUUACAUUACAAUUGUGGUGCAUAUCACUGAAAAGUAUCAUAAUAAUUCAUAUUUUUCCAACCAAAAUGAAAAGAAACCAUAAUUUAAACAACAUAAUAAGCAAAUAGAAUUUCUAAAGAAAAGGAAAAAGAGUAGAUGUAAGCUAGAAAAAGAGAAAUCAUGUAUUAGAGAAGAAAAGAGCAUUUUUGCACAAAAACAACUAAUACCAAAACUAAUAAAAAAAUCUCAUAUUCAUUUUCCAAUUUUCUCAUAAGCUUACGCAAUUCUUCCUCUUCUACUCUUCAAAAUCAUUUGCCAAUUUUCUCAAUUUUCUCAUAAGGUGAUCUUUGGUCUUUUGAUGAGAAAAUUACUUGAGUAACUUACAACUGGUUAGGUUUGGGAUUUUGGGGAAAACAAGUUAGGUUUACACAUUACAAACUUCACUAGUCAAAUUGUCGAAUUACAUCCGAAUUAGAUUUGAUCCGAUUAUAAUCUCAUCGGAUUGGGUUGUUUCUAUUUAAUCAAAUUACAACAAUAAUCCAUAUUCAAUUUGAAUAUGUUUGGAUUGAAUCAAAUCCAAUCAAUCUAAAUCCAAUUCGAUGCUAACCCUUAUGGGAAUAAGUAGCCAUCCUUAUUAUGACCGCUCUACUCACUGAUGGUUUGUCAUGAAGCCUAACUAGUCCACUUAUUUUUUAGCUCUCCUUUCAUUUCGUUUUAACUCCACAAGUUACUCGUCUCUAACUCUUGCUGCUUUUUCCUCCUCGAUUUCAAUAUCCACCUUCACCUAGUCAUAAGCAGUUGAAUAAGAGUUUAUUAUUGGGUUCCUUAAGUUAUACCACAAUUGGCCUAUCUUUACUCCCUCUUUUAAUCCCUUCAAGGCCUGAAGAUGAUUGAAAGCUCCAUAGUCAAGGAUUGCUUGGUGAUAUCUCUUGAAAAAUCUCUUAGAGUUUGAUUUUCUUCCUACUCGAGCCUCAUUGGCUCUAUCAUGUCAUCCUCUGGUGUUAUUGCUCCUAAAAAAUGUUCAGCAAAGUCUCCAUGCAAUUGAUUAGAAGUUCUGAUGCUUCCCUAUGGCAAUUUGCGAUACCAAUCAUGUGCAUGCUAUUCUAAUGUCAAUGGAAACACUCGACACCACUGUAGUGGUGUCAAACCAUGUACUCUAGUCAUCUCAUUAAAUCGUUCUAUAUGCAUAAAGAGUCACUCUUUCUGGAAUAUUUGAGGUUUAAAACUAAUCCCUUGAUAUUGUUGUGCUCAUGAUUUUUGCUGAGAGUAAGAUUCAUUAUCCAUAAUUAUUCUCCAGCUCAGUGCUCUUUCAAUCCUAUACUUCUUCAAUAAUUCGUGCUAACCUAUGCAUCUUAUCUUCUAAUUUCCCAACGCGACUUGGGUUCUACACCCUUAUCUACUUGCAGUCAGCGUUCUGUUUAUUCCAUAGAUUUUCACCGAAGUACGUUUUGGUUGCUCUCCAAAAAAAUAAAAAAGAAAGAAAUCACCUAAUACUUUUGGGGCAAGGCAAGCUUCCAAAUAACAUUGCAAAUGAUUUGGUGAAAAAGCUUUCAUCUAUUCCGGUAAUUUAGAAGCACUUUAAUUCGAUUCUCUCUUAAGAGUCCUAUCACUUUAGGAUGAUUUUUAAGUAAAAUCCUUGUAUAUAUUAUAUUUUUGUUAAUAUAACAAACACUAAAUAUUUAUGAUCUGAAAGAUAGUUGUUGAAUGGAGAUCGUUUCACACAAAAAAAGUAUUUAAAAAGAAUGUGGUAUUGUAAUAUUAAAUAAUUUUUUGUAGUGAUAUAAGAGUAUCACACUAGUUUUUUUUUUGCAUUCCAAAAAAUUGAAAAUAAGAUCUAAGUAAUUUCAAGAAUAAAUUAGCAAUAUUAGGAACAAGUUUUACAAAAAGCUUCUGGGACAUGUUAUACAAAUUUGUUAUAUAAGAAAGUCUCUACUAGAUCUUCUUUCCACAUUACAAAAAUUAGAAAUGAGAUCUAAAUCGACCAAUUAUAAAUUUUAUAGUGAGUGGGUCCUAUAUGAAAACAAGGUUUUUUUUUAUUAUAGUGUAGUCAAUUAUCAGCCAUCUACCCUAAGUUUAUUUUAUAUUAAAAAAAUACUAGGAAGAAUUAAUUUGUUUAGUUUUUUACUUUAAUUUUAUAAUUUGUAUUAGUUGUCUAUUAAAAAGAUAGAAUUAUCCUUACUAAAUGACAAAAUAGAAACAAAUACAAAUAACAACUAUGGUCAUUUUGUAAGGGUAAUUCUAUCUUUUUGGCAUCGAAUUGCAUAUUAAACUAUUUUAAGUACUUAAAAUAAUAUAAGUUCUUUAUCAAAUAAAUAAAAUUUUAAACUAUGUAUUUACCAAACAUUUUAAAAUCACAGCUCCUCUACUACAUCUCCAAAUAAAUUCUUAAAAUCAUAAAUAACUAAAUUAAUGGGGUUUUAAAAGGACUCUCCGGAUUUUGCAUGAUUUCUUUAUAUAUAGGUGCUGGGUGAUCAUGUUGGUUCCUAUAGGUACCAUCAGCCACACUUUUUGUUAGUGGUGAAAAAACAAUUUUGGGUACAAUUUGUGAUUUGUAUAACGUGCGGUAUUAAACAUUUGAAACAUACACCGACAGUAAUCUAAUCAAUAAUUAAAAAAAAUUGUAUAAAAUACAUAUGUCGUAGGCAACUCAGAUCCUUUUCUUUAUAAUUCCAUAUCAUGUGAUUAUCAAAAAACUUCUUGAGAUUUUUAAAUUUUGUAAUUGCACUAUCCUUGAAUUAUCAAAAGACUCUUGAUAAUGUUCUUCUUCUUAAAGAUGCCCUUAAUCCGUAAAUGGUCCAAUAAUUAGUUCAUAAAACGAAUUUAUUACUUUAGACAAGUCUCAAAUAUGCAUACCUCUUAUAACUCCGUAUUGCAUAAUUCCUUACUUAAAUGCAUUUGUUUCCUUUCUCUAAAUUUUAGAAUGGCCUUGUCUACUAAAUUUCCUCUUUAAAUUUGACUGCCAACUAGGAAUUUCGCCAAAAUUUCCACCCCAUCUUACUCUCUGAAAUAUGUCUUCCACGUUACUAUAGCAAAUUUUACAUCUAGGAUACUGAAACAUUUUUUUUUUUUCAAUUUUCAAAUAUUUAGCUGUUGACAAUAGGUCUUUAGCUGCUCACCAAGAGAAAAUUUUCAUCUAAAACUUUUUUUGAUAAGGCAAGCCUCCAAAUAACAUCCAAAUGGUUUGGACAUUCAGUUCUACUCAAAAUUCAGAUUAAUUCACACAUAUUUAGAUUUUAGACAAGAAACAUAUGCCACCUAAAUAUUUAUGACUUAAAAUUAUUUAAUAAUCAUGGCACAUUUAACCUAUCUAAACAUGAAAUCUUGUGGAGACUUAUGUUUAAGCAGGAGGAUAACGUGAGAAAAUUGACACAUUAAUUUACAAUUUGUACGCCAACUGAAUAAUUUUUGUUUGUUUUUUGUUUUUGAUAAUAAAACAAGCCUCGCAAGAGCUUAGGUUUUUAGCCAACUGAAUAAAUUUCCCCACUCAAAUUAGAAACAAUAAAAUCUAAUAAUUAUGUUAUGAGCCCAUCAGACAAAUAGUGAGACAUCAUAUUGUUAAUACCUACUCGUAAAAUUAACGGGAUAACGCGGUUUAUACGGACAGAUUAUCAAGGUAUUGUUAAUACCUUCUGUACCGGUAAUUCUUUUUUUCUUCUUUUUCAACCCCAAAUAAUCAAAAGCUCUCCAAUGGCUUUUGUAUCCACAACUCGUCCAUUUCAUUUUACUUCAAUUUCAGUAUCAGCUCUUAGAUGUAAUUUCUCAUCUUCGUUCCCUCAUACCAGAAAACCCACAUCUUCAAUUUCGGAAAAUGAACCCUCAGAUCCGACUACAACAGCUAAACUGAAGGAGUCGCUACGACUGACAGUCAAAGACGGAGCCUCAAUCGAAAAAUUUCUUAAAGAAAGGUGAAAAUCAUCAGGUCAAGGUGAUAUUAAUCUUAUUACUCCUAAUGAAGCCUUGUGUAUCUUUGAUUACAUGCUCCGUAUGCACCCUUCUCCGCCUCCGGUUUCUUCCUUCAAUAUUUUGUUUGGUUGUCUUGCUAAGAAUAAACAUUAUGAUACUGUCCUUUCACUCUUCAAGAGACUCAAUUCAACUGGGUUGUUUCCAGAUCUUUAUACUCACAGUAUUUUGAUUAACUGGUAGAGUUUCUCAUGGUUUUGUUGUUCUUGGGAGAAUCAUCAGGUCUUGUUUUACUCCAGAUGCUGUGACCUUUACUUCUUUGAUUAAAGGUUUGUGUGCGGAUAGUAGAAUCAUGGAGGCCGCCGCAUUGUUUACAAAACUUAGAGUGUUUGGUUGUGAGCCUGAUGUUUUUACAUACAAUACGUUGAUUAAUGGAUUGUGUCGAACUGGCCAUACAAUUGUUGCUCUAAAUUUAUUUGAAGAGAUGGCUAAUGGAAAUGGGGAAUUUGGUGUCGUUUGUAAGCCAGACACUGUUACAUACAACACUAUCAUCGAUGGUGUUUGUAAGGAAGGUUUCGUGGACAAGGCCAUGGAACUGUUUCUGCAGAUGAAGGAUGAGAAUAUUAACCCCAAUGUGGUUACUUAUAACUCUUUGAUUCACUAUUUCUCUCAUGCUGAUGAUUGGAAUGAGGCUAAACGUUUGUUUAUUAAGAUGAUGGACCAAGGUGUGCACCCUAAUGUUGUGACUUUCAGUGUGAUCGUGGAUGAGCUCUGCAAGAAUGGGAAGAUGGAAGAAGCAAGUAGGUUGUUGGACCUGAUGAUUCAGAUUGGUGUGCAUCCAAACACUUUUGUCUAUAACACAUUAAUGGAUGGGUUUUGCUUGACGGGUAGAGUUAAUCGUGCAAAGGAACUAUUUGUUUCUAUGGAGAGUAACGGGUGCAUGCAUGAUGUUGUUAGUUACACCACAUUAAUAAAUGGGUACUGCAAGACUAAGGAUGUAGAGGAAGCUUUAAAUCUUUAUAGGAAAAUGCUGUCUAAAGGAAUUAGGCCAACAGUUGUUACAUAUAGCACCUUGUUUCUUGGCCUUUUUGAAGUACACCAGGUUGAGCAUGCUUUAAAACUGUUUGAUGAGAUGCAGCAUAAUGAUGUAGCAGCCGAUACAUAUAUAUACAAUACCUUUAUUGACGGGCUCUGCAAGAAUGGUUUUGUUCUAGAGGCACUGGAAUUAUUCUGUGCUAUAGGAAAUAGCAAGUAUGAACUUGAUAUCAUAUCCUACAGCUGCCUCAUUGAUGGAUUGUGUAAAAUAGGCAAACUGGAAACUGCUUGGGAACUGUUUCAAAGUUUGUCUCGUGUAGGCCUAUUGCCAAAUGUUGUAACAUAUAACAUCAUGAUCCAUGGGCUUUGUAAUGAUGGGCAAAUGGACAAGGCACAUGAUUUGUUUCUUGAUAUGGAAGCAAAAGGUGUGGAACCCGAUUGUGUCAUAUUUAAUACGAUUAUGCUGGGUUUCAUCCGCAAUAAUGAGACAUCAAAAGUUAUUGAACUCCUUCAGCGAAUGGAUAAUAGAAAUGUAAUGCCAGACGCAUCUAUACUUUCAAUUGUUGUGGACUUGCUUGUAAAGAAUGAAAUUAGCUUAAACUCGAUUCCACAAUUCAAGAGUCAAUGAGUUUAAUGCUGAUUACUUGCAUGUUUUUUUCUGCCUAAAAUCUGGAUCUGGAGAAUCCCAUUCUUAUUACAACAUGUAAAGGAGUGUUGUCUAAUGUUGGCAUGUUCCUAGGUUCUGUCCAUGGAUUCUGUUUGCAGACAUGGCUAACUUCUUGUUCAACAGAUAAGUUUUAAAGUCUUUGAACUUAAUGUUGUAAAAUAACUUUUUUAUUAUUCAAUUCAUGAGUUUUUCUUCUAUAGCACAUCCUUCUCAUUAGCUGGAAGUGCAAAUUUUUUAGGCUUUUCCUGUAUGGCCUCUUUUUCUGUUCUAAAUAAAAUGGCAUUUUAUUUCCCUCCUGUGAGGGUACAACGUUUAUGUUUAAACUUUCUGUUAGUUAAAUUGGUUGUCUUUGAUAUAGGGAACUUCCAGUUGAACUGAUUUGUAAUUCGAGUAUAUGAGAUUACCAACUGUAAUGGGAAUUGAUGCCAAAUUAAUUAUGUCAUCAGGUUUUCCAAUCAGUGUUCAUCAUUUAUUUCUGUUAACAAUUAAUAGCACAGCUUGUCUUCGCAGCUUCAUUGGUUCCUCUCAAAAAAGUAAUGCCAGAUGCAUCUAUAGUUUCAAUCGUUGUGGACUUGUAAAGAAUGAAAUUAGUCUGAACUCACUUCCGUCAUUUCCUGUUCAAGAGCAGCAGGGGGAAGUUGAUGAGUCAAAUGUCAAGUUGUUGGAGCAUGUGCUUUCAGCCUAAAACCCUGAUCUGCAGCAUCUCAAUCAUGUUACAAAAGGACAUGUCGCCUGGUGACACCAUGUUCUCUACAGCGCUGUUAAUGGAUCCUGAUUGUUCUUGUGAUCUGGAGAGUCUCAUUCAUAAUACAGAUCUUGAUCAGGACGAGCUAGCAUAUGUGAUCACCAACUCUACAUGGUUGUUGAUGCCAAAUUAAAUAUGGUAUCAUGUUUUUCAACUUGUUAUUUUCUAUAGUCCUUCCUUUGAAUGGCCACAAGAAACUGUAAAAUCACCCUUUGUCUUGUUCCCUCUUAAUGAUCGAUCACUUUGGGAGCUAAUGAAUUAGUUGCACCUUGUCACUUUAUUGGUGCUUGAUUGUCAUUUGUACUUUGAAUUCACAGCAUAUUUUACCCUUGAUGUACUCUUUCCAUAAUCACCUUUGAGGGCUGCUAGUAUGUAUAAUUGAAAAACCUUAUAUAAAUUCUAAGCAUUUUUAUUUAACUUGUUGUAAACCUCCAGUGUAUGUCUCUUCUGUGAAAUGAUUCAUACUCUAUGCUGCUAGGACCUAGGCUUAUGACUCUUCUGUGAAAUGAUUUACCCUCACCUGCACACAGACAUUUAUCCCAAUCAAGAAAUCUUCAAACAAUGUGAAAAAAAUUGCUUGAAACACGACGCAGACUUAACCGAUUAAAAUGUCCCUACUGUGAGGAAGGAUGCUAUACAACUGACUCGGAAAAUGUAAAAUGGAUAACGUACGCCCAAGAUGAUCAACUAGAAACACAAUUCAAAACUCGGGCUGCUUUUGGCUGCCCGGCCUUCAGAAGUCAAUAUUUAUAUGAACUUUUGAGGAGAAAUUAUAUGAACUUUUGAGGAGAAAUUAUACUAAGGGUUCAGAAGUCAAUAUUUAUAUGAACUUCAGAAGUCAAUAUUUGGCUGCCCGGCCUUCAGAAGUCAAUAUUUAAAAACUUGGUGAAAUUACCGAUUAAAAUGUCCCUACUGUGAGGAAGGAUGCUAUACAACUGACUCGGAAAAUGUAAAAUGGAUAACGUACGCCCAAGAUGAUCAACCAGAAAGUGAGAGAUUAGGAUCACCAGUCAGUCAGAUUUGGAUAGAAAGUGAGAGAUUGCUAUGCCGUGCCAUUGCUUCAAUCCUAAAUGCUUUCAUCUCCCUGAAAAGUAUACAAAUGUAGGGGUUAAAACAGAAUAGAUGAAACCGUAUUGAGGAACUCAACUGAGACAGAUGAUAAAUGAAAACUAACCAACCUUCACGCAAAACUCGUACAUCUCCCUUUAAGAGCUGACUUUCUGAGAAGAGAUCACCACAAUCGUUCACAUCAAAAGUCUCCACUUGAAAAUUUUAUAACCAUAGUACUCAUUCCAUUCAAACCAGAUCCUUGAGAUCAGUUCCUUCUUCAGGCAAGUGGCAUGAUCUUCCUCUUUAGGAGACUCAGCAGCAACCAGUCUAUAUGCACAAACUUUCUUUGUUUGGCCUGGCCGGAAAGCCCUGCUGAUUGCCUGGCGGCUCACUGAUGGAUUAAAGAGAACAUCCAGAAUAAUGAUUCAAAUUUUUGUGGAAUUACUUGUAAAGAAUGAAAUUGGUUUAAACUCGAUUCCACAAUUCAAGAGACAAAACUAAGCAGACGGGUUGAAUCUUUGAUUGAGUAGCAUGUCUCUUCUGCUUUAAAAGCAGAUCUGGAGAAUCCCAUUCUUAUUACAACGUGUGAAGGAGUGUUGUGUAUUGUUGGCAUGUUCCCAGGUUCUGUUCAUGGAUUCUGUUUGCAGACAUGGCCGACUCUUUGUUUCAUCGGAUAAGUUUCAAAUAAUUCUGGCAAAUUUUUGUUGUAAAAUUACUUUUUUAUCAUUUAAUCCAUAUGCCUCUUUCUCAUUACCUGCAAGUGCAAAAUUUUUAGGCUCGUCCUAUUAGACCUCUUUUUCUUCUCUAAAUAGAUAAAACGGCAUUUCAUUUUUCUCUUGCGAGGGUGCAGGUUUAUGCUGAAACUUUCGGUUAGUUAAAUUGAUUGUCUUUGAUAUUGGAACUUGUAGUUGAACUAGUUUGCAUUUAGAAUAUAUGAGAUUACCAACUGUAACGGGAAUUGGUGCCGAAUUGAUUAUGUUAUCAGGUUUUUCAGUCUGUGCUCAUCUUUUAUUUCUGUUAAUAAUUAAUAGCACAGCUUGUCUUCUCUGCUUCUUUGGUUCCUGUCUAUUGUCAAAUAUAAACUUGUAGAGACAUUUUGUUUUGGCAUGGCACAUGCUAGAUUUUGUUUUUGGUUUGAAUGAUACUACACAUCUAAGUGAUUGUCCAGAUUUUUUUUCAUUCCUAGUGACAUGGCACUCAAUUGAAUGGUGACUCGUGAAUCAUGAUUGUGUGUGUUGGUCUUUGUUAUACUACGUGUUGGCAAGACAAAGUCUUUUGAAACUGCCAAACUUUUCUAUAUGAAUAUUGAAGACAAUAUGAUAAGAUAAAAUUAAUCAAAAACAUAUAUACUUGACAGGGCUGGAACGUCUGUUAUUAGUCCUCGCCUUCCAUUCUUGUUUCAUAUUCUUCUGCUAACAAAUCUUGAUCAUGAUAGUCUUCUCUGUUAUUAAUCCUUUUUUUUUUUUUUUUGGCUUUUGGAUUUUGUUUCCUUUAUAUAUAUAUAUAUAUAUAUAUAUAUAUAUAUAUUGUAUACAGUUAUUAGCAUCGACAACUUGAGCUUGCAGUCUUGUGAGUUUAGAGCCUACCAAAGUAAGCAUACACAUGACAAUGAAGAAUUGAAGAUUGUGAACGGUUUACUUGUGCGGCUAUGUUAGAAAAAUUUGACUGAUCGUGAAGAUAUUUAGAGAUCGUCCAUCUUGGUACUGCUAUUGUUGGAGCCUUGAAGUGUCAACUUCUCAUCGUUGCCUACAGUUGCCUCAUUGAUGAAUUGUAGGCAAACUGAAAAUUGCUUGGGAACUGUUUCAAAGUUUGCCCCGUACAGGCCUAAUGCAAAAUGUUGUAACAUAUAACAUCAUGAUUCAUGGGCUUUGUGAUGAUGGGGCAAAUGGAUAAGACACAUGAUUUAUUUCUUGAUAGACCAUUCUCAGGGCACAAAGGGUGUGGUGCCCAAUUGUGCCAUAUUUACUAUGCUUAUGCGAAAGAAUGAGACAUCAAAAUUUUCAUCACUCAAUGGAUAAAAGAAAUGUAAUGCCAGCUGCAUCUAUAGUUUCAAUUGGUGUGCGCUUACUGGUUAAGAAUGAAAUUAGUUUAAACUUGAUGCCAGAAUUCAAGAGACGGUUAAUUAGAUGAGUUGAAUGUUGAUUUAGUAGCCUUGAAGUUUUGCAAAUGUUUCCUGAUGGAUAAAUUGAACUUGUAUGCACACAUGUAAACUAAAAGAAAAAUUAUUUUAAUAGAAAACGUGCUUUAAGCAUGUCCUUCGGCAUGAGGUAAUACUAUAAAGUUUUUUUUUAAGUAAGGUUAUAAAUUCUAGCAAUUGAGUCUCAAUUUGAUAUUAUAUUCAUCUGGUAUAGGGUAGAAUAUUAAUUUUUUCAAUUAUAAAAUUUACUAUCUAAUAGAUGAACAACACUUAACAGUUGAGAAUGAAAUGGAGACUCAAUUGUUGGGAGUCCAAUCACUUUUUUCUCUUUUAACUUGCUAUUUUUGUUGUCCGAAAUUAUCUGAAGUUCCAUGCUUGCUCCAAUAGAACAAAUAAGAUAGGUUAUGAUCAACUUUUUUUUUUUCCAAAUAAAGGAACCACCUGCAUCGAUACUCCAUAAGCAAGUUUUUUCUUUUGACUGCCCCUUAUAUUUGUCACACUCCUUGUACUAGUGCCCAAUGAAACCACAACAGAAGCAAAAAUAUGGCAAUCUCUCAUAUACUACUGUAAUUGGAACAUCGUCUUCACCUUCAAGUUCUAAAUAACCAAUUUUCUUUAGUGGUUGUGUGAUAUCAAUUGAGAUACUUACUCUGGCAUACUAACCAAUGCACUCUCCUUCCACGUCCACAUCAACUUCUUCAACUAUACCAAUUGCCUCUCCCAAUGCUUUGAUUAUUUGCUGGUCUAUACACCCAACUGGGACAUUAUGAAGUUGUACCCAAAGGCAGCAUGAGUAAAUGAUUGUUUUGUUAUUUCCCCAAUUCCACUUGCCUCUUUUAGAACUAUUAGAGCUCGUUCAAAAUGCCACUGCCCACUUGAUAAAAUUCUCAUCUUAUCAACUUCAAAGGCAAAUUUAACUUAAAAAUCUUACUCCCCAGAUUUUCAAUUUCACCUAUUCUACUAUUCUGCAUACUUGUUGUAAUGCUCACUUGAGACCCUCUCUAGUAACUCCUCUUAGAUGUAAGACUUUGCCCAGAAAACAGCCCUCAACUAGCUCUCUCUCAUUCCCUUUCAUGACAUUACCAACAACUUCUUUACUCUAUUUUCCUUCUUCUAAUAUAAUAACUUUACACUUGCAAAUUAGUUCUUCUGUUUUCAUUAGGCACUAAAAUAUAAAUCCAUUGUGAUAACUCUUGAGUAUCUACCACUUCCUCUGUAAUUAAGACUCAACAACUCAAAUGAAAAACUUAAAAGUAAAAGAGACACCCAACUCGUGAGCAACUUUCGCAAUCUUAUGGGCUACUACCAUUUCAUUCUAGAUUCUCGCUCAUAGGGGGAGAACCUGUGAAGAAAGACUUCUACAGGUAGGAGACCGCUUACACAGUAGAUUAUUUAUAUUUCUUUGGACUAACUUUUUACUUUAUCAAAGACAAAAACAACAUAAACAAAGACAGAAGAUUAACAAAAGCAUCAAUUGCCAAAGAGUAGAGAGUAUUAUUAUAUUUUAGGAACAUAGGUUAUGACCAACUUAAAAGAAGCAGUUAGGGCUUGUUCAGUACUGUUUUAAAAGCCUUAUUUUCAUUUUUGUUUUGGGAGUACAAAUAUAAUACAUAUUUAGUGGGUUGAAUCCAAAAAUUAAAUCAUAAAAAAGAAUUGAUAUUCACUUUUACAGUUAUAAAAUUAAGAACCUAUUGAACAUGUUCUCAAACAAAUUACAAAUUAAAUUAAAACAUAAACCCCAAAAUAAAAUCUAAAAAGUUAUCUUCCUCUCCUAAAAUCUUAUCUCCUCCCUCUCGUUAUCUCUUCACAACUCUUCCUUCUUCAUGGUAGAUACUUCUCCUCUAACCACAACCCACCUGAACUGUGCACCGAUCUCUCUCUCCCCAUCCCCUUUAUCUAGGUCUACUUCACAGUUCUCUUCCUCUCAGUGGCUGUUACUUGUUCAUCAACCGCAAUCCAUCGUCGUAAGGUACUACGUCGGAAUAUUUUACCAAAAACAUGUCAAGACAAAGUGAUGUCUAUCAUGGUUUAUUACUGCAAGUGCAUUAUUUUCUUUGUACUAAAGUGAAUCUUUGAUGUAUUUAUUAAAUUUGGUGGAGCAAUCUUAGUUAAUUUUGAUGAUUUAUAUAUGCAUUUAAUUUCAUUUUUAAUAAUUCAUGUGCAGGAAAUAUGGAUUCUUGGCUUUGCUUGGACUGAUGGUUUGGGCAAUUUCAUUUGGAAUCAAUCAACUUCGAGGAUAAACACUUGUAGUUCAUCCUUUGUUCUCUAAUUUUGUUCAUGGGACUUGCUUUUCUUCCAUCCAACUUUUUUGUUCUCUAUUUCUAUGGUAGCAGUUUUAUGUUUUGUGUUGGUGGGAAACUUCAUGCUGCAAUUUUGUCAAAUUCUGUUGACAUACCCUAAUCAGUAAUGACUUUGCUGCAUGGCGAAAGCAUAAGCUCAUAGUUGACAUUGUUGUCAUUAGAGCUUGUUUCCAUAAAAAAAAAGUGUAAUUUGAAAGUACAUUGUACACUAUUGAAUUUGAAUUAUCUCCAACAAGUGUUGAUGCAUGAUGUCCAUCAUGUAAUUUUUUUAUAAUUAUUUUGUUUAACUUAUAUGUGUUGUAAUAUAUAGCUUAAUUAUAGUGUAAAAACAAUGGCAAUGUAAUUUUUUUAUUAAUGCUAAUACUAAAACUUUAUCAUCAUGCAAUGUUUUAUAAUUAUUUUGAUUAAAUUAUUUAUGGUAUAUUUUUGUAUUAAUUAAAUAAACAAUUAGUUUUUAUUAAAAAAAUUAUGACUUACAUGUUUAGUAAAAAUUGUUCAUGAAAAUAGUAUUACCGAACACAUUUUCUCUGUGUUUAUCUUUUUCAAUUGUGUUUACGGAACACAUGUUACUGUUUUCAAUUUAGAAAAUACAAGAUAUAGAAAAUGAUAUUAGAUGUCUAUUUAAUUCAAAAUGCAGCAACUGCAAAACACUAUUUUUACUCUCAUUUUUCUUUUUAGAAAAUACUAAUUUAGAAACAAUACCAAACAAGAACUUAGUUUUAGUACGAAUAAUGUUGUGUUAGUUUUAUAGGUUUACAUGCACCCUUAGAUUUAUUAGAAGUAUCAGCCCAACCCCCUAGUUACUGUUGACUAAUAUCGAACCCGCUGCCCGAUGUUGACUCUUGAAAGUAACUAUAACAUCUAUAUUGUAAUCUCACUUUAUUAACUAAUAAAUUUUAAAAAUAUAAACAGAUCAAUAAUAACAAAAUAAUUAAAGUUGAAAUCCAAGAAAUUACACAAAAAACCACACCUAAACCAAACCUGAAAACCAAAAUGCAUAAAAUUUCAUUAAUUUAGGUUGUGACAAUGAGUCGUCUACAUUAUAUGAUGAAGGAACAACUUCUAUCAUUUUACCAAGUUAUUAAUACUAUGUUUACGUACUAGAGUGGGCCUGAGAAGUAUAGAUUCCUCACACACUAGAGUUUACUUGCAUAUUCUAAGAGGUGUGGGAAUCUCACUCCGUUGAUCCCACCCAAUUUUGAAGUAGGGAGUGUGAUUUCCACUCCCACAAGGGAAGGUCCACUCCCACAACUUUAUUUUUUACCUUUCUUUUAUUAAAUUUAAUACAAUCAUAUUUAGUAAAAUAAAACAAAUAACAUCAUAUUUAUUUAAUAAAUAUUAUUAUAUUAUUUUAUAAAAUUCUAUUUAUUAAAAAGAAUAAUAUUAAUCUUAUUUAGAUAAAGUUAUUAUUAUAUUUAUUUAAAAAUAAUAGCAUUAUAUUUAUUUAAUAUUAAUAAUUAAUAUUAAUAAAUAGUUUAUUCUAAGAAAAUAUUUAUUUUGCACUAUAUUAUUAAUAAGAGAUAUUAUCAUUUUUCCACCAAAAUUAUUCUGAUACAUCAUGUUAGUAGCACGGUUUGGUAAAAACAUCAUUUUACCACCAAACGUUUAAAUUGUUAGUAUUUUUCCACAAUUCCGUUAAAACUCAGUUAAUAUUUAAUGGAAAAUGCAUAAAAAGUCAAUUUUACCCCUGGAGCAUAAAAGAUAAUUUUACCCUUUAAAAAGGAAGAACGACAAAAGAUGAUUUAAUUACAAAAUUACCCCCAAAAGACGACAAGACAAUUUUACCCUUUAAAAAGGGAGAACAACAAAAGACGAUUUAAUUACAAAAUUACCCCCAAAAGACGACACUGCUGCGAGAGUGAGAGAGAUAUGGGUCAGUGACAGUAAGCGAGAGAGGACGAAGAUGGAACAAGAAACGAGAGAGAGGGGGGUUGAUUUCGAUUUUUAGGGCUUCCAUAUCCAAAUUGCUUGUUUUUUUACAAUUGCAAAACACAACGUUUUGCCUUCGCAUGAGAUGUCCAAAAUGCCCUUAUGAUGUCAACAUAAUUUUUAUUUAGUUAACGGAAUGGUGGGAAAAUACUAACAGUAUAAAUGUUUGGUGGUAAAAUGAUGUUUUUAUAAAAUCGUAGUACUGAAAUGAUGUAUCAGAAUAACUUUGGUGGGAAAAUGAUAAUAUCCCUAUUAAUAAUAAUGUUUUAUUUGUGUUGCUCUUAUCAAUAAUUUUUAAUUUAAAUAAUUAAAAUUAAAACUAAUAAAAAUUUAUGAUUUACAUAAUUAAUAAUAUUAAUAAUUAUUGUUAAUUUACAAAUAUAGUGAAAUAAUAUAUUUUAUUUCAAAUAUAUUUUUUUAUUAAUUUUGUAAUUAAAAGGUACAAUUCUUUAAAUAAGUGUAAAACCGUAAUUUGAAACCAUUUACUCCCUUCUCAUUCUAGUGAGAGGAAACAACUUGCUCCCACUCCACACUCUUAAUCACAAGAUUCUCACUUCUCAAUAUUCCCACUAUAAUUUAAAAUGUAAACACCGUUUAAAACAUCAAAUAAAAUUCUCAAUUAAGUAAACCAUAAUGUGAUUGCAUAUAAAAAAAAAUUAAUAAUAUUAAUUUUCAUAAGAAUUUAUGCUCGUAGUAUUACUUUACUUUUUAUUAACCGUUGCUUCAACUUAUGGUAGAUUGUAACAUAUGCACUUUAAUUUUCUUAAUUAAGUGUAUUAUUUAAUUUUUCUCAUUCGAUGUUAAUUUUAAAUUUGUUUUGACAUAAAAUUGAGACAAUUCGAAUACGAUUCAAUGGCCGUGUAGCUGGAUUUUAUUUCAACAUGGGUCAGGCAUUAGCUUAGUUAGUAGUAAUCUUUAAAAAAAAAAGCUAGUUUAUAUAAAUGGAAAAGGGGGAGCUGAUUUCCAAAAGAGGAAAGAAAGAGGGGCACGCGAGAGAAAAUGAGAGAGAGAGAGAGAGAAGUUGACCCGUUUAGCCCGACCCGACCCGACCCACAAGACCGACCCGGCUCCAACUCCCGUUUCUGGCCACCAUUCCAAUCAAGCUUGGUACCAAUCUGAAGCUUGAGCGACGCUGGCCAUAUCCCCGCUGUCAUCGUCACCGAAAAACAGCCACAACGCCGGUGAUCAUCGUCAAUCUCGCUGGAAUUAGGUUGCACCACCGGCUGGGUUCGACUCCUCACAUCACCAGCUUUCAUUUCCGACUAACCCCGCCACCUGAAACCUCUGUUUUGGCCCUGAAUGACCACCGGAAAGCUCACGGCUUUGGGAGCACGAUCCGCCGCCAUCUCCGCGUGUGGGAGGUCACCGUCGACGCCAUUGGGCUCACCGAGGUUAGAACUAUCAUACUUGAGCUUUCCGUCGCCGUUGACUGAAGUCCGGUCACCGUUGAGCAGUGGGGGCAAUUUGGUAAUUUCACAAGACUUUAAGGUGGAUUUUUAAUUUGGUAAUUUUAGGUUAGGGCAGUGAGGUAAUUUAAGACUUUGAGGGUAAUUCGGUAAUUUAAGUUAUUAAGAGCAUUUUGGUAAUUUCGCACUUUGAGGGUAAUUUCUUAAAUUCAAAACUUGUGAUUAAUUUUGUUAUCCGAAUUGAGGACAAUUUGGUAGUUUAAGAUAUUGAAGAUGAUUCGAUAAAUUAUGAUUCCGAUGGUACUUCGGUAAAUUUCGGUGUCAGGGGCAUUUUGGUAAUUUUUGGACAUAAGGGUAAUUUUGAAAUUUUAUGUAUCCGGGAGUUUGGUUUUGAGCUUUAUUUCAUACUGUUAGUCGUAUUUCAUGAUACAGAUAAUAAUUAUGUCGUUUAUUUAAUUAGGAGGACUCGCGAGCAAAAAUCAACCAGCGGACGUUAGUGAUACCGAGUCUGGACAUCGUCACUGUGAGUGGAAUAUACAAAACUUAUUUUCAUGGUAUAUUCUGAUUUUACCAUACAGUACAACAUGUUUUGAUAAUAAGUAUUUGAUGCUUUGAUUUAAUGAUUUUCUAGAAAUUUGAUUUUCAUUCUACGUGCUGAUAUUUAUUAUUAUUGAAAAUGAGUUUGAUUAAUGAUUUUAUUAUCAUUUUUUUUGAGUAAAUGCAUGAUAUUAGAAUUGAGUGGAUUUGAGAUAUGUUGAAUAAAAAGGAAAUGGGAUUUUAUAUGUGAUUAUAUGUUUGCGUGCAUGUGCAUAAAAGAUUGUUUGGAAAAUCAUUGGAAGUACCUUUCCCCUUUUAGAUACAGAGAUACAUAUAAUAUGAGAUGAAUACAGUGAUACAGAUGAUAUGAGAUGAGAGGUUUUUGGGGCCCGUCUGAACACACACAAAGACUUUGGGCCGUGUGUUUGGGCGCUUUUGCCUUUUGGGGGCUUAUGCAUACAGUAUGAUGAUUACAUAAAUACAGAUGUUGAGAUACAUGAGAUAUGAGAUGACAUUUUCCUAUAUAUCCAUUGUAACUCCAGGGCAUGAUGGUUCCCUGAUUGUCCGUCCGUUGAGGUCCGAAUAUGAUGAGAUUAUUCCGCUGGAUACUUGUUUGAUGAUAGUUUUUUGUAUCUAGUAUUUGAUAUUAUAAGUAUUAUGAUUUCAUUGAUUUUAUGCAGAUUUAUGUAAUAUUGUUAUUUCAGUGCAUGAAUUAAAUUAAAUAAGUUUAUGUAAGUUCUUAUGAUAUUUUGAUGAAAUUAACUUGGAAAAGAUUAAAUCAUUUUAAAUAAAUUUAUUUUUCCAAAAACUACUAUCCACUCACUGAGCUCACUGAGUUUUAUAUUCACCCCGUUUUUAUUAUAUUUUUCCUCCUAUAGGAAAUUUGCAGGUACAUCAGUCGACCCAGCAACGAUAGUUAGAUUGAAAUUAUGGCCACGUGAUGGUGUUAGAAAUCAUAGAUGUUUUGUUGGGACAUGUUGAAUUGUAUAAUUUAUUACUUAUUUGUGAUUAAGGAUAAAUCAUUAUAUUCUUGACAUUAUAUGAUUGAAGGAUACUGAUAUUUAAAUUGAGGAAGUUGGUUGUGGAUGUUGAUUAAAUAUUGUAUUAUUUUUUGGAGUAUUAAUUGUAUAAAUUGUAGGUUUGGGGAUGUCAUAAUUAUAUAGAAAACUGUCGAAUUUUUUGUAAAAUUCUUAGAUAUCAGAAUUAUUAUUAGUUUGAUUAGGCGAGAUUAGAUAGACUCGUCCUGGGGAUUCGGGGCGGGUCGUUUCAUAGAUAUUAAGAGAACAAUAAUAAUAUAGCUAUAAAUGGUUGCAUACUAUCAAUCAACUUAACACUAUAAUUACCAACAAAUCCUUAAUACUAUAAAUAAUUAAAUUAUUGGGGUUUUAAAAUAACUCUCCAAACUUUGCAUGAUUUCUUUAUAUGUAGGUGCCAUGGUUCCUAUAAGUAAUAUCAGCCACACUUUUUGUUAUUGUUAAAACAAAUUUAUAAGUACAAUUUGUGAAUUUGUACAAAAUGUGGUAUUAUACAUUUGAAGCAUGAACCGAGAAGACAAUGUUGUGUCACUAAUAAAGAAAAAAAAAUUGUAUAAAAUACAGAUGUUGUAGUGUAACUUGUAUUCUUUUUAUUUAUAAUUGUACCUAUCAUGUGAUUAUAAAAAAAACUGAGAUUUUAAAAUUUUGUAAUUGCACUAUUUUUGGAUUAUCAGAAGGCUUCCUCUCCUUAGUGAUGCCCUUAAUCCAUAAAUGGUCCAAAAAAUAAUUCAUGAAAUGAAUUUAUUAUUUUAGAUAAGUUUCAAGUACGCAUACCUUUACUAGCUCCAUAUUGCAUAACUCCUCAUUUCAAUCAAUGGAUACAUUUGUUUACUUUUUCUUUCUUGUAAAUUUUUGAAUGGCCACAAUUCUAUAGAUAAUUAAUUAAGUGUUAUUGUUAUCAUUAUUUUGUAGAUUUAUAUGUGAGGUGGGGACGUUGGGGGGCAUGUAUCUCAAUAUAGCAGAGGGCCAUAAUAUUUAUUCUUUAAGAGGAACCACAACCAACAUCAAUGCUUUAAGUUCCAUUCCAUGUUCCUUCUAUGCACCAGAUUGCAUAAACAACAUUGAUUAUCCAAGGUCAAAGUCUCUCAAAGACUCUAGUUACAAUACAAAGCAUGGGUUAGCGGCCAAAAUUUUCUUGCAAUGAAAGGCUCGUAAACUGAUGAUAGCUGUUGGAUGGUUUUGGGCCCCAAUGGUUUUAAUAUUAUUCUCUUAAAAACAUAUAUGUUGAUUAGAGACGAGAGGAAAAAUAUAAUCUGAUUCAGCAAGCUGCAGAGGAAAGAGCACGCAGUGGAGUUCAGAUUUUGAAUUCUCUUGUUAAAUUGUUUUUAAUUUACUACAAGGUAGAAUACGUUGCAGUGUUAAAAAAACACUUUGAACAUCCUAUUUUUGUAUUACAAAUAUACCAAGAUUUAAAUUAUUAUUUUUCUUUAUUAGUAUAAACUAAAUUUUGCCUGAAUUCUCAUCCUUGUAAGUGGAAUUUUAUUGUGAAACUAAUAGUCAUUCCUAGUUGAACUAUCACUUUGAACAUAUGUGUCCUCUCUAAUAACAGCUUCCAAACCUGCAGCUACCUGCUUCUCAGCAUUAGAAGUAGCCAUAAUUAGGAGGAGGGCAAACUUCCAAAUAACAUUCCAAAUGGUAUUGUGAAAAAAUUUCACCCUUUUGGUAAUAAAAAAUAACCUUAUUUCUAACUUUCUAUUAACAAUCUUACCACAAAGUUCUCUCUCAAGUAGAAACAUUAUAUAUAUAUAUUAAUUUUUUGUUAAAAUAAACAAAACCAGUGGCGGAUCUACAGCUGGGCUAGGUCUAGAAAAAAUCAUUUAAACCCCUUGUCUUUUGAUUCAUUUUACAUAAGGAUAGACUUUUUAUUUUAUUUUUAUAUAAGUCCCCAAUUCAGUUACAAUUAUGUUUUUGUCAAAUUUCAUAGAAUAAUAGAGUUUUUACUUUAUUUUCAAAUAUUUCCUUAACUCAAUUAUAUUUUUUUCCCAACUGAAAUUAAUGACUUAUUUUAUAAAAUAAUUAAAUUAUAUAUUUAUUGAAUAGAUUGAAAACAUUAGGGGUUUAAAAUGUUAUUUUUAAUUUGUUUUUAAAAAAUUUAAUUUAACAAAGUAUGUGAAUGUAAUAUAACAUCGUCACUAUUAUUAAAAAUACUAAAAACAUAUAUAAUAAAAAUUAUUCAUAAAUUCAUAAAUUUUUUAUGUAAAUGUUAACAUUUUAUUUAUUAUUUACAUUAACUUAGAGGAUAAGUUAGAAAGUAAAAUUUGAGUAUUUUAAUCUGAUUUUUUAAAGAGAGUCAGAGUGUCUGGCAAAGAAAUAACGGCACGCAAGUACCUUUUUGCUAGGUUAGAGUUUAGUUUAUUAUUGAAACUCUUGACGACUAAUAUUUUUAUAAUUUAAAAAGAUGAAUAGAUUUUAAUUGUUUAAUUUAUUUAAGCUUGGUAACUAAGGUGGCAUUUGUUUUUUAACUUAAUGACUUAAAGUGACUUAACUUAAUUAAUUAAGUUAAUUAGAAGUGUUUGUUUUUAUAACUUAGACUUUUUAGAUAAUUUUGACUUAAUAAAAUAAGUCAAUUUUUUUGGCUUUUUACUUAAUGGAGAAAUUUGAAUUAAGUCAAUUACUUACUAAUGUCAAAAAUAUCCAUGUUUUAUAAUUUAUUUUUCAUAUCUAUCCCAAAACUCACCCAUAGAACAUUUACCCCACAUAAAAAUAUCCUUAUUUUUUAUUUCUUAUAUUAUAUACGAUAAAAUUUGAAAUUUAUGGUAUUUUAUAUAUUGAAAUUCUAAAAUAAUUAUGUAUUCACUUGAAUAUAGUUUUACUUAUAAAUGUUAAAAUAUUGUGGUAUUUAAUAUAUUAUUUAUUUGACAUUCAAAUUUAAUAAGGAUACGAAUGUAAAAGUACAUAUUUUUAGCUUUUUCAGUUGAAAAAAACAAACAACUCAAUACUUAUUUUCCGAGAUUCAAACGAAAAAACAAACAUAUUAUUCAGAUUCAGACAUACAGAUCUAUUCAGAAUUCAGACUAAUUCAGGUCUAUUCAGAUUUCAGACAAAAAAACAAACGCCACCUAAGUAUUUUUCAAACAUAAAGUUGUACUUGCACUUUUUAAAUGAUUAUAAUUACAUUUAUUGACUUAUUCUAAUUUAAAAUUCUUAAUAGAUUUAUUAAUUCUUAUAUAAUUAGAUGUUAUUAUAGGUUGCAAUGUUAGAUUUAAUAAUUAAAAAUAGUAUUUUUAUAUUUGAAUUAUCUUUUGUUUUUUAGUAUUUUUGUACAAUUAUUUUUGUUUAGAGUAUAUAUUCGUAGAGUUUUUCGUGUCCCCAUUAUUUGAUGUACUUCUUUUUACUUAUGAAUAUUUAUGUUCACUUCAAAAUAUAAAAUUUUAAAUUUAGCCCGGGGUAAUAUAAAUUCUUAGGUCCGCCCCUAAGCAAAACUAAAUAUUUAUGACUUAAAAGAUAGGUGUUGAACAGAGGCAGUCUCACAGAAAAAAAAAAAAAAAGUAUUUGAAAGCAGUGGUGAUAUCAUAAUUUUUUGUAUUGAUAUGAGAGUAUCAUACUAGAUUUUUUUCCGCAAUACAAAAAGUUUGUAUUCAAGAAUAAAUAAGCAAUUUCGGGAACAAAUUUUACAAAAAGCCUCGAGGCCAUGUCGUAUGAAUUUGUGAUACCAAAAAUAGUAUACUAGUCAAUAUAUCUUCUUUCCACAUUACAAAAAAUUAGAAAUGCAAUCUAAAUCGAUAUCAAUUAAUAAUUUUAUAGUACACGAAAUCAAGGUAUUUUUUCAUAAUUUAAGAAAUUAUUAGUCAUUUACCCUAAAUUUACUUUGUCUCCAAAAAUACUACGAAAACUUUAACUUGUUUAGUUUUUUACCUUAAUUUAUAAUUUAUAUCAAUCGCUCACUAAAAAGAUAAAAUUAGCUCAUAAAAUGACAAAAUAAAAACAAACACAAAUGACAAUACCAGUAAUUUUAUAAGGAUAAUAAAGUCCUUUUGGCACCAAAUUACGUAUUAAAAUAAUUUAAAUAUUAUAAAUUAUUUUCAGAUUGAGUGAGGAACCCUGGUCAUUUUAACAAUUAUGGUCAUUUAAUCUAUCUAAACAUGAUAUUUCAAGUAGACUUAUGUUUGCGUGGGAGGAUAAUGUAAAAAAAGUGGCACUUUUAUUCAACUGAAUAAAUUUCACAAUUUAAAUUAGAAAAGGAUAAAAUUUAAUAAUUAACUAUUUUUUUAACUAAUUCAAUCGGGAGCCAUUAUUUGUAGGCUGUAGCGGUCCCAAAAGCAUGACAUUAUUGUGAGUAAUGUAUCCUACUUGCAAAAUAAACGGCAGAAUGCGGUUUGGGGACGGAUUAUCGAGGUAUUUGUUAAUAUUCGGAAAUGAGAAGAAAAGGUCAAAUAAAAUUUUAACUUAUUAUUAUUAUUAUUAAAGAUUGUAACUCAGAUGAUUAGACAAAUAAAGGAACUUAAGGCCACUUGGCGGCUUCACUAGGAGCUGUUUGAGUUUAAUUCUAUUGGUAAAAUUCUAUUUUGGUAAUUCUAUUCUUCUUCUUUUCAACCCCAAAUAAUCAAAAGCUCUCCAAUGGCUUUCGUAUCCACAACUCGUCCAUUUCAUUUUACUUCAAUUUCAGUAUCAGCUCUUAGAUGUAAUUUCUCAUCUUCGUUCCCUCAUACCAGAAAACCCACAUCUUCAAUUUCGGAAAAUGAACCCUCAUAUCCGACUACAACAGCUAAACUGAAGGAGUCGCUACGACUGACAGUCAAAGACGGAGCCUCACUCGAAAAAUUUCUUAAAGAAAGGUGCAAAUCAUCAGGUCAAGGUGAUAUUAAUCUUAUUACUCCUAAUGAAGCCUUGUGUAUCUUUGAUUACAUGCUCCGUAUGCACCCUUCUCCGCCUCCUGUCUCUUCCUUCAAUAUUUUGUUUGGUUGUCUUGCUAAGAAUAAACAUUAUGAUACUGUCCUUUCACUCUUCAAGAGACUCAAUUCAAUUGGGUUGUUUCCAGAUCUUUAUACUUAUAGUAUCUUGAUUAACUGCUUUUGCAAAAUGGGUCGAGUUUCUCCUGGUUUUGUUGUUCUUGGGAGAAUCCUCAGGUCUUGUUUUACUCCAAAUGCUGUGACCUUUACUUCUUUGAUUAAAGGUUUGUGUGCGGAGGGUAGAAUCAUGGAGGCCGCUGCAUUGUUUAUGAAACUUAGAGUGUUUGGUUGUGAGCCUAAUGUUUUUACAUACAAUACUUUGAUUAAUGGAUUGUGUCGAACUGGCCAUACAAUUGUUGCUCUAAAUUUAUUUGAAGAGAUGGCUAAUGGAAAUGGGGAAUUUGGUGUUGUUUGUAAGCCAAACACUGUUACAUACACUACUAUUAUCGAUGGUCUUUGUAAGGAAGGUUUUGUGGACAAGGCCAAGGAACUGUUUCUGAAGAUGAAGGAUGAGAAUAUUAACCCCAAUGUGGUUACUUAUAACUCUUUGAUUCACGGUUUUUGUUACGCUAAUGAUUGGAAUGAGGCGAAGUGUUUGUUUAUUGAGAUGAUGGACCAAGGGGUACAGCCGAAUGUUGUGUCUUUUAAUGUGAUCAUGAAUGAGCUUUGUAAAAAUGGGAAGAUGGACGAAGCAAGUAGGCUGUUAGAAUUGAUGAUUCAGAUUGGUGUGCGUCCAAAUGCUUUUGUCUAUAACACAUUAAUGGACGGGUUUUGUUUGACAGGUAGAGUUAAUCGUGCGAAGGAACUAUUUGUUUCUAUGGAGAGUAUGGGUUGCAAACAUAAUGUUUUUAGUUACAGUAUUUUGAUAAAUGGUUACUGCAAGAAUAAGGAAAUAGAGGGAGCGUUAAGCCUUUAUAGCGAAAUGCUCUCUAAAGGUAUUAAGCCAGAUGUUGUUAUAUAUAACACCUUGUUUAUUGGCCUUUUUGAAAUACACCAGGUUGAGCGUGCUUUCAAGCUGUUUGAUGAGAUGCAACGUCAUGGCGUGGCAGCUGAUACCUGGGCGUAUAGAACCUUUAUUGAUGGGCUCUGCAAGAAUGGUUAUAUUGUAGAGGCAGUUGAACUAUUUCGUACUUUGAGAAUUCUCAAGUAUGAACUUGAUAUUCGAGCCUACAACUGCCUCAUUGAUGGAUUAUGUAAAUCCGGCAGACUCAAAAUUGCAUGGGAACUAUUUCGUAGUUUGCCUCGUGGAGUCCUAAUAGCAGAUGUUGUAACAUAUAACAUCAUGAUCCACGCGCUUUGUGCUGAUGGAAAAAUGGACAAGGCACGUGAUUUGUUUCUGGAUAUGGAAGCAAAAGGUGUAGCACCCAAUUGUGUCACAUUUAACACGCUGAUGCUAAGUUGCAUCCGCAAUAAUGAGACAUCAAAAGUUGUUGAACUCCUUCACAGAAUGGAUGAGAGAAAUGUAAUACCAGAUGCAUCUACACUUUCAAUUGUUGUGGACUUACUUGUAAAGAAUGAAAUUAGCUUAAACUCGAUUCCACAAUUCAAGAGUCAAAGGUAAGUGAGUUUAAUAUUGAUUUAGUCGCAUGUUUCUUCUGCCUGAAAACCCGAUCUGGAGGAUCCCAUUCUUAUUAACACAUGUAAAGGAGUGUUGUCUAAUGUUGGCAUGUUCCUAGGUUCUGUCCAUGGAUUCUGUUUGCGGACAUGGCUAACUUCUUGUCCAACAGAUAAGUUUUAAAGUCUUUCAACUUUAUGUUGUAAAAUAACAUUUUUAUUAUUCAAUUCAUGAGUUUUCCUUCUGUAUCACAUACUUCUCAUUAGCUGGAAGCGCAAAUUUUUUAGGCUUUUCCUGUAUGGCCUCUUUUUCUGCUCUAAAUAAAAUGGCAUUUUAUUUCUCUCUUGUGAGGGUACAAGGUUUAUGUUUAAACUUUCUGUUAGUUAAUUUGGUUGUCUUUGAUAUAGGGAACUUCCAGUUGAACUGAUUUGUAAUUCGAGUAUAUGAGAUUACCAACUGUAUUGGGAAUUGAUGCCAAAUUAAUUAUGUCAUCAGGUUUUUCAAUCAGUGUUCAUCAUUUAUUUCUGUUAACAAUUAAUAGCACAGCUUGACUUCUCAGCUUCAUUGGUUCCUCUCAAAAAUAAUCUUGUAAAGACAAUCUUUCUUGGGCAUGGAAAAUGCUAGAUUGUUACAUGGCAUUCAAUUGAAUGAGGACUCAUGAUUGUGUGUAUUGGUAUUUGUUAUACUAUGUAUUGGCAAGACAAAGUUUCUUGAAACUGACAAACUUUUCUCUAUGAAGAUUGAAGAAAAUAUGAUAAGAUAAAAUUUAUCAAAAGCAUAUAUGCUUGCCAGGGAUGGACCUUUGAUUAUUAGUCCUCGCCUUUCGUGCUUGUCUGUUCUGUGAAAUAAUUCAUUCUCCAUGCUGCUAGGGCCUAGGCUUAUGACUCUUCUUUGAAAUAAUUCAUUCCCCACAAUGUGAAAAAAAUGCUUGAAACACGACACAGACUUAACUGUUUACAGGAAAAGCGGCAGAAACUUGUGAAAUUACCGAUUAAAAAGUACCUACCAUGAGGAAGAUGCUAUACAACUCACUCGGAAAAUGUAAAAUGGUUAACAGACAUCCAAGAUGAUCAACCAGAAACACAAUUCAGAACAUGGGCUGCUUUUGGUUACCCGGCUUUCAGAUUAGGAGAUUAGGAUCCUAAAUGCUUUGAUCUACCUGAAAAGUAUACAAAUAUCAGAGUUAAAACAGAGCAGAUGAAAACGUAUUGAUGAACUCAACUGAGAUAAAUGACAAGAAAACUAACUUUUCCUGUACAAAACUCGCACACCUUCCUUUAAGAGCUGACUUUCCAAGAAGAGAUCACCACAAUCGUUCACAUCAACAGUCUCCACUUGAAAAUUUUUAUAACCACAAUAGUCAUUCCAUUCAAACCACAUCCUUGAGAUCAGUUCCUUCUUCAAGCAAGUAGGAUGGUCUUCCUCUUGAGGAGGCUCAGCAGCAACCAAUCUAUAUGCAUAAACUUUCUUUGUUUGGCCUGGCCGGAAAGGCCUGCCGAUUGCUUGGCGGGUUUCUGAUGGAGUAAAGGUAACAUCCAGAAUAAUGAUCCAAAUUUUUGUGGACUUACAUGCAAAGAAUGAAAUUGGUUUAAACUCGAUUCCACAAUUCAAGAGUUAAUGAGUUUAUCUUGAUUCUGUAGCAUGUCUCUUCUGCUUUAAAACCAGAUCUGGGGAAUCCCAUUCUCAUUACAACAUGUGAAGGAGUGUUUGUGUAUUGUUGGCAUGUUCCCAGGUUCUGUUCACGGAUUCUGUUUGCAGACAUGGCUAACUCCUCGUUUCAUCAGAUAAGUUUCAAAGUCUGGCAACUUUUUGUUGUAAAAAUAACUAUUUCAUUAUUCAAUUCAUGAGUUUUCCUUCUAUGGUGCAUUUUUCUCAUUAGCUGUAGUUUCAAAAUUCGAGCGAAUUUGAAGAAACUGCAAAAGACUACAAAGCAAAUGGUGUAGAGCACCUUUCACUUAUCACGGGCACAGGAUUACUCUGACUUUCUGCAUUUUACUGUUGGCUAUGGUUUGAUGCAUUAUUUAUUGUUCUGAAAUACCAUUCUCGUUGGAAGUUCAAUCAUUACUGUUUCUUUUUUCCCCCCUUUUUACUUGAAGUUACCUGAAGCUCCAAUCGAACGAGUAAUGUAAUGUAGGUGUUGACCAACUCCAAAUAAGUAGUUAGUUGCCUAGUAGUUGCUUUGCAUGAAAUAUGUUUUUGGUAUGAAUAAUGUUGUCUUAAUUUUACAAGCUUCCAUGGAACUCCUAAUUUGUUGGAAGUAUUAACUCAACCCGUCAUUUAAGGUUAGAUUUAACCAUUGACUUAUGUUGACUAUUAAAAGUAUUAUAAUAUUCUAUAAAUAUAACGAAACCCCCCUUUAUUAACAAAUAUAAUUUAAAAUAUAAAAAAUUAAUAAUAAAAAAUAACAAAGUUGAAAUCCAAGGAGCAACUUCUAUCCCCUAACCAAGUUAUUAAAUAUUAGAGUAGAUAGAGGCAUAUACUUUUCUUCAUGAUUCAGAAUCAUAUCUCAAAUAAAAUUCUCAAUGAUUGCAGGCCUCAAUACCAUUAAGAUGAACUAGACUAUCAUGAAAUUUUGUGCAUCUUGCAAGGUCCAAUUUCUCCAAGUUUAUCAUCAAGCCAAAAAAUGUCAUAAUUCCUUUUAUAGUAAUUUCAUAGUGUUUACUAAACGGUAAUAGAAAUGGACUGAAACACAAAUAGGGAAUGCAAGUUAGAAUAAGGAUGGCAAUGGUGAGGGGGGAGGGGACCAACAUCCUUGUACCCAUCCCUGAUGUUCUGUAUAUGUCCCCAUCCCCUUCCCGUCCCCAUCAAAAUUACUUAAGGGAAUUCACGUCCUCCCUCUGAAUAAUAACAGGGAAUCCCCAAAGGUCCCCGAUCCCCAAAUAACUGAUAUAUUUGUUUAGUUUUCAAACUUAAUUUAAUCAUAUUAAGCUAAAAAUAUAUAAAAUAAAAUGAAAAUGAUCAUGAAUGCGCCUUAUAUUUCAUUCAACUUGGUAUAUAUAAUAUUCAAAUAAUGAUUUUCAAAAAAAAAUUCAAAUAAUGUGAUUUUUAUACAAUAUUGACGUGAUUGUUGUCCAUGAGUAACGAUACCUACUGAUCACCGACUAUGAUGCAACAAAGCCGCAUGUGUGGCUGCUAGUUGACAUUGCGAUGAGUUAGUGUAACCCCCACUUUUAUUUAUUUAUUUUUUUCCUCUUUUGCCCUUAUUAAACUGAGUAGGAUAGUUAUUAUUGAGUGUUUGUGUGUGAGUAAAAUUUAUCGGAUUGUUUUAAAUAAGUUACGUAAGUUAUUUUUUUUAAAAAAAAAUAUUUAUUAAUUACCAAGUAUUUAAGAGAAAACCAUAUUUUUAAGAAGCCGUUUUUUAUUUUUCUUACACCGUUACAAACCCUAGAAAGAAAAGAAAGAAAUAUAAGUCUUUGCAAAAGGAAAAGAAAGUUUUAUCACUUCUUUUCUUAGUGUUUGCUUUAAGGUAUUAAGUAUUUCUUCGACUUAUAUGAUUUAUUUUUAUGAAAUUGUUUGCAUUUAAUUACUUGUAGUAUGAAUUGGGUAAUAUAUGUGUUUGUAAUGUUGUGAUGAUAUGAACAGUCUCUAUUCCUUGCUUGAAAUCGUUUUCUUUAUUUAGAAUCACGUGAAUAUCUUACAUAUCAUGGAACUAGACAUCCUAGGCUUUCCAUUGAUAGGUUUUGUGUUGAAAUCGCCUGAGAAUGCAAAUUCUUAUGGGUUUUCGAAGUUGGGUUACUGGUGCUGGAAAAUUCCGAUUUUCAGCAGCGGUUCUCAACUCUGGAAAUUUUUCUAUAAGGUUACACAUCCUUAAAAAUUAUGCUGAUUUUUGUGCCAACAGAUCUAUGUCUCCUAUGCUUGCAUGUUUAAUUUCGUAGUUUUAUUCUUUAUGGUUGAAUUAUUAAAAAUCGUAACAUAUGGCUGCUGCAAAUCUGGAGACUGUUAUCCAGAAUUUCAGAAGCUGAAACGUGUAACAGUUGAGCUAGUUUAUGAAUAUUACAUGCCAUGUUAGGAUUUUAUAAUGAAAUUUCAAUCUUUCCUCUGUCUUUAAAAACUGGAAUCGCGAUUUUUGGGGAUGUAAAAUAAAAGAUACGAAUUUUUGAAAUUCUGUUUUCAAAUCUGGAAUUUUCUGGACGGGUUAGAUGUUCUCGGAAAUAAAACGUUUUAAAAUAGUCUCAGGAGUCCAAAAAUUAUGAAUUUUAAUUAUAUGCUUUUUGAAUGUGUCUUCUGUAAUUAGAAAAAAAGAUAGCAUAUUACUUCGAGUACCAAAGAAUAUUUUAUGAAUUUUCUAAGUGGAAAAGGUCUGUUUUGGUCAGUGCUGGACAGUUUUGUUACUUUGGUGAAAGGUCAAUAUUCUGACUCGAUUUUGACUUGUGCUGAUUUUUGUGAAAUAUUGUAUGCAAUGCUAUACAUGUUCACAGUGCCUCUGUAAAUUUUCAUGGUUUUCCGACAUGUGUAUAGGUUAUUAAAAAUCAUCAUGUGCAGGAUACUCAUAAGUAUAGGAUAUGUUUAGAAUAUGUAUAAGUAUUAAGCUAGUAUUAGUGUCUAUGAUUUAAGGAUGAUUGGGAUUAUAUUUAAGGUUAGAGAUGAUAUUGAUAAGAAUAUUUUUAUGAUGAUUAUAGGACGUGGGUGAGCUCGUUGGUUGUUCUUGAGGUUUUGAAUUGAUUGCUACGGAUCGAGAUAAGUAGAUUCAUGCAUGAUGUGCUUUAUAAUAAAUGCAAUUUAUGUUACAAAAAUUAUGUUUAAAUGGAAAUUUUUACAAAACUGAUUUCUAAAAUAUUUAAAUGAAUUUUGUAAAAUAAAAACACUUUUAAAUGAAUUUAUAUAAAUGAAUUUUAAAAUGAAUUUUUCUUAAGAAAUGAGUUUUCUUAAACAAAAUAUUUUCUUAAAGAAUUUUCUAAAAGAAUUAAAUGAUCAAAGAAAGGUUCUUAAAUGUUUUAGAAAACUUUAAAAGCUAUUUAUGAAAGGAUGUAAGGUGGAUUCAAAAUGUUUUGGCUUAUAGUCCGUAGUAAUGUAUACAAUGGAAAUGUUAUGAUGUUAUGUAAUAUUAUGGUCAGCUUGCUGGUACGAUGAUGGUCUUGUGCACAAGGAUGUUAUGAACAAUGUGGGACAUAGUACCCUAAAUGAGGAACAAUGCGGGGUAUAACACCCUAAAUGAUGAAUGAUGAUGAUUAUGAGGCAUGAGCUACCAAUGUUUACGCUUUAAUGUUUUCAUAAAUGUUUUAAUGUUUUUAUAUGAAUCCACCCCUUAUGUUAAAUGAAGAUGUUGUUAUAAAAUGUUUAAAGGUAUAUGACAAAGGUUUUCAAAUAUUGUGCAUGGAUUUGAUUACCGAGUUGACGGCUCACCCCUCGUCUCCAAUAUUUUACAGAUUGAUUAGAGAUAUGGCUUGGGUUCUUAGACGGAGAAUUUUUCUUAGUGGAUCUUUAGAGUUGUUUUAAAGAUUAAAUUUGGCUAGACUUCCUAUUUUGCAUUAGAGACUUUUCUUUGGAGACCUUAUUUCAUAUGUUUUAUGUAAGGAUUCAGUUGGAGUAUGAAUAAUUAUUGUUUAUCUUGAGAUUUAUUAAUAAGAAUAAAUGAUGUGAGGUUUCAUUCCAAUUUUACCCUUGUGUUUUCAUGAGUAAUUUUUGGGGUGUUACAGUUAGGCUACUCGGACACCGACAACGCAAUGUGCUACUGGGCUAUGAUGAGAUGAAGACGAGUUGCGUGCUUACUACUGCAUGAAUAAUUUGGAAAUUAUGAGCAAGACUGUGAGAAAGUGAUUUAGAGUUUGAUUUGUGAGUUAUGAGCUUGUGGGAUUGUGUGCUUUUGGUUGUAAUUAAGUCUAAAUUAUAUUAAACAUUUUAUAUUAACUAAUAUUUGUAUUAUUUGUAUAAAUAUUUUGAUAUUUGUUAUUUACACCAAUAUUUUAUAUUUUACAAUUUAAAAUUUAUUAUUUAUUGACUAAUAAUUCUAAAAAAAUAAAAAUAAAAUAAAAUAUUAAAAUAGGGAAAUGGGGAGGGGACGGGGAUUCCACCUCAUCCCCAUCCCUUCCCUGAAUAAGUAAUUGGGUAAAAAAUCGUCUUCGUCCCUUCCCCGAAUAAGAAGUUUGGCAUAAAAUCGUCCAUGUACCCUCCCCAAAUAGGAAAAAUCCCCAAGGGCCCCCAUCCCCAUGGGGAUUCCUGCCAUUUCUAAAUUAGAAUAAAUUAUUUACUUGAACUGUAGGAAUCAGAAUAAAAAUAAGCUGGAUUGUCAUUGAUGUGUCUAUUUUGUCUUGGAAUUGAAAUCAAAAUGAGUUACAUUUUAACAACUUACUAAAAAGUGCUUAAUGAGCUAUUGUCAUAAUUAUUAUUUUAUAUUUUAAUUAUGGUAAUUAUUUAUUCAAAAAUUAUAAUAAUUAUUAUUGUUAAUAAUAUAUUCAUAUAUUAAUUAAUUGAAAAUUAUUUAAAUUAAUUAAUUAUUAAUAUAUUAAUUGAUUAAUUAUAAUAAUACAUUAAUUAAUUAUAACUGAGGACAAAAUAAAUAUUUUUUAUUUUGUGAGGGGGCAAAAUGGUCAUUCCAAGGAAUGGGAGACUAAUUCCCGCCUCCCUUGGGAAUUAAUCUUCCAUUUGCCAUUCCCAAAUUGCGGUGGACUCAACGAUUUCAAUUCCGAUUCUUGACUCUAUUUUGUGAAGUAAAUGCUCUCAAUAAUUUCGAUUCCUCAAUCCGAAGAAGUAAACGCACAGUUACUGUUUCUUCUAAAGCUCAAACUUGUCAGGUUUGAGAGACCUGAUAGAUACUUCAGUCAUGCAUCUACUUCAUCAUAAGACAAACUGAAAGUUAGAAAUAAAAGGGACAACUCAAGGAAAAUGCACACAAGUGAGGUUUCAAAAUUAAAAUAGACACUUCAGCUGCAAAUCAGCAUACACAUACAAUGGAGGUCAUACAAAUAUCAUUUCUACAACCGCCCUACUGUAUUCUUGAAUGAAGAUGGUUUAAAGUCAAGUAAUAAGAUAUUUAAACUUAAGACAGAACAAUACAAUUAAAUUUGCUGGAACUUAUGAGUAACUUACUCUCAUCUCUCCUCCUAAUUUAAUUGGACAGGCGUAAAUUUUCCAUGUUAAUAUGGAUGAAGUAAAUUUUCUUUUUGUAAUAUAUCUAUGCAUUAAAAAAAAUUAAUAAUAAUAACUUUUACAAGCAUUUAUGCUUGUAUUAAUACUCUACUUUUUACUACACGAUUGCUUCAGUAUAUGGUGGAUGUUAAGAUAACAAUAAUAAUAGAAUUACAAAUACUUGCAUACUAUUAACUAACUUAACACUAUAAUAUUGUUUACGGUGUAAGCACUCGAGGUGAUGUUAAUAUGCCAAAGAUUUAAAAAUAUUAGUUCUAGCUUUUGAAGAAAAAUAUACUUUUAGUCAGAAGGGAAAAAAAAGCUUUCUAACAAGAUAUCAAAAUGGUUAAUAAGAAGAGCAGUAGUAAUGGGGUAAAAGCUCGUUUAGUCCCUAUAUUUUGAGGUUAGUACUUGUUUAGUCCCUAUAUUUUUAAAAAUGCUUUAAAACAUCUUUGUCGUUAAAUUAUUGACACCCCUGUCUUUACUUUGUAUUCCUUUUAGCUUACUUUUACAAUAUUACCAUUUUUGCAAUAUUGUUUAAUUUUUUGGACAUUAAUAAUAAAUAAAAUUACCAAUUUAACCCCAAAAAUAAAAUAAAGACAAAGAAAAUAUAUAUUAAUCUUUGUCGAAACUAUGUCAAAAAAAUAAAUAUUGUAAAAAAAAUUUAACUACUAAUUUUUUAGACAUUAAUAAAAAAAUUAAUAUAUUAAUUCCUCGUGGAGUAUUCAAAAAAAUUAAUAUAGAUUUUUUUUUGUUUCUAUUUUACUUUUUUGGGUUAAAUUGAUAAUUUGAUUUUUCUUGUUAUUAAUGUGCAAUAAAGAAUAAAUAUUAUUGUACGGGGGUAAUAUUGUAAAAGUAAGUUAAAAAGAACAAAAAAUAACGGUAAGGGUGUCAAUAUUUAACGAUAAGGAUGUUUUAAGGCAUUUUUAAAAAUAUAGAGACUAAAUAGGUAUUAAUCUCAAAAUAUAAGGAUUAAACGAGAUUUUACCCUUAAUAAUGUUACGAGGGGGUUCAAAUGGAGGGGGAUGGGUAUUUCCAAAUUUGUAUCCAUUAAUUUUUUUAAAACUCAUAUCUGUCACUUGUUAUUAUUUUAAAGGAAAUUAUCAGUCAUAUACCUUAAGUUGACAAAACACUUCUACCGUCCACCAUUCCUUUAACUUCCAUUUGCAAGCGUUGACAUCAUAAGGGUAAUUUAGUCUUUUAAGACUGACGAAACUUUGAUAAAAAAAACGGCAUGUCAUCCCAUUUACCGAAUAAAAAAUGACAUGUCAUAUGAUAUAUAUUGAUAAAAAUAACAUGUCAUUCCACUUAUCGGUUAAUUGUUAAUAAUUGCUAAAAAAAACUAUUUUACAACUGAAUCUACUCCUCCAAAAUUUAACUUAAAUUUUUGAAGAUCUACUCCUCCAAGCUCCAACUUGAAAUUUUUAUGGUAUAAUAUGUAUAAUUGUAAAUAAUAUGUUGUUAAUAAUUUUUUAUGGUAUAAUAUGGAUAUUUUUUAUGGAUAAUUGUUAAUACUAUGUACCAUUAAUAAUUCAUUUUUUAAUCAAAAAAUGUAUUGGUAAUAACAAAAUAAAAAAAAUUAUGUAUUGAAAAUUUACGUUAAUUUUUGGGAUAAAUUUAUUUUUUUACCUCAUUUUGAGUUUUAAGGGCAAAAUAGUCAAUUUACCACAAUUCUGUUAACUUUCUAACAGAAGUUAAUAGAAUGGUGGACGGCAGAAGUAUUUUGUCAACUUAGGGUAUACGAGUAAUACACUUGAAAAGUAUUCACACACGUUUGAUACGGGUAUCAUUUAAGGGUAUAUAGCUGAUAAUUUCCCUUAUUUUAAAUAUCAAACUUGUCAACCCUUAGGGGAAACAAGUAUUUAACGGACUUUGUGCGGCUAAUUCUCAUCAUUCGCUACUCUAAAUUUUAUUUUACAGAUUUGUGCAUCAUUUAUAACAUUUAAUUAAAUACACUUAAAUUAUAUAGAUUCAACGGUUCAACCUUCAUAUAUCACAUGAAAAGAAUACUGAAUUUUUAACAUCUCUCAUCAAGAGAUUGUACUGUGCUUACUCAAUUAGAUACUAAGGUGGCGUUUUUUUUUUAACUUAAUGACUUAAAGUGACUUAACUUAAUUAAUUAAGUUAAUUAGAGGUGUUUGUUUUUAUAACUUAAUGAGACUUUGUAGAUAAUUUUGACUUAAUAAAAUAAGCUAAUUUUUUUUGCUUUUUACUUAAUGGAGAAAUUUGAAUUAAGUCAAUUACUUACUAAUGUAAAAAAUAUUCAUGUUUUAUAAUUUAUUUUUCAUGUCUAUCCCAAAACUCACCUAUAGACAUUUACUCCACAUAAAAAUAUCCAUGUUUUUUCUUUCUUAUAUUAUAUACGAUAAAAUUUAAAAUUUAUGGUAUUUUAUAUAUUAAAAUUCUAAAAUAAUUAUGUAUUCACUUCAAUAUAGUUUUACUUAUAAAUGUUAAAAUAUUGUGGUAUUUAAUAUAUUAUUUAUUUGACAUUCAAAUUUGAUAUGGAUACAAAUGUAAAAGUACAUAUUUUCAGUUUUUUCAGUUGAAAAAAACAAACAACUUAAUACUUAUUUUCCGAGAUUCAGAUGAAAAAAUAAACAUAUUAUUUAGAUUCAGACAUUCAAAUCUAUUCAGAAUUCAGACUAAUUCAGGUCUAUUCAGAUUUCAGAUAAAAAAACAAACGACACCUAAGUUUAUACUCCAACUAAUGUGUUAAUAGUAUUUGAAUAAAAAAUGAUAAAACUUAAUAAUUAAUUAUUGCUUAAGUCAAUUAAAUAGUAUCAUAUCAUUUGUUAAAAAAAAAAAAAAAUCUUUGUUGUUUCAAGAUUAUUAAUCCUUUUUCAUUUACUUAUUAUCAUUACUAUCUGCAACAAUCAUAAUGAUUUGCAUCAACAUGUGAUUGUUUUUUUGACUCCAAGAACAGCUUGUAAAUGUAAUUUCUCUUCUUCCCCACUCACCCUUGAAAACCCACUAUUUGUGUACUUCCAAAACGAUUUAUUGCUGACCGCCAAAGACCGAUACUCACUGGACAAAUUCCUAAAAGAAAGAUUCAAAUUCCAAUGUCUUAUACCUAUUUGAUUUGCAGUUCUUGUUAUGCUAAUGACUAGAAUGAGGCAAAGUGUUUUUUAAUUGAGAUGAUGGAUCUAAGGGUGCAGCAUGAUGUUGUGAUUUUCCAUGUUGGUCAUAUAUGAGCUUUGUGAAAAUAGAAAGAUAGAAGAAGCAUGUAGGUUUUUAGAAUCGCAUCAAUGGAUGGGUUUUGCUUGACCGAGGGAACUAUUUGUUUCUGUGGAGAAUAAAGGGUGCAGAAAUGAUGUUGCUAAAUACAACAAGUUGAUAAAUGGGUAAUGCAAGAAUAAGGAAGUAGAGGAAGCGUUAGGCCUUUGUAGCGAAAAGCUUUCUAAAAGAAUUCUCCUAGAAUAUGUUGGGGGGAUGGAGCAGCUGCCCCCAUCGCACCCUAAGCCAACAGACUCAAAAUUGGAUGGGAACUUUUUUCAUAGAUUAUUUCACGAACGCCCGAUUCCAAAUAUGUAACAUAUAACAUCAUGAUUCAUGGGCUUUGUAACAAUGGGCAAAUGGAUACGGAAGCAAGGCGUACGACGCCCAGUUGUGUCAUGUUUACUAAGCUUAUGCGAAAGAAUGAGACAUCAAAAGUUAUUGAACUUCCUCACUCAAUGGAUAAGAGAAAUGUAAUGCGGGAUGCAUCUAUACUUGCAACUGUUGUGGACUUUCUUUUAAAGAAUGAUAUCCGUUUAAACUCGAUUCCAGAAUUCAAAAGCCAAAAUUGAAUAUUGAUUUAGUAGCAUGUUUUUCUACCUGCUGAAAUUCGGAUAUGGAGGGUCCGUUUCAUUAUCCCAAAUGUGAAGGAGUGUCACGUUGUGAGGGCAAUGUAAAAUCCUCGCCAUCUGGUUCGGUUCACCAAAGAAACUUCCCCAUUAAUUUCUUGAAAAAGUUGAGUUAAAACUGUGAAUGAAAGAAUCAUGAUGAUCUGUUUUGGUUUGUGAGAUGUUAGAAAGUGGUCAUUGUUUAUUAAGUGGAAAUAAAAAUGAGGGAAUGAGAUUCAUUAAUUUGUUUACUUAUAAAUAGAGGAGGAGAAUUGAGAAUUAAAUUUGUUGGCCUCACAUCAAUUUAUGAAUAACUCUUGGAUUUCUAAUUUCUAAGGGAGAUUUGGAAUCUACAUCUCAUUUACAAUCUACCCAAUUGUAAUAAUUUUCAUUUUGUCAUUCUUUUAAAUAUUUAAAAAAUAAAUAAAAAUCGCAUGAGUACUGUGCAAAGAUGGAUUGUUCUUGUUAUUGUUGAUGUUAUUAUUACUAGCACCGAAUUACAUAUUAUUAAAUUAAUUUAAAUAUUACAAAUUAAAUUAUUUUUAAAUGAGUGAUAAAACCUGAUCAUUUAAUAACCAUGGCCAUUUAACAGAUUUAAACAUAAAAUUUCGUGUCAAAUUAUGUUUGAGUAUAAGGAUAAUGUAAGAUAAUUGGUACUUUAAUUUACAUUUAUGUGCUAACUGAAUAAAGUUCGCUAUUUAAAUUAAAUUAGAAACGGUGAAAUUUAAAAAUUAACUAUUAUUUAGCCAUUUAAACGCAGAGACACAAUUUGUCACGGUUCCAAAAGCAUAGCAUCAUUGAAAGUACCGUAUCCCACUUGUAUUAAUAUUCGGAAGAAUGGAAGGUUCUAUUUUGGUAAUUCUUUUCUUCUUCUUUUUCAACCCCAAACAAUCAAAAGCUCUCCAAUGGCUUUCGUAUCCACAACUCGUCCAUUUCAUUUUACUUCAAUUUCAAUAUCAGCUCUUAGAUGUAAUUUCUCCUCUUCGUUCCCUCAUACCGGAAAACCCAAAUCUUCCAUUUCGAAAAAUGAGCCCUCAGAUCCGACUACAACAGCUAAACUGAAGGAGUCGCUGCGACUGACAGUCAAAGACCGAGCCUCACUCGAAAAAUUCCUCAAAGAAAGGUGCAAAUCAUCCGGUGAAGGUGAUAUUACUUCCAUUACUCCUAAUGAAGCCUUGUGUAUCUUUGAUUACAUGCUCAAUAUGCGCCCUUCUCCGCCUCCUGUCACUUCCUUCAAUCUUUUGUUUGGUUGUCUUUGCUAAGACUAAACAUUAUGAUACUGACCUUUCACUCUUCAAGAGACUCAAUUCCACUUGGUUGUUUCCGGAUCUUUAUACUUGCAACAUAUUGAUUAAUUGCUUUUGCAAAAUGGGUCGAGUUUCUCAUGGUUUUGUUGUUCUUGGGAGAAUCCUCAGGUCUUGUUUUACUCCAGAUGCUGUGACCUUUACUUCUUUGAUUAAAGGUUUGUGUGCGGAGAGUAGAAUCAUGGAGGCCGCCGCAUUGUUUACGAAACUUAGAGUGUUUGGUUGUAAGCCUAAUGUUUUUACAUACAAUACUUUGAUUAAUGGAUUGUGUCGAACUGGCCAUACAAUUGUUGCUCUAAAUUUAUUUGAAGAGAUGGCCAAUGGAAAUGGGGAAUUUGGUGUUGUUUGUAAGCCAGACGCUGUUACAUACACUACUAUUAUAGAUGGUCUUUGUAAGGAAGGUUUUGUGGACAAGGCCAAGGAACUGUUUCUGCAGAUGAAGGAUGAGAAUAUUAACCCAGAUGUGGUUACCUAUAACUCUUUGAUUCACGGUUUUUGUUACGCUAAUGAUUGGAACGAGGCGAAUUGUUUGCUAAUUGAGAUGAUGGACCAAGGGGUACAGCCUAAUGUUGUGACUUUCAAUGUGAUCAUGGAUGAGCUCUGCAAGAAUGGGAAGAUGGAUGAAGCAAGUAGGUUGUUGGACCUGAUGAUUCAGCGUGGUGUGCGUCCAAAUGCUUUUGUCUAUAGCACAUUAAUUGAUGGUUUUUGCUUGACAGGUGAAAUAGAUCGUGCGAGGGAAUUAUUUGUUUCUAUGGAUAUUAACGGGUGCAUGCAUAAUGUUGUUACUUACAACACGUUAAUAAAUGGGUACUGCAAGACUAAGGAUGUAGAGGAAUCUUUAAAUCUAUAUAGUGAAAUGCUUUCUAAAGGAAUUAGGCCAACAGUUGUUACAUAUAACACCUUGUUUCAUGGCCUUUUUGAAAUACACCAGGUUGAGCAUGCUUUAAAAUUGUUUGAUGAGAUGCAGCAUAGUGAUGUGGCAGCUGAGACCUCUACGUAUAAUACCUUUAUUGACGGGCUCUGCAAGAAUGGUUAUAUUGUAGAGGCAGCUGAACUAUUUCGUACUUUGAGAGUACUCAAGUGUGAACUUGGUAUUGAAGCAUACAGCUGCCUCAUUGAUGGAUUGUGUAAAAUAGGCAAACUGGAAACUGCUUGGGAACUGUUUCAAAGUUUGCCUCGUGUAGGCCUAAUGCCAAAUGUUGUAACAUAUAACAUCAUGAUCCAUGGGUUUUGUAAUGAUGGGCAAAUGGACAAGGCACAUGAUUUGUUUCUUGAUAUGGAAGCAAAAGGUGUAGCACCCAAUUGUGUCACAUUUAACACGCUUAUGCUAGGUUGCAUCCGCAAUAAUGAGACAUCAAAAGUUGUUGAACUCCUUCACAGAAUGGAUGAGAGAAAUGUAAUACCAGAUGCAUCUACACUUUCAAUUGUUGUGGACUUACUUGUAAAGAAUGAAAUUAGCUUAAACUCGAUUCCACAAUUCAAGAGUCAAAGUUAAAGUGAGUUUUAUAUUGAUUUAGUCACAUGUUUCUUCUGCCUGAAAACCCGAUCUGGAGGAUCCCAUUCUUAUUACAACAUGUAAAGGAGCGUUGUCUAAUGUUGGCAUGUUCCUAGGUUCUGUCCAUGGAUUCUGUUUGCAGACAUGGCUAACUUCUUGUCCAACAGAUAAGUUUUAAAGUCUUUCAACUUUAUGUUGUAAAAUAACUUUUUUAUUAUUCAAUUCAUGAGUUUUCCUUCUGUAACACAUCCUUCUCAUUAGCUGGAAGUGCAAAUUUUUUAGGCUUUUCCUGUAUGGCCUCUUUUUCUUCUCUAAAUAAAAUGGCAUUUUGUUUCCCUCCUGUGAGGGUACAACGUUUAUGUUCAAACUUUCUGUUAGUUAAGUUGGUUGUCUUUGAUAUAGGGAACUUCCAGUUGAACUGAUUUGUAAUUCGAGUAUAUGAGAUUACCAACUGUAUUGGGAAUUGAUGCCAAAUUAAUUAUGUCAUCAGGUUUUUCAAUCAGCGUUCAUCAUUUAUUUCUAUUAACAAUUAAUAGCACAGCUUGUCUUCUCAGCUUCAUUGCUUCCUCUAAAAAAUAAUCUUGUAAAGACAAUUUUUUUUUUUUUUUUUUUGGCAUGGUAAAUGCUAGAUAGUUUGUGGUCUGAAUGAUACUACACAUCUAAGUAAUUGCCCAAAUUGCCAUGUAACAAGGAGUGUUGCAUAGUGAUGUCAUGCUCACAGGUACCACUCAUCAACAUGGCCAACGCUUUCGAUGCAGUCAUUAUUAUGGAAAUUCAAGAGUUCUCCUCCUAAGAGGUCUCUCUCUCGUUCUCUUAAUUUCCUUAUUCUGUUUUGGAAGUAAUGUAAUGGGAAAAUAGCAUUUAAUUUCCUUGUGUCUGACAUUUUCUUCUAUAAAUGCUAUAAAAUAUCAUUUUUUUUUUCAUCAUUGAUAUGUAUUACACAAUCAGAAGACUAAUAUUUAUAUGAAACAUCUACUUUAUGGCACAAUUCAGAUUUUUAUCCUUAUAAAUAUUGGAAGGAUAUCUUUAUGUUUCUUCUGUGAUAACUUUUCUGGGUGCUGCAACCUUUUUAUUAGAUUGAUAGAAUGUGAAUACAAGGAAAUUCUGUUUGAUAAUCUUGGCAAACCAGGAUUAAUAUGAAAUGGAGCAUCAUCAACAAAUACUUAGCAUAUUGCUGACUAUGAUUUGUUCUUUCCUCGCCUCAUUCUUUUUGUGAGUAGAAUUGGAUCGUGAAACUUGUUAUGUCAGCACAAGUGUCCUUUCAAGUUGAUGUAAAAUACACUGACUUGAAAUAAUGGCAUGGUAAUUUGGGGGUAUAGAUAAGCUAGCAUGAGUAUAUUUUGUCACCAAUUUCGCCAACCGCGUAUGGGUGUGGAAAUUAUAUUGCAUUUCUAAUGUCAUUUGAAAGAAAAACUUGCAAAAUUUGUAAUUUGUUAAAUCUGAACCGUGGUUCACAUCUACUCUUCCCCAACUUGAGUCAUAUGAUUCAAUUUUUUAGUGGGCAUGACGAGAUAGAUUUCUACCAAGCCCAACCCAUUUAUCUACCCUUUUGUAAUUUUCUAUCAUGCAUAUAUUUAUAUUUUUGUAUAGUUAAUAUCUAAUUAUUUAUAUAUUUUUAUUGAAUAACUAUUAAUUAUAUUUUUCUAAAAAAUCGGCAUGAAAAGUUCAACUUAAUAUUGAAUUUAAAUACUUUGAUAAGUAUAUGUCAAAUGUUUGGAAUUCUUUUUCUUAGUCUUCAUGAUUGAUUAAUUGAAAAAUAAAUGUGUACGUAUUAAAAUGGUAUUGGAUAAACAUGCCCCUAUCACCCAAGUUUUCCUUUGGAUAAUUUCCUAACUUGCAAGUUGAUAUCGAUGUUUAAAAAGAACCAAAAAAAAAAAGUACAUAGAAAUCUUCGUCAAUUACUUCUUGACCUAGUAGUUGACACUUUCUUAUCUUAUUCUUGAGGUUAAAGGUUUGAAUCUUCUUAUGUGGAUUUUAGGUGAACUAUAGAAAAACAAAUUAUAUGAGACAUUUUCAAAAUAAGUAUAAAUGUGGUACUUAUUCAUCAGACGAACAUAUUAAUGACGUGAUAAAUCCGUGUUAUGUAAAUUUUCCAGACUGUAUAAUUAUAUUAUAAUAUUAAAUAAAUAAGAAGAAAGAAUGGAAAAUGCAUCUUCCAAAAGUUUUCAUAGAUUGGCUAUAUGCACAAACAGCAAAUCGAAACAAAAAGAAAGGAUGUGACGUGACCUUACUACCUGUUAUCCCAGUUAUGGAAUUCAAGUCAAUCUUUGAAGUAAUGCACUUUUAUUUCUCUAUGACAGAGACAGGUCCAAGUCUUUCAUCCGAGGCAAAUGCUAAGCUCCAAUUACUUAGCAGGGGUGUUCAUAAUCUAAUCCGAUCCACUUAAUUUAUCUGAUCCGUGAAAAUUCGAUUCGUAUAAAUUCAAUCCGUGGAUUUGUGAAUUGGAUAUGGAUUGAAAAUUUAAAAAUCCGCAGUCGAUGGAUUGGAUAUGGAUUUACUUUUGUAAAUCCGUAAAAAUCCGUGAAUUCACAAAAAAAAAUAUAUAUAUAUAUAGUUAAAAAAUUAUUAUAAAUUUAAUUAAAGAAUAUUAUAAUUGUGACAUUACAUAGUUACAUAAGAACUAUAACAUAUCUUAACCAUUACCCAACAAUAAUAUAAAAUAAUUAAAUAAUCAAAUAUACAAAUAUAACUUGUAAAAAUUAUAAAACAAAAUAAAAGGAAAGUCACACGCACUAACAAAAGCAAAGUAACAUAACGCAAAGUCACCAACAAUUUACAAACAAAAAACCCUAAGCUUCCCCGCUGUCACAUGCACUAGCAACCAAUAUUGGUUUGAUACACUCUCGACACCGAUUUGAAGGACGUCGGUCGCACGAUUCUAGCGAGAGCAAGCCAUCUUCUUCCCCGAGUCCAUCGAGCCACUUCACAAUCACUAGUUCCAGCCAAACAAUUGCACUAUCACAACCUUCAAGAUCGCCACCCGUACUUCUCCUGGUUCCCAUCGUUGACGGCUACGUAAUCACCACUUUUCGACAAAUACAACAGCCCUGGUGAAGGAUCAGACUGUGUUUGGUUUCGGAAACUUCACCAUUUCAAUUAAUUAUGGCUUUAUUUGAAUAAUUAAUUUCGGUGUUAUAUUAAUGUAUUAUUGUAACUUUAUUUGAACAAUUAAUCUCGAUGUGCUAUAUUUUGAAACUUUGAAUGUAUUAUUUUAGUUUUAUUUAAAUAAUUAAUUUGUUUAAAUUUUAUUCAAUUUUAAAUUUAAUUGGUAGUAAAAUUAUUUUUAUAUUAGAUUUUUUUUUUUAAAUUUCAUUAGUUCAUGGAUUGGGGAGAACAAAAAAUUUUUAAUUCGGAAGCUAAUGUGUAAAAUGGUGGAUUGGAUAUGGAUUAAGUUAAAUCCACAUCUGAUCCGCAGACGUAUGGAUUGGAUAUGGAUUUAGUCAAAUCCGCAUCCGAUCCGCAGAUAUAGGAUUGGAUUUGGAUUGAGUUUAAUCAAUCCGUGGAUUGGAUUGGAUUGAAAAAUUAUAAUCCGCAAAAUUGUGGAUCAGAUAUAAAUUAAUGUCCAAUCCCUAAAAUCCGAUCCGCGAACACCUCUAUUACUUAGAGGCUCCCUUCUUCCAAAUUCAUAAUCUUCAACAUUUCUCCAACCAAUCAAGCAAGGCUAGAGAUAGGUAACAUACAUUUUGAUGUACAUUUGUCUUUUGUAUCAUUUACUUCACUAGUGAUCCAUUAAAUGGAUCCACCAUUAACGUAAAUGCUAGUUUAACUAUUGACAGUGGAGCAAGUAUGUAUGUGGUCCCUACGCACAAGCAUACACGCCCAUUAAAGCAUUACUCUCCUCAUCAUUGGAUAUGAAUUUUGUGAACUAUAUAUCUUUUUGGGGGUUUCAUUUAUCUUUCCGGUCUCUUAUGAUCAUUCACGGCUCCUGCUGCUGCUUCUUAUUGGCUCUUUGACAUCCUCUGUCUUGUUCUUGCUGUGUGUGUCGGCCACUAGCAACUGCUUCAAGCAAUGUGAGUUUGUUGCGUGAGCUUCCGUUUUGGUUAUUUUCAAUUAUUAUUUUUGUUGAUGGGUUUGUGAUUUUGUGCUGUAUUAUUACAGGAUUACACUGUUUAUAUGUAAGAUAGAAGAUAUGAUGAGCCUCAGCUGGUUCAGGAUUCGCACCAUCAGAUUCUUUCGGAUAUUCUUGGAAGGUUUAUAUUUCAAUCUCUUUAGCCGAAUUUACCUAUUAUAUUUUUAUCAUAUAAACGUUAUGCAAAACGUUUAUGUUAAUGUAUGGUGAAAAUUGAAAAAUGGAAAAUAAAAAUAUUUGUACUGCUUUCACUAUUUAUCUAUGUUAAUCUCUUUGAUAAAAUGAAGUGGAUGUCAUUAUUUCCAUGCAUCAGUAAUUACAAUCCAUAUUGUGCUCUUGCUAGUCUGUGCUCCAUUUGAACAUCGCAACGAACUUAUUUACUUACAUAUUUUUUGUGCUUUCUGGUUGGAAAUUGGAAGUUUUAACCAAUUUCUGAUCAGAAACAGCCCUUUUGAGUGCUAUGGCAGAAACCGCAGACGUGACCUAACCUUCAUUUUUAAUUUGUAUCAAUUGGUAGUUUUUUAUAACUCUCUCUUUUCCCCUCUAUCAAUAAUGAAUGGUAUUCGCUAGAGAAACCGUAAGGGGACUAAUCAUUGUGAAAAGCACUAGGUGAUAACUAGCAGUUUCAAUUUGACAGCAAAGAAGCUGCUAAGGAAUCAAUUCUCUGUACAGCCACAAGCAUGGUUUUUCUGGAUUUGCCGCAGUCUUAACAGUCUCAAGCCAAGUUAACUGCAGGUGUUAUAAUGUUCGUGAAUGAAAUCUGUUUUAGCUGUCCAAAUUUGUUUUAUUAACCAAUAUUUUCUGUUGAUACGUUUUGUAUGAUGCAUUUGUGCAGAUCACCCUGCCGUGGUCUGUAUUGUACCAAAUAGGACACUCAGUUUGCACACAACCAAAAUGUUGUGAAUGAAAUUCCUUCAAAAGGCCAUUCAGGCGCUGGAAGUUAUUUUCAGAUUCAUGGAAAUAACUAUAAUACUGGUGGCAUUUAGUUUCCAAGUGAUCUUGGUAGUUCAAUAAGUUCUAGUUCUACACUUGUUUCCAAAGGUUUUGGUUACAUGAUGGUCUGCCCGUUGAAUUACAAACUUGUGAUGAUUUGUACAAGAGGAAAAAAUGUAUUGGUUGGAAUUUUUGUUCCAUAUGAUAUAACUCUGUGAAACAGCUUUACAUUUUGUGUUCAAGUUGAACAACAUACAAUUUGAACGAAGAUUAUUCAAUCAAAUUGAAGAUUUCUGUUUGAAUAUUUUGAAUGACAAAAUUAAAUUUACUUUCAUGCAGAUGCAGUAGCAUUUAAUCAAGUUCCUUGUGCUGUUGAAACAAAAAUAUAACAUCCUUGCUUGCAUUUCAACAUGAUAUGAUGCCACUCUUUUACUGUUAACCAACACACAUACAUCAUGUAGGCCUAAUGGCAAAUGUUGUAACAUAUAACAUCAUGAUCCGUGGGCUUUGUAAUGAUGGGCAAAUGGGCAUCUAGUUUUUCGUUUGUGAGGCUACUAGGUCUAUGCUGAAACUUUAUGUUAGUUAAAUUGAUUGUCUUUGAUAUCUAGAACUUCUAGUUGAACUAAUUUGUACUUUGAGUAUAUGAGAUUGCCGGCUGUAAUGGGAAUUGAUGCCAAAUUAAUUAUGCAUCAGGUUUUUCAACGUGUUCAUCUUUUAUUUCUGUUAACAUUUUGGCUCUGGACAUGCUGGAUUGUUUUUGGUUUCAGUGAUACAAAACAUCUAACUAAUUGUCCAAAGUUUUUCAUUCCUUGCGACAUAGCAUUCAAUUGAAUGGUGACUCAUGAAUCAUGAUUGUGUGUUUUGGUAUUUGUAUACUAUGUAUUGGCAAGACAAAGUCUGUUGAAACUGAGAAACUUUUUUCCGCCUUCCAUUCUUGUUUCAUAUUCUUAUGCUAACAAAUCUUGAUCAUGAUGAGUCUCCUCUUUUCUUUUCAACCCACAUAUAAAGUCUUGGCCAUAAGCCUCAAGGCCUAUUGGCUAUUGCAGCAGUGAGUUCACUCUCUGGAAUCAAAUCUUUCAAAUACGAGGAAAUUUGAAAAAAUUGCAAAUGUCUACAAAGCAAAUGAUCCAAAGGUCCUUUUUGUUAUCACACACACACAACAUUACUCAGACAUUGUCAGAGUAUCCAUGUUUUACAGUUGGUCCUGUUGUGCAAACAGCAUUUCUGAUUUUUCCAGAAGACAAUUCUUCGAAGCAUGUAUUUGAGAUGCGCGUAGAGCGUUGGAAUUAUAUGAUUAAUUCUCUUUAAUUUCCAGCCAUAGUUCUAUGCAGGCCAGUUAAUCCCCUUUUUUGUAACACCCCCCCCCCCCCCCCCCCCUCUUCCUUUUUUGCUAUGGAUUGUAUUUCCUUUUUUUUCUACUUUUACUUGCGUUGACAAUUUGAGCUUGCUGUCUUGUGGUUUUAGAACCUGCUAAAGUAAGCGUGCAAGUGACAAUGAAGAAGGGGAAGGGUUUACUCGUCAUUUUCUUUUUGAAAGCAAUGCGUUUUAUGCGGUGAUAUUUUUUUUUUAUCUAUGUUGUGAAAAAAAUUUGACUGAUUUUGAAGAUCCUUAAAGAUCGUCCAUCUUGGUUCUGGCAUUGUUGCAGCCUUGAAGUUUGCAAAACGAUUCCUGCUGGAUAAAUGGAACAGCUGCCUCUUUGAUGGAUUAUGUAAAUCUGGCAGACUUGAGUUUGCAUGUGAAUUGUUUCGUAGUUUGCCUCGUCGAGUCCUAAUGGCAGAUGCUGUAACAUAUAACAUCAUGAUCCAUGGGCAUUGUGACAACGGCCGAAUGGAUAAGGCACAUUAUUUCUUUCUUGAAAUGGAAGAAAAUGCUAUGGCACCCAAUGUGAUCACAUUUGGUACGUUUAUCCAUGGUUUUAGCCAAAUCAAUGAGCCAUCAAAAGUUAUUGACCUUCUUCACAAGAUGAGGGAGAAAAAAGUAAUGCCAGAUGCAUCUAUAGUUUCAAUCGUUGUGGACUUACUUGUAAAGAAUGAAAUUAGUCUGAACCCACUUCCGUCAUUUCCUGUCCAAGAGCGACAGGGGGAAGUUGAUGAGUGAAAUGUCAAGUUGUAGCAGCAUGUGCUUUCAGCCCAAACUCCUGAUCUGCAGCAUCUCAUUCAUGUUACAAAAUGACAUGUCGCCUGGUGACAGCAUGUUCUCUCCGGUGCUGUUAAUGGAUUCUGAUUGUUCUUGUGAUCUGGAGAGUUUCAUUCAUAUUACAGAUCCUGAUCAGGACGAGCUAGCAUAUGUGAUCACCAACUGUACAUGGUUGUUGAUGCCAAAUUAAAUUAUGGUAUCAUGUUUUUCAACUUGUUAUUUAAUAUAGUGCUUCCAUUGAACGGCCACAAGAAACUGUAGAAUCACCGUGUCUUGUUCCCUCUUAAUGAUCCAUCACUUUGGAAGCUAAUGAAUUAGUUGCACCUUGUCACUUUCUUGGUACUUGAUUGUCAUUCGUGCUUUGAAUUUACAGCAUAUUUUAUCCCUGCUUUACUCUUUGCAUAAUCACCUUUGAGGGCUGCUAGUAUGUAUAAUUGAAAAACCUUAUAUAAAUUGUAAGCUUUUUUAUUUAACUUGUUGUAAACUUCCAGUGUAUGUCUCUUCUGUGAAAUGAUUCAUUCUCCAUGCUGCUAGGGCCUAGGCUUAUGACUCUUCUGUGAAAUGAUUUACCCUCACCUGCGCACAGACAUUUAUCACGUUCGAGAAACCUUCAAACAAUGUGAAAAAAUGCCUCAAGCAUGACAUAAACUUAACUGUUUACAUGAAAAGUGGUAGAAACUUGGUGAAAUUACCGAUUAAAUUGUACCUACUGUGAGGAAGGAUGCUAUAUAACUAAGUCGGAAAAUGUAAAUGCCCGGCUUUCAGAAGUCAAUAAUUAGAUGAACUUUGAGGAGAUUAGGAUCACCAGUCAGUCAGAUUUAGAUAGAAAGUGAGAGAUUGCUAUUGCCGAGCCAUUGCUUCUAUCCUAAAUGCUUUGAUGUACCUGAAAAGUAUACAAAUAUCGGGGUUAAAACAGAGCAGAUGAAAUCGUAUUGAUGAAUUCAACUGUGAUAAGUGGUAAAAGAAAACCAACCGACCUUCUGUACAAAACUCGCACGUCUUCCUUUAAGAGCUGACUUUCCAAGAAGAGAUCACCACAAUCGUUCACAUCAACAGUCUCCACUUGAAAAUUUUAUAACCAUAAUACUCAUUCCAUUCAAACCAGAUCCUUGAGAUCAGUUCCUCAGGCAAGUGGCAUGAUCAUCCUCUUCAGGAGACUCAGCAGCAACCAGUCUAUAUGCAUAAGCUUUCUUUGUUUGGCCUCGCCGGAAAGCCCUGCCGAUUGCCUGGCGGGUCACUGAUGUAUUAAAGCUUUCUGUAAUUUCAUUUUUUCAUUUUUCCCUUGCGAGGGUACAGGUUUAUGUUGAAACUUUCUGUUAGUUUGCACUUUGAAUAUAUGAGAUUACCAACUGUGACAUGGCAUUCAAUUGAAUGGUGACUCAUGAAUCAUGAUUGCGUGUGUUGGUAUUUAUUGUACUACGUGUUGGCACGACAAAGUUUGUUGAAACUGACAUACUUUUCUCUAUGAAGAUUGAAGACAACAUAAUAAGAUAAAAUUUGUCAAAAACAUGUAUACUUGACACUUGACAGGGCUGGAACGUCUGUUAUUAGUCCUCGCCUUCCAUUCUUGUUUCAUAUUCUUCUGCUAACAAAUCUUGAUCAUGAUGAGACUUCUUUAUUUUCAAAAAAAAAAAAAUAUCCACAUGUAAAGUCUUGGCCAUAAGCCUCAAGACCUAUUGGCUGUUGCAGUGGUGAGUUCACUCUCAGGAAUCAUAUCUUUCAAAUUCGAGCGAAUUUGAAGAAGCUCGAAUUCGAAGAAAUUGCAAAUGCCUACAAAGCAAAUUGUGUGUAGGUCCUUUCACUUAUUAUUGGAGAAGACCAUUUGUUGAAGCAUGUAUUUGAGAUGCGCAGAGAACCUUUGGAAUUAUAUGAUUAAUUCACUUUAAUCUCCAGCCAUAGUUCCAUACAGCCCAGUUAAUCUUUUUUUUUUUUUGGCUUUUGGAUUUUGUUUCCUUUAUAUAUAAAGGAAAUCGGGACUCAAUUGUUGGGAGUCCAAUCACUUUUUUCUCUUUUAACUUGCUAUUUUUGUUGUCCGAAAUUAUCUGAAGUUCCAUGCAUGCUCCAAUAGAACAAAUAAUACAGGUUAUGAUCGUCAUACUCCAUAAGCAAGUUUUUUUUUUGGCUGCCCCUUAUAUUUGUCACACUCCUUGUACUAGUGCCCAAUGAAACCACAAUAGAAGCAAAAAUCUGACAAUCACUCAUAUACUACUGUAAUUGGAACAUCAUCUUCACCUUCAAGUUCUAAAUAAAUAAUUUUCUUCAAUGGUUGUGUGAUAUCAAUUGAGAUACUUACUCUGGCAUACUGACCAAUGCACUCUUCUUCCUCGUCCGCAUUAACUUCUUCAAUUAUACCAAUUGCCUCUCCCAACGCUCUGAUUAUUUGCUGGUCUAUACACCCAACUGGGAUACUAUGAAGUUGUACCCAAAGGCAGCAUGAGUAAAUGAUUGUUUUGUUAUUUCCCCAAUUCCAUUUGCCUCUUUUAGAUAGGGUUGGGCAAAUAACCCGACCCGACCCGACCCGACCCGACCCGACCCGAUCAGAUCCGAAAACAAUCGGGUUCGGAUCAGAUCGGGUUUUUAACAUAACCCGAUCGGAUUUAAUUUCGUCAACCCGAUCGGAUCGUCAUCGGAUCGGGUUUCACCCGAUCCGAUCCGAAAAUCCGAUCGGAUUUGGCUAUUGAAAAAAAAAAUAAAAUAAAACACCCACACACAAAGGGGUGAAAAACACAACACUGCCACACUCAAACUCACUGACACACACCCACUCCCCAUCCACACACACACACACACUGAUACACCCACCACCCACCCCCCAUCCACAAAAAAUCGCAAUAGAUAGCCUUUUACUCACAUUUCAGAUUUCAUAGCUAGGGGUGGGCAAAUCGGGUUUCGGUUCAGGUUUCGGUUUGGGUUUCAACCCGUUCGGGUUGGAGAAUUGAACCCAAUCGGAUUGAAAAUGCCAACCCGAACCAAACCGAACCGAAUUUAAUUCGGUUCGGUUCGGUUUGGGUUGACAAUUCGGAUCGGAUUGGGUUGAUAAUUCGGGUUAAUUCGGGUUAGUUCGGGUUAGAAUAAUUCGGGUUAGUUCGGGUUAGAAUAAUUCAAGUUAGUUCGGGUUAGAAUGGAUUGAAACAAUUUAAUCUAAAAAUUCUAACAACUAAUAUCAAGUACAAUCAAACUACAAAAAUUACAAAUCUAAAAAUUAAAAUGGCAAAUGACAACCAUGAUUAAACAUCUCCAUUCUCCACAUGACAAUUAAUCAAUCAAUUAAUUAACAUUUGGUCGUCUGACAUGAACAGAAUAAAUCAAUAGCAAGCAUGUAGUUCUUUGAAAAGAACAAAAAACAUAAAACGAAAAUGCAUAUGAGAGUGCCAACAAACAUGAUAGCGACAUUUAAACAAAGCAAAAUUGGAGGUACUGGCAUGAUUUAUAGGCCAAGUAUCAAGAUGGAGACUUUUAAUUAAUUUUUGGAAUCUUUAAAAUAAGAAAACAUAUUAGCAUAAAAGAUAUUAGAAUUGUAUAAUGAAAACAACAGAUGCCAGCAAAACGCACACUGACCAUUUUCCCUGAGAGAUCGUGUACUAGUAACAAAAUUAAGAACUGAAUCAUCAGCAGUUGUUCUUCAACAAAUAUUAACAGAAGCCCAAACUGAAUACCUUUUUCGGUUCCUUUGAGCAGCGGAUCUCGCUUUACGCUUCCUCUUCUCCUGACUGCUCUCAAAAAAUCUUCUUCUCUUGCACUCUUGUAUAAUACCAGCUCUCAGCACCGCACUCCUAAACCGCCUCGCUAUCUUCUCCUCGGGCUAGUCGUCGGCGACUUCUAUCUGCACGUUGAAGAAAUAUAUGGUGUCUGUUGGAGCUGGACGGGGCUGCUGGCUGCUGCUGUGAGUGCUGUCGUCGUGGGCCACAAAACUCAAAAAGUGAGAAGAGGGAGCAAGGAGGGGGAGGGAGUUAGACGGUGAGACCGGCUGGUGUCUGUUGGAGCUGAACGGGGCUGCUGUGGCUGCUGCUGAAGUGCUGAUGUCGUCGGCCACAGUUCUCAGAAAGUGAGAACUGAGAAGAGGGAGCAAGGAGGGGGAGGCCGGGAGGUAGACAGGGAGUGAGAGAUUUUUGUUUAGGGAUUUUUAGGGAUUUUUUGGUUUAAUUAAUGUAUAUAUAUUUUUUAUUUAAAAGCUAAAUCUAAAAAAAAAAAAAAAGCUUCAACCCGAACGGGUUGAAAAUUCGGUUCGGGUUGAACCCGAACCGAAAUUUAACCCGAACGGGUUGAAGCUUUGAAUCCGUUCGGGUUUCACUGGUUAAUCCAAACCGAACCGAACCCGAAAUAAAUUUCGGGUUCGGUUUGGUUCGGGUUAACCCGAACCGAACGCCCACCCUCACGCUUCACUCUCUUCUUUGGUUCUUCUCCAAUUUUCACCCUUAAAUCUUCACAGCUUUCUUCUUUUUAAGUCUUCACUCUUCAGUUUUCACAAAUCGAUUUCUCACACAAUCGGGUUUCACAGAUCGAGUUUCAGUCACAAAAGCAAACCGAUGGUCACUCAAAGACGCAGCGCAAGAACCGAAGAUCAUUUGCAGACACAGCCACCGGAUCCGUGGUUCCGUCCAUCACCAAGUUUCUCACCUCCAAGCUCCACUUCAACCCAGCAACCUGACUUCUCCAACCUGCAACCUGAGCCUUGUGUUUUGAAAUUUUGAUGGUUUUUCUUGAUGUUGUGAUUAUUAUCAUAUAUAAAUUGUAAAAUUUUAAUGUUCACCAGCUAAUGAUAAAGAAAAUCAGUGAUAAAGAAAGUUGUAAUGUAUUUUUUUUCCAAUGAUGGGCAUAAAUUUUUUCAUUUUUCAGUCCAAACUGAUUUUAAUCCGAAUCCGAUCCGAACCGAACUCAACCCGAUUUUUUGACCCGGAUCGGAUUGGAUCGGAUUACAAGUUCGGAUUGAAUUCGGAUGGAUUUCUGCCCAACCCGACUAACCCGAAAUCCGAUCGGGUCGAACCAAACCCGAUCCGAAUCCGAUUUUGCCCAGCUCUACUUUUAGAACUAUCAGAGCUCGUUCAAAAUGUCACGGCCCACUUGAUAAAAUUCUCAUCUUAUCAACUUCAAAGGCAAAUUUAACAUAAAAAUCUUACUCCCCAAAUUUUCAAUUUCACCUAUUCUGCAUACUUGUUGUAAUGCUCACUUAAGACCCUCUCUAGUAACUCCUCUUAGAUGUAAGACUUUGCCCAGCAGACAACCCUCAACUAACUCUCUCGCAUUCCCUUCCAUGACAUUACCAACAACUACUUUACUUUCUUUUCCUUCUUCUAAUGUAAUAACUUUACACUUGCGGAUUAGUUCUUCUGUUUCCAUGAGGCACUAAAAUAUAAAUCCACUAUGAUAACUCUUGAGUAUCUACCACUUCCUCUGUAAUUAAGACUCAACAACUUAGAUGAAAAACUUAAAACUAAAAGAGACACCCAACUCGUGAGCGACUUUCGCAAUCUUAUAGGCUACUACCCUUUCAUUCUAGAUUCUCACUCAAAGAGAGAGAACCUGUGAAGAAAGACUUCUACAGGUAGGAGAGCACUUACACAGUAGAUUAUUUAUAUUUCUUUGGACUGACUUUUUUACUUUAUUAAAGACAAAAACAACAUAAACAAAGACAGAAGAUUAACAAAAGCAUCAAUUGCCAAAGAGUAGAGAGUAUUAUUAUAUUUUAGGAACUUAGGUUAUGACCAACUUAAAAGAAGCAGUUAGGGCUUGUUCGGUACCGUUUUAAAAGCCUUAUUUUCAUUUUUGUUUUGGGAGUAUAAAUAUAAUACAUAUUCAGCGGGUUGAAUCCAAAAAAAUAAAUUAUAAAACAAAUAAUUGAUAUUCACUUUUACAGUUAUAAAAUUAAGAACCUGUUGAACAUGUUCUCAAACAAAUUACAAAUUAAAUUAAAAAAAAAACCCCAAAACAAAAUCUAAAAAGUUAUCUUUCUCUCCCAAAAUCUUAUCCCCUCCCUCUCGUUAUCUCUUCACAACUCUUCCUUCUUCAUGGUUGAUACUUCUCCUUUAACCACAACCCACCUGAACUGUGCACCGAUCUCUCUCUCCCCUUCCCCUUUAUCUAGGUCUACUUCAAUGCUCUCUUCCUCUCGGUGGCUGUUACUUGUUCAUCAACCGCAAUCCAUCGUCGCAAGGUACUACGUCGGAAUAUUUGACCAAAAACAUGUCAGGACAAAGUGAUGUCUAUCAUGGUUUAUUGCUGCAAGUGCAUUAUUUUCUUUGUACUAAAGUGAAUCUUUGAUGUAUUUAUUAAAUUUGGUGGAGCAAUCUUUGUUAAUUUUGAUGAUCUAUAUAUGCAUUUAAUUUCAUUUUUAAUAAUUCAUGUGCAGGAAAUAUGGAUUCUUGGCUUUGCUUGGACUGAUGGUUUGCGCAAUUUCAUUUGGAAUCAAUCAGCUUCGAGGAUAAACACUUGAAGUUCAUCCUUUCUUGUGCAUGGGACUUGCUUUUCUUCCAUCCAACUUUUUUGUUCUCUUUUUCUAUGGUAGCAGUUUUAUGUUUUGUGUUGGUGGGAAACUUCAUGCUGCAAUUUUGUCAAACUCUGUUGACAUACCCUAAUCAGUAAUGACUUUGCUGCAUGGCGAAAGCAUAAAUCUUGUCAUUAGAGCUUGUUUCCAUAAAAUAAGUGUAAUUUGAAAGUACAUUGUACACUAUUGAAUUUAAAUUAUCCCCAACAAGUGUUGAUGCAUGAUGUCUAUCGUGUAAUUUUUUUUAUAAUUAUUUUGUUUAAAUUAUAUGUGUUGUAAUAUAUAACUUAAUUAUAGUGUAAAAACAAUGGCAAUGUAAUUUUUUGUAUUAAUGCUAAUACUAAAACUUUAUCAUCAUGCAAUUUUUUAUAAUUAUUUUAUUUAAAUUAUUUAUGAUAUGUUUGCGUAUUAAUUAAAUAAACAAUUAGUUUUUACUAAAAACUAUGACUUACAUGUUUAGUAAAAACUGUUCAUGAAAAUAGUACUACAGAACACAUUUUCUCUGAUUUUAUCUUUUUCAAUUGUUUUUAUCAAACACAUGUUACUGUUUUCAAUUUUAAAAUACAAGAUAUAGAAAAUGAUAUCAGAUGCCUAUUUAAUUCAAAAUGCUGCAACUGCAAAACACUAUUUUUAUUCUCAUUUUUGUUUUCAGAAAAUACUAAUUCAGAAACAAUAACAAACAAGAACUUAGUUUUAGUACGAAUAAUGUUGUGUUAGUUUUACAGGCUUACAUGCACCCUUAGAUUUAUUAGAAGUAUCAACCCAACCCCCUAGUUACCGUUGACUGAUAUCUAACCCGUUGACUGAUGUUAACUCUUGAAAGUAACUAUAACAUCUAUAUUGUAAUCUCACUUUAUUAACUAAUAAAUUUUAAAAAUAUAAACAGAUCAAUAACAACAAAAUAAUUAAAGUUGAAAUCCAAGAAAUUACCUAAAAAUCAUACCUGAAAACCAAAAUGCAUAAAAUUUCAUUAAUUUAAGUUGUGACAAUGAGUAGUCCACAUUAUAUGAUGAAUGAACAACUUCUAUCAUUUUACCAAGUUAUUAAUGUUAUGUUUACUUACUGGAGUGGACAUGAGAAGUAUAGAUUCCUCUCACUCUAAAGUUUACUUGCAUAUUCUAAGAGGUGUGGGAAUCCCACUCCGUUGAUCCCACCCAAUUUUGAAGUAGUGAGUGUAAUUCCCACUCCCACAACUUUCUUUUUUACUUUUCUUUUAUUAAAUUUAAUACAAUCAUAUUUAGUAAAAUAAAACAAAUAACAUCAUAUUUAUUUAAUAAAUAUUAUUAUUUUAUUUUAUAAAAUUCUAUUUAUUAAAAAGAAUAAUAUUAAUCUUAUUUAGAUAAAAUUAUUAUUAUAUUUAUUUAAAAAUAAUAGUAUUAUAUUUAUUUAAUAUUAAUAAUAAAUAGUUUAUUGUAAGAAACUAUUAAUUUUUCACUAUAUUAUUAAUAAUAAUGUUUCAUUUGUGUUGCUCUUAUCAAUAAUUUUUAUUUCACAUAAUUAAAAUUAAAACUAAUACAAAAUUUUGAUUUACAUAAUUAAUAAUAUUAAUAAUUAUUGUUAAUUUACAAAUAUAGUGAAAUAAAUAUUUUAUUUCAAAUAGAUUUUUUAUUAAUUUUGUAAUUAAAAACUACAAUUCUUUAAAUAAGGGUAAAACCGUAAUUUGAAACCAUUUACUCCCCUUCUCAUUCUAGUGAGCAAAAACAACUUGCUCCCACUCCACACUCUCAAUCACAAGGUUCCCACUUCUUAAGAUUUCCACUAUAAUCUAAAAUGUAAACACCGUCUAAAACGUCAAAUAAAAUUCUUAAUUAAGUAAACCAUAAGGUGAUUACGUAUAAAAAAAAUUAAUAAUAUUAAUUUUCAUAAGAAUUUAUGCUUGUAGUAUUACUUUACUUUUUUAUUGACUGUUGCUUCAACUUAUGGUAGAUAUUAAGAGAACAAUAAUAAUAGAGCUAUAAAUGUUUGCGUACUAUCAAUCAACUUAACAGUAUAAUUACCAACAAAUCCUUAAUACCAUAAAUAAUUAAAUUAUUGGGGUUUUAAAAUGACUCUCUAGACUUUGCAUGAUUUCUUUAUAUGUAGGUGCCAUGGUUCCCAUAAGUAAUAUCAGCCACACUUUUUGUUAUUGUUAAAAAAAUUUUAUAGGUACAAUUUGUGAAUUUGUACAAAAUGUGGUAUUAUACAUUUGAAGCAUGAACUGACAAGACAAUGUUGUGUCAAUAAUAAAGAAACAAAAAAAAAAUUGUAUAAAAUACAGAUGUUGUAGUGUAACUUGGAUUCUUUUUCUUUAUAAUUGCACCUAUCAUGUGAUUAUCAAAAAAAAAAAAAGAACUCCUGAGAUUUUAAAAUUUUGUAAUUGCACUAUUUUUGGAUUAUCAGAAGACUUCCUCUCCUUAAAGAUGCUCUUAAUCCAUAAAUGGUGCAAAACAUAAUUCAUGAAAUGAAUUUAUUAUUUUAGAUAAGUUUCAAGUAUACAUACCUUUUAUAGCUCCAUAUUGCAUAACUCCUCAUUUCAAUCAAUGGAUGCAUUUGUUUACUUUUUCUUUCUUGUAAAUUUUUGAAUGGCCGUAAUUCUAUAAAUAAUUAAUUAAGUGUUAUUGUUAUCAUUAUUUUGUAGAUGCAUAUGUGGGGUGGGGACGUUGGGGGGCAUGGAUCUCAAUAUAGCAGAGGGCCUGAAUAUUUAUUCUUUAAGAGGAACCACAACCAACAACAAUGCUUUAAGUUCCAUUCCAUUUUACUUCUGUGCACCAGAUUGCAUAAACAACAUUGAUUAUCCAAGGUCAAAGUCUCUCAAAUACUCUAGUUACAAGACAAAGCAUGGGUUAGUAGUGGCCAAAAUUUUCUUGCAACGAAAGGCUCGUAAACUGAUGACAGCUGCUGGAUUGUUUUGGGCCUUAAUGGUUUUAAUAUUAUUCUCUUAAAAACAUAUAUGUUGAUUAGAGACGAGAGGAAGAAGAUGAUAUGAUUCAGCCAGUUGCAGAAGAAAGAGCACGCAGUGGAGUUCAGAUUUUGAAUUCUCUUGUCAAAUUGUUUUUAAUUUACUACAAGGUAGAAUAUGUUGCAUUGUUAAAAAAUACUUUGAACAUCCUAUUUUUGUAUUACAAAUAUACCAAAAAUUAAAUUAAUUUUUUUCUUUAUUAGUAUAAACUAAAUUUUGCAUGAAUCCUCAUCCUUAUAAGUGGAAUUCUAUUGUGAAAUUAAUAGUCCUUCCUAGUUGAACUAACUAUCACUUUGAACAUAUGUGUCAUCUCUAACAACAGCUCCCAAACCUGCAGCUACCUGCUUCUUAGCAUUAGAAGCAGUAUCUGCAUUGGCUUUCAACCAGCCAUAAUUAGGAGGAGGGCACCAUUGUUUCUGUUUGUCAAUUUCCUUUCUUGAACCAUAAGCCAUAAUUAGGAGGAGGGCAAACUUCCAAAUAACAUUCCAAAUGGUAUUGUGAAAAAUUUUCACCCUUUUGGUAAUAAAAAAGAACCUUAUUUCUAGUUCUCUAUUAACAAUCUUACCACUAAGUUCUCUCUUGAGUAGAAACAUCAUAUAUAUUAAUUUAUUGUUAAUAUAAACAAAACUAAAUAUUUAUAACUUAAAAGAUAGGUGUUGAAUAGAGGCAGUCUCACAGAAAAAAAAAAAAAAAAGUAUUUGAAAGCAGUGGUGAUAUCAUAUUUUUUGUAAUGAUACGAGAGUAUCACACUAGAUUUUUUUUCUGCAUUACAAAAAGUUUGUAUUCAAGAAUAAAUAAGCAAUAUCAGGAACAAAUUUUACAAAAAGCCUCCAGGACAUGUCAUAUUAAUUUUGUGAUAUAUUAGUCACUAGAUCUUCUUUCCACAUUACAAAAAAAUUAGAAAUGCAAUCUAAAUCGAUAUCAAUUACUAAUUUUAUAUUGAAUGGGUCCUACAUGAAAAUAAGGAGUAUUUUUAUAAUUUAAGAAAUUAUUAGCCAUUUACCCUAAGUUUACUUUGUGUCAAAAAAUACUACGAAAACUUUAACUUAUUUAGUUUUUUACCUGAAUUUAUAAUUUAUAUCAAUCGCUCACUAAAAAGAUAGAAUUACCUCAUAAAAUGACAAAAUAAAAACAAACACAAAUGACAAUACCAGUAAUUUUAUAAGGAUAAUCCAAUCCUUUUGGCACCAAAUUACAUAUUAAAUUAUUUUAAAUAUUAUAAAUUAUUUUUAAAUUGAGUGAGAAACCCUGGUCAUUUUAAUACUCAUGGCCAUUUAAUCUAACAAAACAUGAUAUUUCGAGUAGACUUAUGUUUGCGUAGGAGGAUAAUGUAAAAAAAGUGGCACUUUUAUUCAACUGAAUAAAUUUCACAAUGUAAAUUAGAAAACAAUAAAAAUUUCAUAAUUAACUAUUAUUUGAACUAAUUGAAUCGGGAGCCAUCAUUUGUAGCGGCCUCAAAAGCAUAACAUAUUUUUAUACUGAGUGAUGGACCUAAUCAUUUUAAUACUCAUGACAAUUUAAUCUAUCUAAAUAUGAAAUUUCGAGUAGACUUGUGUUUUUUUUUUUUUUUUUGAAGGGAAGCAAUUUCAUUAAACCAAAAACGAAUUACAGACUAUGUAAUAACCACAAAGGUGGAACGAAAUUCCACUCUUGGGGACCUGACAUAGAACCUACUGCCCUUGCAACAGAAUGAGCAGCCAGGUUCGCAGACCGACGUACAAACGAGAAUUGUACUUCUCCUAAAGGCUUAGCUAAAGCUCGACAUUCAUCAACUAUUAAACCAAAACCGUUAGGCCCUGAAAACUCCUCAACUAGAGCUUGAAAUACUUGUAAACAAUCAGUUUCAACAAUGACACAAGGAAAUUGUAAGCCUUUAAGCCAACUAAGGGCCUCCCGAAUACCAAGAGCUUCAGCCUCCCUUGCUCCAAAAUUCCCAGCCAUUCCAGCACAUCUUGCUGUUAAGAAAACACCCUCUGAAUUUCGAAGCACACACCCAAAACCAAUCUUUCCUUGAGAUGAAAAGAUAGCAGCGUCAACAUUACAUUUGACCCAACCAAACUUUGGCCUCUCCCAACAUAUUGCCCCAUGGACCAGCUUAUGGACAUCAGUAUCAGCAUAGAAUUGUUGCUUCUUUGCUGCUUGCCACUGAUAGAGAAGUUGCCCAGCAGAAUUGAGCACUUGAUUCACUGAACCAGUUUUGUUAUUCCAUACUUUGUCAUUACGAUUAAUCCAAACUCUCCAGCAGAUCAUCAUGGCAACAUGGCAUUCUUCUUUACUGCAGCGUGUAAAGAUGUGAUCAAGCCACUCUAAGAAAGAAUAACAAUGGCCAAUAAAACCCACAGAGGAAGAAAUCCAGCAAGCCUUAGCAACAUUACACUCAACCAACGAAUGGAGAACCGUUUCAUCAGAAGCAAGACACACAACACAAGUAGGGGGGAUAUUCACCCGCUUAGAAAUUAAAUUAACUGCAGUAGGCAACACAUUAGUUGCCGCUCGCCAAACAAAAUUCUUAACCUUAUUCGGCACAUUCAAGUUCCAUAGUUUUCGCCACACAUCUGUGAAAGGGCCAGGGGUAAGAGAAUGUAAAACCUUAUAACAGCUACGGACUGAAUAGCAUCCGCGAGAAUCAGCCAACCAAUACCACACAUCAUCAUUUCAGUGGGAACUAAGGGGAAUUUGAAGUAUCAACUCCUUGUCUCUUGCGUUGAAAAGAUCCGAAACAAGAUCAUAAUCCCAAGCUCGUUGAUUAGGCACCAGUAAACUACUAACAGGAGCUGCAGCAAGCUCUGCAUGGAGAUUAGAAGAAACAAAUCCAUUAUUAGUAUCAGGAAGCCACGGAUCCUUACCAAUGAAGAUCGAAUUCCCACAGCCAACUUGCAGUCUACUCCCUUGAAUUACCACAUCCUUUGCAGCCAAAAUAAAGCGUCAUACAUAGCUAGGAUUAUGCCCCACAGAAGCUUGAAGAACAGAGGUGCGCGGAUGGUAGCGAGCUUUAAUUAUCUUGGCCACAAGAGAUUCCGGACAAGUUAACAGCUUCCACAUUUGCUUUCCUAACAUCGCUAGAUUGAAUAAAUGAAGUUGUUUAAAACCAAGGCCCCCAUAUCCUUUUGGUUUGCACAGAUUUUCCCAUUUGGACCAGUUUAUUCCUUUCCCUCCACUUCGAUUACUACGCCACCAGAAUGAGUUCAUCAGUCCUUCUAGUUCUCUACACAAAUCCUUUGGCAGUAAAUAUAUACCCAUAGCAUAAUUAGGCAUCGCAAGGGCUACCGUUUUUAACAAAAUCUCCUUCCCAGCCCGAGAAAGCAUCCGCGUACUCCAUCCCUGCAGGCGUUGCCAGAGCUUGUCCCUAAUAUACCUGAACACCUCUUUCUUGUUUCUGCCAAUAUAUGAUGGAAGACCAAGGUAGGCUCCAUGAUUAGAGGUCAUGGUAACCGCUAGAAUAUCACAAACCUGCUGAGUAACAGAUGCAAUCACAUUAGUGCUAAAAGAAAUUGAAGACUUGUUGAAAUUAACCUCUUGGCCAGAAGCUCGACCAUAAACCUCCAGCAGCUGCUUGAUUAAAGAAGCUUCAUUGUUAUUUGCCCUGAAAAAAAGGAAGCUAUCAUCGGCAAAAAACAAAUGCGAGACCGAUGGUGCCCCUCUCGCGAUCCGUACACCAUGAAGUAAGCCAUUCCUUUCUUGUCUUCGAAUUAAAGAACUGAGCCCUUCCGCGCAAAGAAUAAAUAGAUACGGAGAUAAUGGAUCUCCCUGUCGAAGGCCUCUACUCGGAACAAUCGGCCCAACUUCCUUUCCCUCCCGUAGCACAUGAUAUCUGACAGUAGAUACACAGAGCAUAAUUAACUCCACCCACUUGGCAUCAAACCCCAUCUUAAGCAUCAUUGCUUGAAGAAAAUUCCACUCAAUCCUGUCAUAUGCCUUAGACAUAUCAAUUUUCAGAGCAGCUACCCCAUUUUUGCCUUGUCUCUUCCGUUUCAAAAAAUGCAUAAUUUCAGCCGAAAUGAUUAUGUUAUCCGUGAUAGCUCGACCCGGGAUAAAAGCGCUUUGAGAGUCUAAAAUAACCACAUCAAGAACUGAUUUCAUGCGGUUAGCUAGCAUUUUGGAUAUUAUCUUAUACAACACAUUGCAUAACGCAAUUGGUCUCGUAUCUGAUAAUAAUUCAGGUUUGUGUUUCUUCGGUAUUAGCACAAUUGAAGUGUCAUUCAAGCCCACUAGGAAAGAGCAAUCAUGAAUAAAUUUUAAACAAGCCAAAAUCACAUCCUUACCCACAAUAUGCCAGAACUUUUGGUAGAAAGCAGGGUUCAUCCCGUCGGGUCCUGGAGACUUGUCCGGAUGCAUUUCAAAGAGUGCUUCUUUAACCUCAAUGUCAGUAAAAGGAGCUAAAAGCAUUGCAUUAUGCUCGUUUGUAAUUCUUUUAUCCACACACUGGGUAACUUCAGCAGUAUGACACCCUCCGGAGGUGAAAAGGCUCUGGAAAUAGUCCACAAUCAAAGUAUCCACCUCCUCUGGGUUGGAACACCAGUCUCCUUGAUUAUUGCGAAGAGACUCGAAGGAAUUCUGCCUUCUCCUGGCAGAGGCCGAGGCAUGGAAAUAGUGAGUGUUCCUGUCACCUUCCUUUAACCACAAAGACUUUGCUCUCUGUUUCCAAAAAACCUUAUGACUAUGCAAAAGCUCAUUAUAACGCUGUCUCGCUUCUGAAAAAGCAACCACACCCUCACUAUCUCGCCUACCCCGAAAAACAGCCAUACACUUCUUGCAUUCCCGAAUUCGCUGUCGAAAAUCUCAAGCAAAAUGCCCUCCCCACUCCAUAAGAGCAGACCCACACAGCAUAAUUCUAUGUUGAAUAGAAGCACCAGUAUAGGAGCUCCAGCUAUCCCGAAUAACAUCACUACAGUCAGCCUCACGCAACCAAGUAUUCUCAAAACGAAAACGGUUAUGCCUUAAAAUAGGCUGGGUCGGGCUAGGAUCCAACAAGAUAGGAAGAUGAUCAGAGCAAGAGGAGUCUAAGCUAUAGACUUUCACCUUGUUGAAUCGCUGAAUCCAUUCCUCAGAUGCAAAAGCUCGAUCAAGCCUUUCUUCAACCCAUUUAUCAGUGCCCCUAGCUCUCUCCCAUGUAAACUGAUACCCAUCGAUGCCAAGAUCAACUAAAUUGCAAUCGGUAAUAGCUCGCUGAAAACCCACCAGCUUCCAAUUUGGGUGCGCAAUACUACCUCUCUUCUCAUUUGCCGCCAGUAAAUCAUUAAAAUCACCUAUACACACCCAUGGGAGUGAAGAGGAAGAAGCAAGCAAACGGAGCAAGUCCCACGAUUUGCGGCGCCGGCUAGACUCAGGAUAGCCGUAAUAACCAGUUAAUCUCCAUUUUCCUAAAACGGGCACUUCAACUUCAGCAUCUAUAAAAUUGGUGGCAAACUGCAGCAGAUUAACAUUACUAGUAGCUUUCCAAAGAAGCGCGAGCCCACCACUCCGGCCAACUCUAUCAACAACAAACAGCCCAUCAUAGCCCAAUUGAAUUUUGAUCAUCUCUAACUUAUCUCUACUGCAUAGCGUUUCAAUAAGAAAAAUGAACGUAGGCUUCUUGUUACGGACCACCUCUGCCAACAUACGAACUGUCCGUGGCUGGCCCAACCCACGGCAGUUCCAACUUAAAGUACUCAUUGCUCUCGGUGGGCCUGAAGUACAGGUCCCACCGCUAGCCCGUUUUUUGGAUCUACCACCAUAGAACUCACAUCCACCUCUGUUUGUACUAUACCCUCCAGCCCCAUAUCCGCUCUUCUUCUUUUAGCUUCCUUUAACACUAACUCUUUCUCCCCAUACCUUACAGCUACUUGAGUAAGGUCCAGCCCAUUUGCAAAUGAAACCACGUCUUUGCCCUUACCAAGCCGUUGACUGCUAGUGGCCUGGACAACUGGCAAUGCUUGUAAGCUCAUUAUAUUAUCCAUAGAAUCCCGCCCAUCACUCCCUAUAUGGUUGGCAAAUUUCGUAUUGUUGGAAAUUCCUGAUUUGGAGGCAUUCAUCUCAUUAACCACGGUACCACUUAAGGAAGUUUUAAAAUUUCCUGAAUUAGCCAUACAUUCUUCUGACAGUUCCGAAUGUAACCACCUUUCACCGGAGGACAUGGCAUUCCGACGAGUUGGAGCCUUCAUCUCUGGCCUAUAUGACCUUGUAAUAUCAGCAGCAUCACAAUUAUACAACUUCGGACAAAGUUUUUCUGAGUGCCCAAGGAGUCCACAAAUGAAGCAGAAAGUAUUUAAUCGUUCAAACUUGAAAUCAACCCAGAACCAAUCUCCUCCCUCCUUCUUUAGUCGCAAUCUUCGCUUCAGGGGUUUCCGGACAUCAAUGGAUACCCUUAUGCGCAUAUAGUUUCUCCACACUCCCAUGAGAUUAUUAGGAUCUGAAGAUUGAAACUCACCAUUAUUGUUACCAAUAUUUAUCAAUACUUUCUCUGACAGAAACCCAAUGGGUAAGUUGUACACCUGGAUCCAAAACGAAGUAUGGAAUAAAGAAACCAUAUUCGGUUGUUCAUUCUCCCCCAAUCUCUUUAAAAUUAGAAUAUGUUGGUCGAAGGUCCACGGUCCCGAAUCAAUCACACGCUUGAGGUCAACUUCGUGAAAGAAUUGGAACAAGAAAAGAGAAGGUGAUAAAUCUUUGAUGCACACUCCCUUCCCUGGACGCCAUAAUGCCGCCAUAGUAUUUUUCAUGGCCGGAAAAUUGAUCACCUUAUCAGUUAAAAACCUCCCCACCAAGCAGAAUCUAAAAUCAGUCAACCCUGCAUUUCCAGUGGCAAUAUCCUCACUAUGAAAAACAAGACCAUCGUCAUCUUCCUCCCCAAUAGAAACCUUUUCAUAUGCAGCAUUCAUCUCAUGCUCCCCAAAAUUUCUACUGGUUGUCAUAGUACUCGUAAUAAGCAGGAAAUAUGGCUAUCUAGCCGGAAAUAUCCUAGAGCAAACUUGUCAGAAGGACAAGACAAACAAAGCUUGCCAAAGAGACAAGAGUAGCCUAAAAUUACGACUUGUGUUUGAGUAGGAGGAUAAUGUAAGAAAACUUGGCACUUUUAUUCAACUGAAGAAAUUUUACAAUUUAAAUUAGAAACGAUAAAAUUUAAUAAUUAACUAUUAUUUGAACUAAUUGAAUCGUGCGCCAUCAUUUGUGUAAUGUAUCCUAUUUGCAAAAUAAACGGCAGGAUGCGGUUUGCGGACAGAUUAUGGAAAGAAAAAGGCAUAUAUUUCUCUCCUAUUUUGGUAAUUCUAUAUUUCUAUUCUUCUUCUUUUUCAACCCCAAAUAAUCAAAAGCUCUCCAAUGGCUUUCGUAUCCACAAGGACCACAACUCGUCCAUUUCAUUUUACUUCAAUUUUAGUAUCAGCUCUUAGAUGUAAUUUCUCAUCUUCGUUCCCUCAUACCGGAAAACCCACAUCUUCAAUUUCGGAAAAUGAACCCUCGUAUCCGACCACAACAGCUAAACUGAAGGAGUCGCUACGACUGACGGUCAAAGACUGAGCCUCACUCGAAAAAUUCCUCAAAGAAAGGUGCAAAUCAUCAGGUCAAGGUGAUAUUAAUCUUAUUACUCCUAAUGAAGCCUUGUGUAUCUUUGAUUACAUGCUCCGUAUGCACCCUUCUCCGCCUCCUGUCUCUUCCUUCAAUAUUUUGUUUGGUUGUCUUGCUAAGAAUAAACAUUAUGAUACUGUCCUUUCACUCUUCAAGCGACUCAAUUCAACUGGGUUGUUUCCAGAUCUUUAUACUUACAAUAUCUUGAUUAACUGCUUUUGCAAAAUGGGUCGAGUUUCUCAUGGUUUUGUUGUUCUUGGGAGAAUCCUCAGGUCUUGUUUUACUCCAGAUGCUGUGACCUUUACUUCUUUGAUUAAAGGUUUGUGUGCGGAGAGUAGAAUCAUGGAGGCCGCCACAUUGUUUAUGAAACUUAAAGCGUUUGGUUGUGAGCCUAAUGUCAUUACAUACACCACUUUGAUUAAUGGAUUGUGUCGAACAGGCCAUACAAUUGUUGCUCUAAAUUUAUUUGAAGAGAUGGCUAAUGGAAAUGGGGAAUUUGCUGUUGUUUGUAAGCCAGACACUGCUACAUACAGUACUAUUAUCGAUGGUCUUUGUAAGGAAGGUUUUGUGGACAAGGCCAAGGAACUGUUUCUGCAGAUGAAGGAUAACAAUAUUAACCCUAACAUGGUUACCUAUACCUCUGUGAUUCGUGGUUUUUGUUAUGCUAAUGAUUGGAAUGAGACCAAGUGUUUGCUAAUUGAGAUGAUGGACCAAGGGGUACAGCCUAAUGUUGUGACUUUCAAUGUCAUCAUGGAUGAGCUCUGCAAGAAUGGAAAGAUGGAUGAGGCAAGUCGGUUGUUGGACCUGAUGAUUCAGUUUGGUGUGCGUCCAAAUGCUUUUGUCUAUAACACAUUAAUGGACGGGUUUUGCUUGACGGGUAGAGUUAAUCGUGCGAAGGAACUAUUUGUUUCUAUGGAGAGUAUGGGUUGCAAACAUACUGUUUUUAGUUAUAGUAUUUUGAUAAAUGGUUACUGCAAGAAUAAGGAAAUAGAGGGAGCGUUAACCCUUUAUAGCGAAAUGCUCUCUAAAGGAAUUAAGCCAGAUGUUGUUAUAUAUAACACCUUGUUUAUUGGCCUUUUUGAAAUACACCAGGUUGAGCGUGCUUUCAAGCUGUUUGAUGAGAUGCAAUGUGAUGGCGUGGCAGCUGAUACCUGGGCAUAUACAACCUUUAUUGAUGGGCUCUGCAAGAAUGGUUAUAUUGUAGAGGCAGUUGAACUAUUUCGUACUUUGAGAAUUCUCAAGUGUGAACUUGAUAUUCGAGCCUACAACUGCCUCAUUGAUGGAUUAUGUAAAUCCGGCAGACUCGAAAUUGCAUGGGAACUGUUUCUGAAGAUGAAGGAUGAGAAUAUUAACCCCAAUGUGGUUACUUAUACCUCUUUGAUUCACGGUUUUUGUUACGCUAAUGAUUGGAAUGAGGCGAAGUGUUUGUUUAUUGAGAUGAUGGACCAAGGGGUACAACCUAAUGUUGUGACUUUCAAUGUGAUCAUGGAUGAGCUCUGCAAGAAUGGAAAGAUGGAUAAAGCAAGUCGGUUGCUGGACCUGAUGAUUCAGAUUGGUGUGCGUCCAGAUGCUUCUGUCUAUAACACAUUAAUGGAUGGGUUUUGCUUGACGGGUAGAGUUAACCGUGCGAAGGAACUAUUUGUUUCUAUGGAGAGUAUGGGUUGCAAACAUAAUGUUUUUAGUUACAGUAUUUUGAUAAAUGGUUACUGCAAGAAUAAGGAAAUAGAGGAAGCGUUAAGCCUUUAUAGCGAAAUGCUCUCUAAAGGAAUUAAGCCAACAGUUGUUACAUAUAGCACCUUGUUUCUUGGACUUUUUGAAAUACACCAGGUUCAGCAUGCUUUAAAACUGUUUGAUGAGAUGCAGCGUAAUCAUGUGGCAGCUAAUACAUAUAUAUAAACUACCUUUAUUGACGGGCUCUGCAAGAAUGGUUUUGUUCUAGAGGCACUGGAAUUAUUCCGUGCUAUAAGAAAUAGCAAGUAUGAGCUUAAUAUCGUAUCCUACAACUGCCUCAUUGAUGGAUUGUGUAAAAUAGGCAAACUGGAAACUGCUUGGGAACUGUUUCAAAGUUUGCCUCGUGUAGGCCUAAUGGCAGAUGUUGUAACAUACAACAUCAUGAUCCAUGGGCUUUGUAAUGAUGGGCAAAUGGACAAGGCACAUGAUUUGUUUCUUGAUAUGGAAGCAAAAGGUGUGGAACCCGAUUGUGUCAUAUUUAAUAUGAUUAUGCUGGGUUUCAUCCGCAAUAAUGAGACAUCAAAAGUUAUUGAACUCCUUCACAGAAUGGAUAAGAGAAAUGUAAUGCCAGACGCAUCUAUACUUUCAAUUGUUGUGGACUUGCUUGUAAAGAAUGAAAUUAGCUUAAACUCGAUUCCACAAUUCAAGAGUCAAAGGUAAGUGAGUUUAAUACUGAUUUAGCCACAUGUUUCUUCUGCCUGAAAACCCAACCUGGAGGAUCCCAUUCUUAUUACAACAUGUAAAGGAGUGUUGUCUAAUAUAGGCAUGUUCCUAGGUUCUGUCCAUGGAUUCUGUUUGCAGACAUGGCUAACUUCUUGUUCAACAGAAAGUUUUAAAGUCUUUCAACUUUAUGUUGUAAAAUAACUUUUUUAUUAUUCAAUUCAUGAGUUUUUCUUCUAUAACACAUCCUUCUCAUUAGCUGGAAGUGCAAAUUUUUUAGGCUUUUCCUGUAUGGCCUCUUUCUCUGCUCUAAAUAAAAUGGCAUUUUAUUUCCCUCUUGUGAGGGUACAAGGUUUAUGUUUAAACUUUCUGUUAGUUAAAUUGGUUGUCUUUGAUAUAGGGAACUUCCAGUUGAACUGAUUUGUAAUUCGACUAUAUGAGAUUACCAACUGUAUUGGGAAUUGAUGCCAAAUUAAUAAUGUCAUCAGGUUUUUCAAUCAGUGUUCAUCAUUUAUUUCUGUUAACAAUUAAUAGCACAGUUUGUCUUCUCAGCUUCAUUGGUUCCUCUCAAAAAUGAUCUUGUAAAGACAAUCUUUCUUGGGCAUGGAAAAUGCUAGAUUGUUUGUGGUCUGAAUGAUACUACACAUCUAAGUAAUUGCCCAAAUUUUUUGUUCCUUGUUACACGGCAUUCAAUUGAAUGAGGACUCAUGUUUGUGUGUAUUGGUAUUUGUUAUACUAUGUAUUGGCAAGACAAAGUUUCUUGAAACUGACAAACUUUUCUCUAUGAAGAUUGAAGACAAUAUGAUAAGAUAAAAUUUAUCAAAAGCCUAUAUAUGCUUGCCAGGGCUGGACCUUUGAUUAUUAGUCCUCGCCUUUCGUUCUUGUUUCAUAUUCUUCUGCUAACAAAUCUUGAUCAUGAAUCUCAUCACAUUUGGUACGCGUAUCCAUGGUUUUAUCCGAACCAAUGAGCCAUCAAAAGUUAUUGACCUUCUUCACAAGAUGAGGGAGAAAAAAGUAAUGCCAGAUGCAUCUAUAGUUUCAAUCGUCGUGGACUUGUAAAGAAUGAAAUUAGUCUGAACUCACUUCCGUCAUUUCCUGUUCAAGAGCAACAGGGGGAGGUUGAUGAGUCAAAUGUCAAGUUGUAGCAGCAUGUGCUUUCAGCCUAAAAUCCUGAUCUGCAGCAUCUCAAUCAUGUUACAAAGUGACACGUCGCCUAGUGACAGCAAGUUCUCUACGGUGCUGUUAAUGGAUCCUGAUUGUUCUUGUGAUCUGGAGAGUCUCAUUCAUAUUACAGAUCCUGAUCAGGACGAGCUAGCUUAUGUGAUCACCAACUGUACAUGGUUGUUGAUGCCAAAUUAAAUUAUGGUAUCAUGUUUUUCAACUUGUUAUUUAAUAUAGUGCUUCCAUUGAACGGCCACAAGAAACUGUAGAAUCACCGUGUCUUGUUCCCUCUUAAUAAUCCAUCACUUUGGAAGCUAAUGAAUUAGUUGCACCUUGUCACUUUCUUGGUACUUGAUUGUCAUUCGUGCUUUGAAUUUACAGCAUAUUUUAUCCCUGCUUUACUCUUUGCAUAAUCACCUUUGAGGGCUGCUAGUAUGUAUAAUUGAAAAACCUUAUAUAAAUUGUAAGCAUUUUUAUUUAACUUGUUGUAAACGUCCAGUAUAUGUCUCUUCUGUGAAAUGAUUCAUUCUCCAUGCUGCGAGGACCUGGGCUUAUGACUCUUCUGUGAAAUGAUUUACCCUCACCUGCAGACAGACAUUUAUCACAUUCGAGAAAUCUUCAAACAAAGUGAAAAAAAUGCCACAAACACGACAUAAACUUAACUGUUUACAUGAAAAGUGGCAGCAACUUGGUGAAAUUACCGAUUAAAAUGUCCCUACUGUGAGGAAGGAUGCUAUACAACUGACUCGGAAAAUGUAAAAUGGGUAACGUACGUCCAAAAUGUCCCUGUAUUGUUGGCAUGUUCCCAGCUUCUGUUCAUGGAUUCUGUUUGCAGACAUGGCAGACUCUUUGUUUCAUCGGACAAGUUUCAAAUAAUUCUGGCAACUUUUUGUUGUAAAAUUACUUUUUUAUCAUUUAAUUCAUAUGCCUCUUUCUCAUUACCUGCAAGUGCAAAAUUUUUAGGCUCGUCCUCUUAGACCUCUUUUUCUUCUCUAAAUAGAUAAAAUGGCAUUUCAUUUUUCUCUUGCGAGGGUGCAGGUUUAUGCUGAAACUUUCUGUUAGUUAAAUUGAUUGUCUUUGAUAUUGGAACUUGUAGUUGAACUAGUUUACAUUUAGAAUAUAUGAGAUUACCAACUGUAACGGGAAUUGGUGCCGAAUUGAUUAUGUUAUCAGGUUUUUCAGUCUUUGUUCAUCUUUUAUUUCUGUUAAUAAUUAAUAGCACAGCUUGUCUUCUCUGCUUCUUUGGUUCCUGUCAAUUGUCAAAUAUAAACUGGUAAAGACAUUUUGUUUUGGCAUGGCACAUGCUAGAUUUUGUUUUUGGUUUGAAUGAUACUACAAAUCUGAGUAAUUGUCCAGAUUUUUUUCAUUCCUAGUGACAUGGCACUCAAUUGAAUGGUGACCCGUGAAUCAUGAUUGUGUGUGUUGGUAUUUGUUAAACUACGUGCUGGCAAGACAAAGUUUGUUAUUAGUCCUCGCCUUCCAUUCUUGUUUCAUAUUCUUCUGCUAACAAAUCUUGAUCAUGGUAGUCUUCUCUUUUCUUUGCAACCCACAUAUAAAGUCUCGGCCAUAAGCCUCGAGGCCUAUUCUCUUUUGCAAUGGUGAGUUCACUCUCAGGAAUCAGAUCGAAUUUGAAGAAACUGCAAGGGACUACAAAGCAAAUGGUGUGAAGCUCCUUUCACUCAUCACUGGCACAGCAUUACUCUGACUUUCUACAUUUUACUGUUGCGUAUGGUUUCUCCAUACCAUUCUCGUUGGAAGUUCAAUCAUUACUGUUUUUUUCCCCCCUCUUUUUACUUGCUCUUGCUAUUUUUGUUGUCUGAAAUUAUCUGAAGUUCCAUGCAUGCUCCAAUAGAACAAGAAAUGUAGGUGCUGACCAACUCAAAAUAAGUAGUUAGUUGCCUAGUAGUUGCUUUGCAUGAAAUUUGUUUUUGGUAUGAAUAAUGUUGUCUGAAUUUUACAAGCUUCCAUGCAACCCCUAAUUUAUUGGAUGUCUUAACCCAACCCCUCAUUUAAUAUUAGAUUUACCCGUUGAUUGAUGUUGACUCUUGAAAGUAAUGUAAUAUUUAUUUAUUUGAUAUUAAUGAUUAUAUCAUUUAAAUAGUCUAUUCUAAGAUAUUAUUAAUUUUCUCAUUUAAAUAAAAUAUUAUUAUAUUUAUUUGAUAUUAAUGAUUAAUUAUAAUAAAUAGUCUAUUCUAAGAAAAUAUUAAUUUUCUAUUAUGUUAUUAAUAAUAAUGUUUCAUUUCUAUUACUUUCAUCAAUAAUUUUUAAUUAAGAUAACUAAAAUUAAAACUAACAAAAAAUUAUGAUUUACAUAAUUAAUAAUAUUAAUAAUUAUUGUUAAUUUACAAAUAUAAUGAAAUAAAUAUUUCUUUUUCAAAUAUAUUUUUUAUUAAAUUUUUAAUUAAAAACUAUAUUUUUUAAAUAAGGAUAAAAUUAUAAUUUGAAACUAUUUACUCCCGCUCCGAGACAAAGUAAACACGUAAAUUGAAUUUUAAUUCCAAUUCCAUACUCCUAUUCCAGUGUAAGUAAAUAAUCUACUCUCACUCCACACUCUCAAUAUCAGGAUUCUUACUUCUUAGGAUUACCUCUCUAUUCCAAAAUAUAAACGCUAACAAAAUAUAAACCAUAUAGAGACACAUAUAUAUAGAAUCAUAUCAUAUCUCAAACGUCAAAUAAAAUUCUUAAUUAAGUAAACCAUAAGGUGAUUGCGUAUAAAAAAAUUAAUAAUAUUAAUUUUCAUAAGAAUUUAUGCUUGCAGUAUUACUUUACUUUUUAUUAACCAUUGCUUCAACUUAUGGUGGAUAUUAAGAGAACAAUAAUAAUAGAGCUAUACACGUUUGCAUACUACCAAUUAAAUUAACACUAUAAUUUGGUUUACCAAACAGAUCCUUAAUAUCAUAAAUGAUUAAAUUAUUGGGGUUUUAAAAUGUAGACUUUGCAUGAUUUCUUUAUAUUUAGGUGCCAUGGCUCCUAUAAGUAAUGUCAGCCACACUUUUUGUUAUUGGUAAAAAACUUUUCUAGGUACAAUUUGUGAAUUUGUACAACGUGUGGUAUUAAACAUUUGAAGAAUGAACCGACAAUGUCGUAUCAAUAAUAAAGAAAAGAAAACGAAUUGUAUAAUACCCAGGUGUUCUAGUGUAACUUGGAUUCUUUUUCUUUAUAGGUGCACCUAUUAUGUGAUUUUUUUUUUUUUAAAAAAGAAAACAAAAAAAAAGAACUCUUGAGAUUUUAAAAUUUUGUAAUUGCACUAUCUUGAAAUUACCAGGAGACUUCCUCUCCUUGAAGACACCCUUAAUCCAUAAAAGGUCCAAAAAAUAAUUCAUGAAAUGAAUUGAUUAUUUUAGAUAAGUUUCAAGUAUGCAUACCUUUUAUAACUCCAUAUUGCAUAACUCCUCAUUUCACUCAAUGGAUGCAUUUGUUCACUUUUUCUUUCUUGUAAAUUUUUGAAUGGCCGUAAUUUUAUAGAUUAUUAAUUAAGUGUUAUUAUUAUCAUUAUUGGCCGUAGAUGCAUAUGUGGGGUGGCGCCGUUUGGGGGGCAUGGAUCUCAAUACACCAGAGGGCCAGAAUAUUUAUUCUUUAAGAGGAACCACAACCAACAGCAAUACUUUAAGUUCCAUUCCAUUUCACUUCUAUGCACUAGAUUGCAUAAACAACAUUGAUCAUCCAAGGUCAAAGCCUCUCAAAGACGUUAGUUGCAAGAAAACGCAUGGGAUUGUGGUCAAAAUUUUCUUGCGGUGAAAGGUUCAUACAUUGAUGACAAUUAUUGGAUUGUUUUGGGCCUCAAUGGUUUUAAUAUUAUUCUCUUAAAAACAUAUAUGUUGAUUACAGACGAGAGGAAGAAGAUGAUCUGAUUCAGCCAACUGCAGAAGAUAGAGCACGCGGUGGAGUUCAUAUUUUGAAUUCUCUUGUUAAGUUGUUUUUAAUUUAUUGCAAGGUAGAAUACGUUGCUUUCUUAAAAAAUACUUUGAACAUCAUAUUUUUGUAUUACAAAUAUACCAAAAUUAAACUAAUUUUUUUUCUUUAUUAGUAUAAACUAAAUUUUGCCAGAAUGGUUGUCCUUGUAGGUGGAAUUCUAUUAUGAAACUAAUAGUCCUUCCUAGUGCUAACUAUCACUUUGAACAAAUGUGUCAUCUCUAACAACAACUUCCAAACUUGCAGCUACCUGCUACUCAGCAUUAGAAGCGAUAUCCACCUUGGCUUUCAACCAGCUGUAAUUAGGAGGAUGGUACCAUUGUUUCUGUUUGUCAAUUUCCUUCCUUGAAGCAUAAACCUUAAUUAGGAGGAGGGCAAGCUUCCAAAUAACAUUCCAAAUAGUAUUGUGAAAAUUUUUCACCCUUUUGGUCAUAAAAAAGAACCUUAUUUCUAGUUCUCUAUUAACAAUUUUAUCACUUUAAGUUCUCUCUUUACUAGAAAUAUCAUAUAUAUUAUUUUGUUGUUAAUAUAAAUACGACUAAAUAUUUAUGAUUUAAAGAUAGUUGUUGAAUGGAGGCCGUCACACACACACACACACACACACACAAAAGUAUUUAAAAGCAAUGGUGAUAUCAUAAUUUUUUGUACUGAUAUGAGAAUAUUACACUAGAUUUUUUUUAUGCAUUACAAAAAGUUUGAAUUCAAGAAUAAAUAAGCAAUAUCGGGAGCAAAUUUUACAAAAAGUCUCCAGGACAUGUCAUACGAAAAAUAGUAUACUAGUCAGUAGAUCUUCUUUCUACAUUACAAAAAAUUAGAAAUGCGAUCUAAAUCGAUAUCAAUUACUAAUUUUAUAGUGAAUGGGUCCUUCAUGAAAACAAUGAAUAUUUUUAUAAUUUAAGAAAUUAUUAGCCAUUUACCAUGAGUUUACUUUGUGUCCAAAAAUACUACGGAAACUUUAACUUGUUUAGUUUUUUUACCUUAAUUUAUAAUUUAUAUUAGUCGCUCAUUAAAAAAAUAGAAUUGCCUCAUAAAAUGAUAAAAUAAAAACAAACACAAAUGACAAUACUAGUUGCUUUAUAAGGAUAAUCCAGUCCUUUCGGCACCAAAUUACUGGUUAAAUUAUUUUUAGACUGAGUGACGAAGGGUCAUUUUAAUAUUCAUGGCCAUUUAAUCUAUCUAAACAUGAUAUUUCGAGUAGACUUAUGUUUGCGUAGGAGGCUAAUGUAAAAAAAGUGGCACUUUUAUUCAACUGAAUAAAUUUCACAAUUUAAAUUAGAAAACGAUAAAAUUUCAUAAUUAACUAUUAUUUGAACUAAUUGAAUCGGGAGCCAUCAUUUGUAGCGGCCCCAAAAGCAUAACAUUAUUGUGAGUAAUGUAUCCUACUUGCAAAAUAAACGGCAGAAGGCGGUUUGGGGACGGAUUAUCGAGGUAUUUGUUAAUAUUCGGAAAUGGAAAGAAAAGGGCAAAUAAAAUUUUAACUUAUUAUUAUUAUUAAAGAUUAGACAAAUAAAGGAGCUGUUUGAGUUUAAAUCUCAAAUCAAACCGUACCCAUCGCAAGUAAUGCAUGUGCACAUAAAAUUAUAUUUUGGUAAUUCUUUUCUUCUUUUUUAACCCCAAAUAAUCAAAAGCUCUCCAAUGGCAUUCGUAUCCACAACUCGUUCCUUUCAUUUUACUUCAAUUUCAAUAUCAGCUCUUAGAUGUAAUUUCUCAUCUUCGUUCCCUCAUAUCGGAAAACCCACAUCUUCAAUUUCGGAAAAUAAGCCCUCGUAUCCGACCACAACAGCUAAACUGAAGGAGUCGCUACGACUGACAGUCAAAGACCGAGCCUCACUCGAAAGAUUCCUCAAAGAAAGGUGCAAAUCAUCAGGUCAAGGUGAUAUUAAUCUUAUUACUCCUAAUGAAGCCUUUUGUAUCUUUGAUUACAUGCUCCGUAUGCACCCUUCUCCGCCUCAUGUCUAUUCCUUCAAUAUUUUGUUUGGUUGUCUUACUAAGAAUAAACAUUAUGAUACUGUCCUUUCACUCUUCAAGCGAUUCAAUUCAACUGGGUUGUUUCCAAAUCUUUAUAUUUACAAUAUCUUGAUUAACUGCUUUUGCAAAAUGGGUCGAGUUUCUCAUGGUUUUGUUGUUCUUGGGAGGAUCCUCAGGUCUUGUUUUACUCCAGAUGCUGUGACCUUUAAUUCUUUGAUUAAAGGUUUGUGUGCGGAGAGUAGAAUCAUGGAGGCUGCCGCAUUGUUUACGAAACUUAGAGUGUUUGGUUGUGAGCCUAAUGUUUUUACAUACAAUACUUUGAUUAAUGGAUUGUGUCGAACUGGCCAUACAAUUGUUGCUCUAAAUUUAUUUGAAGAGAUGGCUAAUGGAAAUGGGGAAUUUGGUGUUGUUUGUGAGCCAAAUACUGUUACAUACACUACUAUUAUUGUAAGGAAGGUUUUGUGGACAAGGCCAAGGAACUGUUUCUGCAGAUGAAGGAUAACAAUAUUAACCCUAACGUGGUUACCUAUACCUCUGUGAUUCGUGGUUUUUGUUAUGCUAAUGAUUGGAAUGAGACCAAGUGUUUGCUAAUUGAGAUGAUGGACCAAGGGGUACAGCCUAAUGUUGUGACUUUCAAUGUCAUCAUGGAUGAGCUCUGCAAGAAUGGAAAGAUGGAUGAGGCAAGUUGGUUGUUGGACCUGAUGAUUCAGUUUGGUGUGCGUCCAAAUGCUUUUGUCUAUAACACAUUAAUGGACGGGUUUUGCUUGACAGGUAGAGUUAAUCGUGCGAAGGAACUAUUUGUUUCUAUGGAGAGUUUGGGUUGCAAACAUACUGUUUUUAGUUACAGUAUUUUGAUAAAUGGUUACUGCAAGAAUAAGGAAAUAGAGGGAGUGUUAACCCUUUAUAGCGAAAUGCUCUCUAAAGGAAUUAAGCCAGAUGUUGUUAUAUAUAACACCUUGUUUAUUGGCCUUUUUGAAAUACACCAGGUUGAGCGUGCUUUCAAGCUGUUUGAUGAGAUGCAAUGUGAUGGCGUGGCAGCUGAUACCUGGGCAUAUACAACCUUUAUUGAUGGGCUCUGCAAGAAUGGUUAUAUUGUAGAGGCAGUUGAACUAUUUCGUACUUUGAGAAUUCUCAAGUGUGAACUUGAUAUUCGAGCCUACAACUGCCUCAUUGAUGGAUUAUGUAAAUCCGGCAGACUCGAAAUUGCAUGGGAACUAUUUUGUGGUUUGCCUCGUGUAGGCCUAAUGGCAGAUGUUGUAACAUAUAACAUCAUGAUCCAUGGGCUUUGUAAUGAUGGGCAAAUGGACAAGGCACAUGGUUUAUUUCUUGAUAUGGAAGCAAAGGGUUUGGAACCCAAUUUUGUCAUAUUUAAUACGCUUAUGCUGGGUUUCAUCCCCUGUAAUGAGACAUCAAAAGUUAUUGAACUCCUUCACAGAAUGGAUAAGAGAAAUGUAAUGCCAGACGCAUCUAUACUCUCAAUUGUUGUGGACUUGCUUGUUAAGAAUGAAAUUAGUUUAAACUCGAUUCCACAAUUCUAGAGACACAAGUAAGUCAAUGAGCUGAAUGCUGAUUUACUUGCAUGUUUUUUCUGCCUAAAAUCUGGAUCUGGAGAAUCCCAUUCUUAUUACAACACGUGAAGUAUUGUUGCGUAGUGAUGGCAUGUCCCAGGUUCUGUUCAUAGAUUCUGUUUGCAGAUAUGGAUGACUCAUCAGUUAAGUUUCAAAGUCUGGCAACUUUUUGUUGUAAAAUUACUUUUUAUUAUUCAGGUCAUAUGUUUUCCUUCUAUAAUGCAUCUUUUUCAUUAGCUGGAAGUGCAAAGUUUUUAUGCUCUUUCUGUAUGACCACUUUUUCUUCUCUAAAUAGAUAAAAUGGCAUUUAGUUUUUCGUUUGUGAGGCUACUAGGUUUAUGUUCAAACUUUCUGUUAGUUAAAUUGAUUGUCUUUGAUAUCUAGCACUUCUAGUUGUACUAAUUUGUACUUCUGAGUAUAUGGGAUUGCCGACUGUAAUGGGAAUUGAUGCCAAAUUAAUUAUGCAUCAAGUUUUUCAGCGUGUUCAUCUUUUAUUUCUGUUAACAUUUUGGCUUUGGACAUGCUGGAUUGUUUUUGGUUUCAGUGAUACAAAACAUCUAACUAAUUGUCCAAAGUUCUUCAUUCCUUGUGACAUAGCAUUCAGUUGAAUGGUGACUCAUGAAUCAUGAUUGUGUGUUUUGGUAUUUGUAUACUAUGUAUUGGCAAGACAAAGUUUGUUGAAACUGAGAAACUUUUCUCCGCCUUCCAUUCUUGUUUCAUAUUCUUAUGCUAACAAACCUUGAUCAUGAUGAGUCUCCUCUUUUCUUUACAACCCACAUAUAAAGUCUUGGCCAUAAGCCUCAAGGCCUAUUGGCUAUUACAGCAGUGAGUUCACUCUCAGGAAUCAGAUCUUUCAAAUUCGAGGAAAUUUGAAAAAAUUGCAAAUGUCUACAAAGCAAAUGGUCUAAAGGUCCUUUUUGUUAUCACUCACACAACAUUACUCAAGAGUAUCUACGUUUUACUGUUGGUUCUGUUGUGAAACAGCAUUUCUGAUUAUUAUAGAAGACAAUUCUUCGAAGCAUGUAUUUGAGAUGCGUUUAGAGCCUUUGGAAUUAAAUGAUUAAUUCGCUUUAAUUUCCAGCCAUAGUUCUAUGCAGGCCAGUUAAUCCCCUUUUUUGUUACCCCCCUCUUUUUCCUUUUUGCUAUGGAUUGUGUUUCCUUGUUUUUCUACUUUUACUUGCGUUGACAACUUGAGCUUGCUGUCCUGUGGUUUUAGAACCUUCCUAAGUAUCUUCUCAAAAAAAAAAAAGAACCUUCCUAAGUAAGCGUGGAAAUGACAAUGAAGAAUUGAAGAUGGUGAAGGGUUUACUAGUCAUUUUCUUUUUUAAAGCAAUGCGUUUUAUGCGGCAAUCUUAUUGAUCUACGUUGGGAAAAAAUUUGACUGAUUUUGAAGGUCCUUAAAGAUCGUCCAUCUUGGUUCUGGCAUUGUUACAGCCUUGAAGUUUGCAAAACGUUUCCUGCUGGAUAAAUUGAACUUGUACACACACAUGUGAACCAAAAGAAAAAUGAUAUAUGUAUCGAAACACUUUUAAAUAGAGAAAAGUUUGUCUGGAUAGCCUGGUUUUGAAUUGAUUUUAACAGAAAACGAGCUUCAAGCAUGUGCUCCAACUACUCUGGCAUGACAUUGGCGAUUGCCCUACAUUUUUUUUAACUACUUUUGGUAAUCUUUUUUGGUUUAUGCUUUGCAGUAAUAAAAUGUUAAUCCUUUCUUCUCAUGAAUGUUUUCUUGAACUGAAAUGUUAAUCAUUUCUUCACGUUGAAGCAUAAAACUACUAUAGGCCCAGGGCCGCAAUAUAUGGAAGAAAAUGCUUGUUUAGUAGGACCCUUUAAUUAGGAUAUUAGCCACUCAAUUUGGAGAUCUUAUGGACCAACAAUCUAUCUGAAACGUCACAUUCACAUGUUUGAUUGAAAGGGGAAUUAAGGAAUUUCAAGUGGCUUAGAAAGGUAACCGACUCUACCCAACAAUGGUAGAAGUCAAUAAUUCAUUGGCUACAUGAGUACUUUAUGAUAAAGAAACAAUACCAGCCAACAUCGACGUGCAGCAAGAACAUGAAAGAAAGAAGAUCACAUGAAUCAAUCAAAACCAAAUGAUAAAAUUACCGAUGCCCCUUCAUGUCAUUCAAGAAAAUGGAUAAAAUAGGAAUACAAGUUCAUGUUAGGAUUAUAUAUUAAAAAUAAAAAUAAGCAUGCAUCAUUAUAUAUAUGUGUAAGUAGACAAAGCAUUGAUCUCUAGGGAUUAGCUAGCCUUUAACAAUCAGUGGUGUUCCCACUACCGGGGUGACAGAUUGUGUAUUUGUCUCUGAAUCUGGGGCAUAUCUAAAAAGCUAAAAGAUUUACUUUCUAUCUUCAAGCACAAGAGCAUACCAUUAUGAUCUGAUUAUCAAGUCCACUAACUUGGCUUUUUUUUUUUUAAUCUAUAUACCAUUUUGUGCUAUCCAUCCACAUUGACAAGACAUAUUGCACAGUUUAUCCUGAAAAUCAUCCAACACCAAGUUCCAAUAUCUUGGAGGAUAAUCACCUUCUUUUACCUAUAUACUUAGCUUUAAAGAAAAUUAUGUUAUUUCAUUAGAGUUAUUUUCAUGAUUAGCAUUACCAUUUCAAGUCAAAUGUAACUCAAUAAUCUAUAAUAGUAUAUCGGUUCCUUGUUUAUCAAUUCUCUCUCUCCAUUUCAGGUUUCAUUCGGACCAAGUAUUCCCUUUCUCAUGUGUACGAGAUGUCAAGCUUGGCAAGUUAAAAAGAAAAUGAAUAGUCAUUUUCAAUCAGUCUAGAACUUUCUCUAGGGGCAACUGGACCCCCAACUUCUCAAUCUAUUUUGUGUUUGGUGUGUGUAGAACUUUCUUGGCAUGUUUUAUCAGCCCUUCCUCUGGGUCAUUUUGUAGGACGGGUUACACCAGCUAAACACAUGGGAAGGUCAUGUAGACUGGAUGAAUAAAGCUGCCCUGAGAGACCGUCAUGGCGGCAUGCUUUGCUGCUUGUUUUGUCUUGGGUCGGUCUAUUUUUCCCAUUACUAAAGCACAUUUUUCACCGUUUUCUCACAUGCUUACCAUAAUGUAAAAACCUUAGCUGCUGCGACAUGACAUGAGAGUAUCACACUAGAUUUUCUUUCCGCAUUACAAAAAAUUAGAAAUAAGAUCUAAGUAGAGAUCAAUUUCAAGAAUAAAUAAGCAAUAAUAGGAACAAGUUUUACAAAAAGUUUCUGGGACAUGUCAUACAAAUUUGUUAACUAAGAAAGUCUAUACUAGAUCUUCUUUCCACAUUACAAUAAAUUAGAAAUGAGAUCCAAACUGACCAAUUAUUAAUUUUACUGCAAGUGGGUCCUAUAUGAAAACAAGAAUUUUUUUUUUUUUAUAGUGUAGGCAAUUAUCAGCCAUCCACCCUAAGUUUAUUUUAUAUUAAAAAAUAUUAGGAAGCUUUAAUUUGUUUAAUUUUUUUACUCUAAUUUUAUAAUUUGUUUUAGUUGUCUACUAAAAAGAUAGAAUUAUCCUUACUAAAUAACAAAAUAGAAACAAAUAAAAAAUGAAAAUUGUGGUCAUUUUUUAAGGAUAAUUCUAUCUUUUUGGCAUCGAAUUGCAUAAUAAACUAUUUUAUCAAAUAAAUAAAAUUUUAAACUAUGUGUUUACCAAAUAUUUUAAAAUCACAACUCCUCUACUACAUUUUCAAACAACUUGUUAAAAUCAUAAAUAACUAAAUUAAUGGGGUUUUAAAAGGACUCUCCAGACUUUGCAUGAUUUCUUUAUCUGUAGGUGCCGUGUGAUCAUGUUGGUUCCGAUAUGUGUGUGAUCAUGUUGGUUCCGAUAUGUGCCAUCAACCACACUUUUUGCUGUUGGUAAAAAAAAUGAAAAAAAAAUUCUGGGUACAAUUUUUGAAUUUGUAUUACGUGCGGUAUUAAACAUUUGAAACAUGUACUGACAGAAAUCUUAUCUAUAACUAAAAAAAUAAAAAAAUUGUAUAAAGUACUUAUGUUGUAGUGUAACUCAGAUCCUUUUCUUUAUAAUUCCAUAUCAUGUAAUUAUCAAAAAACCUCUUAAGAUUUUUAAAUUUUGUAAUUGCACUAUCCUUCGAUUAUCAAAAGACUCUUGAUAAUGUUCUUCUUCUUAAAGAUGCCCUUAAUCCAUAAAUGGUCCAAUAAUUAGUUCAUAAAAUGAAUUGAUUGCUUUAGAUAAGUCUCAAGCAUGCGUGCCUCUUAUAACUCCAUAUUGCAUAAAUCCUUACUUAAAUCAAUGGAUGCAUUUGUUUUCUUUUCUGAAUUUUAGAAUGGCAUUGUCUACUUAAUUUCCUCUUUAAAUUCGACUCCCAAUUGGGAAUUUCGCCAAAUUUUCCAUGUCAUCUUACACUCUAAAAUAUGCUCUUCACAUUACUAUAGCAAAUUUAACAUCUAGGAUCUUGAAGCAUUUUAUUUUAUUUUAUAAAUAUUUAGCAGUUCAAAAUAGGCUUUUAGCUUCUCUCCAAGAGAAAAUUUUCAUCUAAAUUUUUUUUUAAUAAGGCAAGCUUCCAAAUAAUAAUAAAAAAGCACCUUAUUUCCAGUUCUCCCUUAGAAGUCCUAUCACUUUAGGUUCUCUCUUUAUUAAGUAGAACCUCAUAUAUGUUAAUUUGUUAUUAAUAUAAACAAAAACUAAGUAAUUGUUUGUUUUUUUGACUUAAUGAAAAAUUUUCAGUCAUUAAAUUAUCAUCCCAACUUUUUUUAUCUUUUUACUUAAUCUAAAAAGUAUGAAUAAUAUCAUUAAAAAAUUUCUGCCAAAUAUCUCUACCUAAUUAAUUAAUUUUCAUCGUUAUCCAAAUAAAAUUUAAUAAGUAGCAUUAUUACUCAUCUUUAUAACUUAUGAUAAUAUAGUGGUAGACAAUAACUAUUUUUACCAUUUUAUUUUCUUGAAAUUAGCAUUAUUUAUCUUCAUAAUUUUUAUGAAUAUUUUUCAUAUAAAAACAUCAUAAAUUAUAAUAAAAUUGAUUGACAUACACUAAUUUAGAAUAUUAAAAGGUUGUAUUCAAUUGAAUCUAAUUUAUAUUAUGAUGAUAUAUUAUCUUAUAUGUUCUUUGAAAUAUUUAUUAUUUAUAUAAUAUUUAUAAUUUGUUAGAUACAAAUGUAAAAAUAUUAAUUUUUAGAUUUUAAGCAAAAAAUAAACAACUUAAUAUUUAUUUUUAGCGAUUCAGAUAAAAAGAUAAACAUAUAAUUUAAAUUCAGACAUUUAGUUUUAUUCAGAAUUCGGACUAAUUCACACAUAUUUAGAUUUUAGACAAGAAACAUACACCAACUAAAUGUUUAUGACUUAAAAUCAUCUAAUAAUCAUGGCCCAUUUAACCUAUCUAAACAUGAAAUUUUGUGUAGACUUAUGUUUAAGCAGGAGGAUAAUGUGAGAAAUUUGACACAUUAAUUUACAAUUUGCAAACCAACUUAAUAAUUUUUGUUAUUUUCUUAUAACAAAACGAGCCUGGCACGAGCUUAGGCUUUAGCCACCUGAAAAAAUUUCCCCAUUCAAAUUAGAAACAAUAAAAUCUGAUAAUUAACAAUUAUUAUGACCCAAUCAAAUUAGGCUUUAGCACGGUUUACGGACUGGUUAUCAAGAUAUUGUUGAUAACUUCUGUUUCCGUAAUUCUAUUCUUCUUCUUUUUCAACCCCAAAUAACUUCUGUCGAUCAUUGUUGUUGCAGUUGCUGCUUGCUGUCGCUGCUACUAUCUAUCGAUCAUCGUUAUUGCCUACUGCUAUUGAUUGCCGGUUAUAAUGAUGAUUAUUCUUGCCUCAGUUGUUGUUAUUAUUAUUAGCACUGAAUUAUAUAUUAUUAAAUUAUUUUAAAUAUUACAAAUUAUAUUGUUGUUGUAGUUAUUGUUGAUGUUAUUAUUACUAGCACCGAAUUACAUAUUAUUAAAUUAUUUUAAAUAUUACAAAUUAAAUUAUUUUUAAAUGAGUGAUAAAACCUGAUCAUUUAAUAACCAUGGCCAUUUAACAUAUUUAAACAUAAAAUUUCGUGUUAAAUUAUGUUUGAGUAUAAGGAUAAUGUAAGAUAAUUGGUACUUUAAUUUACAUUUAUGUGCCAACUGAAUAAAGUUCGCUAUUUAAAUUAAAUUAGAAACGGUGAAAUUCAAAAAUUAACUAUUAUUUAGCCAUUCAAACGCAGAGACAAUUUGUCACGGUUCCAAAAGCAUAGCAUCAUUGAAAGUACCGUAUCCCACUUGCAUUAAUAUUCGGAAGAAUGGAAGGAAAAGGGCAUAUGUUUCUCUUCUUCUAUUUUUGGUAAUUCUUUUCUUCUUCUUCAACCCCAAAUAAUCAAAAGCUCUCCAAUGGCUUUCGUAUCCUCAACUCGUUCCUUUCAUUUUACUUCAAUUUCAAUAUCGGCUCUUAGAUGUAAUUUCUCCUCUUCGUUCCCUCAUAUCAGAAAACCCAAAUCUCACCUGCACACAGGCAUUUGUCGCUUUCGAGCAAUCUUCAAACAAUGUGAAAAAAAUGCUUGAAACACGACACAGACUUAACUGUUUACAUGAAAAGCGGCAGAAACUUAUGAAAUUACCGAUUAAAAAGUACCUACUGUGAGGAAGAUGCUAUAAAACUCAAUCGGAAAAUGUAAAAUGGUUAACAGACAUCCACCAGAAGCACAAUUCAGAACAUGGGCUGCUUUUGGCUGCCCGGCUUUCAGAAGUCAAUAUUUAGAUGAACUUUGGGGAGAUUAGGAUCACCAGUCAGUCAGAUUUAGAUAGAAAGUGAGAGAUUGCUAUUGCCGAGUCAUUGCUUCUAUCCUAAAUGCUUUGAUCUACCUGAAAAGUAUAUAAAUAUCGGGGUUAAAACAGAGCAGUUGAAAUCGUAUUGAUGAACUCAACUGAGAUAAAUGAUAAAAGAAAACUAACCUACAUUCUGUACAAAACUCGCCCAUCUUCCUUUAAGAGCUGACUUCCCAAGAAGAGAUCACCACAAUAGUUCACAUCAACAGUCUCCACUUGAGAGUUUUUAUAACCACAAUAUUCAUUCCAUUCAAACCGCAUCCUUGAGAUCAGUUCCUUCUUCAGGAGACUCGGCAGCAACCAAUCUAUAUGCAUAAACUUUCUUUGUUUGGCCUGGCCGGAAAGCCCAGCCGAUUGCUUGGCGGGUUUCUGAUGGAGUACAGGGAACAUCCAGAAUAAUGAUCCAAAUUUUUGUGGACUUACAUGUAAAGAAUGAAAUUGGUUAAACUCGAUUCCACAAUUCAAGAGUAAAUGAGUUUAAUCUUGAUUUAGUAUCAUGUCUUUUCUGCUUUAAAACCAGAUCUGGGGAAUCCCAUUCUUCUUACGACAGGUGAAGGAGUGUUUGUGUAUUGCUGGCAUGUUCCCAGGUUCUAUUCACGGAUUCUGUUUGCAGACAUGGCUAACUCCUCGUUUCAGAUAAGUUUCAAAGUCUGGCAACUUUUUUUUUCAAUUCAUGGGUUUUCCUUCUAUGAUGCAUCUUUCUCAUUAGCUGUAGUUUCAAAUUGUUUAGGUUCUUCCUGUAUGACCUCUUUUCUUCUCCAAAUAGAUAAAAUUUGUUUUUCAUUUUUCUCCUGCGAGGGUACAGGUUUAUGUUGAAACUUUCUCUUAGUUAAAUUGAUUGUCAUUUGAUAUUGGAACUUCUAGUUGAACUAGUUUGCACUUCGAAUAUAUGAGAUUACCAACUCUAAGGAAUUGGUGCCAAAUUGAUUAUGUUAUCAGGUUUUUCAGUCUGUGUAAUUGUCCAGAUUUUUUUUCAUUCCUAGUGACAUGGCAUUCACUUGAAUGGUGACUCAUGAAUCAUGAUUGUGUGUGUUGGUCUUUGUUAUACUACGUGUUGGCAAGACAAAGUCUGUUGAAACUGACAAACUUUUCUCUAUGAAUAUUGAAGACAAUAUGAUAAGAUAAAAUUAAUCAAAAACAUCUAUACUUGACCGGGCUGGAACGUCUGUUAUUAGUCCUCGCCUUCCAUUCUUGUUUCAUAUUCUUCUGCUAACAAAUCUUGAUCAUGAUAGUCUUCUCUUUUCUUUGCAACCCACAUAUAAAGUCUCGGCCAUAAGCCUCGAGGCCUAUUCUCUUUUGCAAUGGUGAGUUCACUCUCAGGAAUCAGAUCGAAUUUGAAGAAACUGCAAGGGACUACAAAGCAAAUGGUGUGAAGCUCCUUGCACUUAUCACUGGCACAACAUUACUCUGACUUUCUGCAUUUUACUGUUGGCUAUGGUUUGAUGCAUUAUUUAUUGUUCUAAAAUACCAUUCUCGUUGGAAGUUCAAUCAUUACUUCACCCCCCCCCCCUCCUCCUCUUUUUACUUGCUCUUGCUAUUUUUGUUGUCUGAAAUUAUCUGAAGUUCCAUGCAUGCUCCAAUAGAACGAGUAAUGUAGGUGCUGACCAACUCCAAAUAAGUAGUUAGUUGCCUAGUAGUUGCUUUGCAUGAAAUUUGUUUUUGGUAUGAAUAAUGUUGUCUUAAUUUUACAAGCUUCCGAGCAACCCCUAAUUUAUUGGAAGUAUUAACCCAAUCCCUCAUUUAAUAUUAGAUUUAUCCGCUCAUUGAUGCAGACUCUUGAAAGUAAUAUAAUAUUAUAUAAAUAUAAUGAAAUCUCACUUUAUUAACAAAUAUAAUUUAAAUUAUAAAAAAUAAAAAAUAACUAAAGUUGAAAUCCAAGGAGCAACUUCUAUCCUCUUACCAAGUUAUUAAAUAUAGAGCAGACAAAGGCAUAUGUAUAAAGGCAUAUGUAUAAUAUAUAUAAUUUUCUUCAUGAUUCAAAAUCAUAUCUCAAAUGUCAAAUAAAAUUCUCAAUUAAGAGUGGUCGGGGAUAAGAUUUUACGGAUUUAUAUUAUUAUCGGAUAAAAUAUAAUAUGAUAUUAAUGUAAUUAUAUUUUAACUUAUUUAUUUAGUAGUAAAUACUAAUGCCAUAUUUAUAAGUUUUAUUUUUUAAUUAAAUAAAUAUUUUUUAUUAUUUUUGGAUUCGUGGAUUUUUGUGAAUUUACAAAAGUAGAUUCAUAUGCAAUCCACCGAUUACGGAUUAUUAAAUUUUCAAUCUAAUUUAAUCUAUUAAUUUAUAAAUUAUUUUAAAUAUUAUAAAUUAUUUUUAGACUGAAUGAUGAAGGGUCAUUUAAACAAUUAUGGCCAUUUAAUCUAUCUAAACAUGAUAUUUCGAGCAGACUUAUGUUUGCCUAGAAGGAUAAUGUAAAAAAAGUGGCACUUUUAUUCAACUGAAUAAAUUCACAAUUUAAAUUAGAAAAUGAUAAAAUUUCUAUUUUGGUAAAUUCUUUUCUUCUUCUUCAACCCUAAAUAUUCAAAAGCUCUCCAAUGGCUUUCGUAUCCUCAACUCGUUCAUUUUAUUUUACAUCAAUUUCAAUAUCAGCUCUUGGAUGUAAUUUCUCAUCUUCGUUCCCUCAUACCAGAAAACCCACAUCUUCGAUUUCAAAAAAUGAGCCCUCAUAUCCGACUACAACAGCUAAACUGAAGGAGUCCCUACGACUGACAGUCAAAGACCGAGCCUCACUCGAAACGUUCCUCAGAGAAAGGUUCAAAUCAUCCGGUGAAGGUGAUAUUACUACUAUUACUCCUAAUGAAGCCUUGUGUGUCUUUGAUUACAUGCUCAAUAUGCGCCCUUCUCGGCCUCCCGUCACUUCCUUUAAUAUUUUGUUUGGUUGUCUUGCUAAGACCAAACAUUAUGAUACUGUCCUUUCACUCUUCAAGAGACUCAAUUCAACUGGGUUGUUUCCAGAUCUUUAUGCUUACAAUAUCUUGAUUAACUGCUUUUUGCAAAAUGGGUCGAGUUUCUCAUGGUUUUGUUGUUCUUGGGAGAAUCCUCAGGUCUUGUUUUACUCCAGAUGCUGUGACCUUUAAUUCUUUGAUUAAAGGUUUGUGUGUGGAGAGUAGAAUCAUGGAGGCCGCUGCAUUGUUUACAAAACUUAGAGUGUUUGGUUGUGAGCCUGAUGUUUUUACAUACAAUACUUUGAUUAAUGGAUUGUGUCGAACUGGCCAUACAAUCGUUGCUUUAAAUUUAUUUGAAGAGAUGGCUAAUGGAAAUGGGGAAAUUGGUGUUGUUUGUAAGCCAGACACUGUUACAUACACUACUAUUAUCGAUGGUCUUUGUAAGAAAGGUUUUGUGGACAAGGCCAAGGAACUGUUUCUGAAGAUGAAGGAUGAGAAUAUUAACCCCAAUGCGGUUACUUAUACCUCUUUGAUUUGUGGUUUUUGUUACGCUAAUGAUUGGAAUGAGGCGAAGCAUUUGUUUAUUGAGAUGAUGGAUCAAGGGGUACAGCCGAAUGUUGUGACUUUCACUGUGAUCAUGGAUGAGCUCUGCAAGAAUGGGAAGAUGGACGGAGCAAGUAGGCUGUUAGAAUUGAUGAUUUUGAGAGGAGUGAAACCCGACACAUCUACUUAUAACACAUUAAUUGAUGGUUAUUGCUUAACGGGUAAAAUAGAUCGUGCAAGGGAAUUAUUUGUUUCUAUGGAGAGUAACGGGUGCAUGCAUGAUGUUGUUAGUUACAGCAUAUUAAUAAAUGGGUACUGCAAGACUAAGGAUGUAGAGGAAGGUUUAAAUCUUUAUAGGAAAAUGCUGUCUAAAGGAAUUAGGCCAACAGUUGUUACAUAUCACACCUUGUUUCUUGACCUUUUUGAAGUACACCAGGUUGAGCAUGCUUUAAAACUGUUUGAUGAGAUGCGGCGUAAUCAUGUGGCAGCUAACACAUAUAUAUACACUACCUUUAUUGAUGGGCUCUGCAAGAAUGGUUAUAUUGUAAAGGCAGUUGAACUAUUUCGUACUUUGAGAAUUCUCAAGUACGAACUUAAUAUCGUAUCCUACAACUGCCUCAUUGACGGAUUAUGUAAACACGGCAGACUUGAAAUUGCAUGGGAACUGUUUAGUAGUUUGCCUCGUGUAGGCCUAAUGGCAGAUGUUGUAACAUAUAAUAUCAUGAUCCAUGGGCUUUGUAAUGAUGGGCAAAUGGACAAGGCACAUGGUUUAUUUCUUGAUAUGGAAGCAAAGGGUUUGGAACCCAAUUUUGUCAUAUUUAAUACGCUUAUGCUGGGUUUCAUCCGCAAUAAUGAGACCUCAAAAGUUAUUGAACUCCUUCACAGAAUGGAUAUGAGAAAUGUAAUGCCAGAUGCAUCUACACUCUCAAUUGUUGUGGACUUGCUUGUUAAGAAUGAAAUUAGUUUAAACUCGAUUCCACAAUUCAAGAGACACAAGUAAGUCAAUGAGCUGAAUGCUGAUUUACUUGCAUGUUUUGUUCUGCCUAAAAUCUGGAUCUGGAGAACCCAUUCUUAUUACAACACGUGAAGUAGUGUUGUGUAGUGAUGGCAUGGAAAAUGCUAGAUUUUUUGUGGUCUGAAUGAUACUACACAUCUAAGUAAUUGCCCAAAUAUUUUGUUCCUUGUUACAUGGCAUUCAAUUGAAUGAGGGCUCAUGAUUUUGUGUAUUGGUAUUUGUUAUACUAUGUAUUGGCAAGACAAAGUCUCUUGAAACUGACAAACUUUUCUCUAUGAAGAUUGAAGACAAUAUGACAAGAUAAAAUUUAUCAAAAGCAUAUAUGCUUGCCAGGGAUGGUCCUUUUGAUUAUUAGUCCUCGCCUUUCGUUCUUAUUUCAUAUUCUUCUGCUAACAAAUCUUGAUCAUGAUGAGUCUUAUUCUUUUUAAAAAAAACCCACACGUAAAGUCUUGGCCAUAAGCCUGUAGACCUAUUGGCUGUUGCGGUGGUGAGUUCACUCUCAGGAAUCAUAUCUUUCAAAUUCAAGCGAAUUUGAAGAAGCCCGAAUUUGAAGAAAUUUCAAAUGCCUACAAAGCAAAUUGUGUAAAGGUCCUUUCAAUUAUUAAUCUACUAAUUAAAUAAAAAAAUUAAAUUAAUUAAUUGUUAAUAUAUUAAUUGAUUAAUUAUAAUAAUACAUUAAUUAAUUAUAAUUGAGGAUAAAACAAACAUUUUUUAUUCUCUAGCAAGGCAAAAUGGUCAUUCCAAAAAAUGUGAGUUAAAUUGUCUAAUUUAAGUUAUAUGUGUUAUAAUAUAUAGCUUAAUUAUAGUGUAAAAACAAUGACAAUGUAAUUUUUUUUAUUAAUGCUAAUACUAAAUCUUACCAUCAUGCAAUUUUUUAAAUUAUUUUGUUUAAAUUAUUUAUGGUAUGUUUGUUUAUUAAUUAAAUAAACUAUUAUUUUUUAACUAUGACUUAAAUGUUUAGUAAAAACUAUUUAUGAAAUAGUACAACUGAAUACAUAUUCUUUAUUUUCAUCUUCUUCAAUUGUGUCUACCGAACACAUAUUACUGUUUUCAAUUUCAAAAUAUAGGAUAUAGAAAAUGAUACCAGACGCAUAUUUAAAUUCAAAAUACACCAAAUGUAAAAUACCGUUUUCAUUCUUAUUUUUGUCUUCAGAAAAUGCUAAUUUAGAAACAAUACCGUACAUAAACUUAUUUUUGGUAUGAAUAGUGUUGUGCUAGUUUUAUAGGCUUACAUGCACCCUCAAAUUUAUUAGAAGUAUCAACCGAACCCCCUAUUUAAGGUUAGAUUUACCCAUUGACUAACAUCUAACAUGUUGACUAAUGAUAACUCUUGAAAGUAACUAUAAUAUUCUAUAUUGUAAUCUCGCUGUAUUAACUGAUAAAUUAUAAAAAUAUAAAAAGAUCAACAAUAACAAAAUUAUUAAAGUUGAAAUCCAAGAAAUUGCCUAAAAAAAUGGUACCUAAACCAAAAAUAAAAACCAAAAUGCAUAAAAUUUCAUUAAUUACGGUGGUGACAAUGAGUGGUCCUCAUAAAAUGAGUGUAGAAAUUGAGUGAUUUUAGUACACUAUAUGAUCAAGGAACAUAUUUUAUCCUUUUACCAAGUUAUUACAAUUAUAUUUACUUACUAGAGUGUGAGUGAGGAGUGUGGAUUCCUCGCAUUCCAGUGAUUACUUGCAUAUUUUAAGGGGGUGUGGGAAUCCCACUCCGUGGAUCCCACCCAUUUUUUUAGUACAGAGUGGGGUUCCCACUCCCAUGGGAGGACAUCUACUCCCACCUUUUCCUUUUUUACCUUGAAAUUCUAGUUAUGCAACCCAAGAGGAGGGGGUGAAUUGGAAUUCUAAAAAUUAUUUAAUUUAUAAAUAAAAACUCAAUGCAAAUGUGAAUUAAAUUCAAAGUAAUAACAAAUAAGUUAACCAUAAUAAAAAGGAUAAGGGAAGAGAGAUUCAAACACUGAGAUUUUUACGUGGUUCGGCCAACCUCGCCUACGUCCACGCCUCCAAGCUUUCCGAGCUUGAGGAUUCCACUAAGCAAGCCUCCAAGGCUUCAAAUGCUUACACUUGACUUCCAAGGUGUCAAUAACCUUUACAACAAGAGAUUAUCCCAAUCUCUUAACCCAAGUGUAUCCCAACACUUACAAUCACUCAAAAUUAAAAGAUUAUAAAUUUGUUUUGCCUCUCACAAUAUUUAAGAUUACACAAUGAUACCUAAUAUGUGAAUAGAUGAAGCAAGAAUGUAUUUAAAGCUCAAUGAAGAUUGUAUUCUCAAGUAUAAGCUUAGUAGUUGUGUUGUGAUCAACUUUGUUUGAAUUUGAAUGAGCUUAUUUAUAGGUGGAGCUGAAAACUAGCCGUUAUUGACUUUCUGCACACUGUCGGAUCGCCGUUAACUAGAUGUUGGAUCGCCGUUUGACUGGUCAAUAUGACCGUUGGGCUGAUUUUUCAAAUUGUCGGAUCGCCGUUAUCUAGAUGUUGGAUCACCGUUUAGGUCCAGAGGCUAACCUUCAGUCUGUUUGAUCUCGGCGAGCUGUUUAUGAAACUUGUCGGAUCGCCGUUUAGGUCCAGAAACUAAUCUUCAUUUCUCAUUGAUCUCGGCGAGCCGUUUAUUAAACUUGUCGGAUCGCCGUUUAGGUCCAGAGACUAAUCUUCAAUUCUGAUUGAUCUCGGUGAGCCGUUUAUUAAGAUUGUCGGAUCGUCGUUUAGGUCCAGAGACUAAUCUUCAGUUCUGCUUGAUAUCGGCGAACCGUUUAUUAAACUUGUCGGAUCGCCGUUUUCCACAAAAACUGCUGCAGUGAACUGUUUUGCAAGAUAACUGUUUUGUCUCCAAAUCUUUAUAAAAAUACUUUAUGAAACUUGUCAAAAUAGAUGAAAAUUAUGUUGAGCUUUUAAAAGAUUAAUCAAUCUUAAUCAUGUUUGUUAUCAUCAAAAUCAAUAAAGAAAUAUUUAUGUUAACAAUCUCCCGCUUUUUAAUGAUGACAAACUUUUCAAGAAAAGAACUUGUGCAAUUUUGCUCCCCCUAAGUGAAAUUUUGAAGGAAUUGUUAACUUCCUUUAAAUAAGUGUCCAUUUAAUUUUAAUCCCAAAAAAAUAGUUUUAAACAAAGCAUAAUUAUUUGGUAAAUAAUCUCCCCCUUCAUCAUAAAAAAGAAAUAAGCGCGAAAAGAUUAAUAAGAGAGGCUGAGGGAUUACUUAUGUUUGGAAAAAUUUCGGUAGAAUCUCCCCUGAAAUAUGAGCAUAUCCUCAAUAAUACACAAAGUUAAAAGAAACACUUCCAUAUAUAUAUGCCAACAUAUCAACCAACCUCCAUACCAACAAUUAAACACUUCCAUAAUCAGCAAGAUAAACAAGAUAUUACCAAAACCAACUCAGCUAUAAAUCAAGUGCACAUGUCCAACAGAAAAUAUCAUAAAAGCAUCAUAAGCAUAAGCAAAAGACAAAGAACAUCAUAAGCAUAAACAAAAGACAAAUAACAUCAUAAGCAUAAAUACUACAUGAAAUGAGUAAUGUCUGUACGAAAAUCAGAGGGGCAGAAAACUAAUAUGGGGGCUCUGAAGAAGAGCUGCCUGGGUCAUAACCAAAGUAGCCGAGAAUACGACGCUGGCCAGCAAGUAACUCCAUCUGCUCUGAAAUUUGUUGUCGAAAGGUCGCAAAAUCAGAUUGAAGAUGCUGCUGCUGCUGGGACAGAACAUCUAUUAUGUCUAGAAGCUGCUGAAAGCGAUCCUCAGGAACAGCCGAUGCUGCAGUCUCGGCUGGAGGGACGGCAGUCUCGGCUGGCUCGUCAUCCUGAGAUGAAGCUGCUGCUGAUGCGGCAUGGGCUGCUGCUCUGCGAGGGACACGCGGUCUAGCCCCAAGGCAGAAAUCAGGUAACUCAUCCUCGGAAUAGAUAUCAUUUAACAUGCGAUCAUCCUCUGGUGCAAGCAGUGUAUCUUCAUUCUUUGAGGAUGUGGUCAUUUCCUAUUUCCCACGCUUCUUAAAAAAUCCGAUCGCAUAAAUAAUUUCUCGACCGAGCUUACGGGUCUCGAGAUAAACAAGCUCAGCAAGAGGAACUCGAAAGUGUUUCAAGACCCUAGUAAUGAUGCUGCCAUAAGGAAGGGAUUGGUUGGAGACUUUAGGAGUGGACAACAUAUGACAAAGAAUAGUGUAGGAUAAGCUCACAUGCCGUCUACGGAUGAUGGAAUCUAAUAGACCAAUAUCAAGUCUAGUUACCUCAUCAGUGUGACCUUGUCUAGGAGUAACCAUGUGUUGGAGAAUGAUAUGAAGUAUUCGAACCUGGAAAGGGAGGAAUUGAGACCUAAAGGACAAAUAACAGAUGUCAUCGGAAAGAUCCCGACGUCGACAAAUAUUUCGUACACCAUCCACAUGACGGAAUUCACUAAAUGAGAGUUCUUUCCUAGCGGUGUACAGAUCUAAACCUCCAUAAGAGAUUCCCAGAAUACUACACAAUUCAGAUUCAUUAAAAGCAAUGCGAAUUCCUCCUACAGACGUAUAAAGCUCGACACGAUGAGUAGAGGAAAAUUCUAUGUUUGAAUAAAAGACACGGACUAGAUUUUCAUAAAUGGGUUCUUCGAUACUUAAGGCUUGCUUCCAAUGACUAAGCAUGUGAGUAAUAGAGUGACCACAAAUGGUAAUAUCCGAAAACUCCGAAAUGUUAAGAGAAAAGGAAGGAGUUACCGGUUUGCCCAUGAAUUUUUCACGAAAUCGCUGAGCAGAGGUGUCAUCGGAGAAAUGGAGACUCUCGAAGUCUUGAGAGGGAGGCCUGAAGGGAUUGGAACGUCGUGGAGCAGUGUGCUUGGUUCGAGCACGCCUUUGUGGUCGUUCCGCCAUUGAUGAGUUGGGUGGAAAUUAGAUCGGUGGAAAUGAAGUUUGAGAGAUGAGAGAGUGAUUGAAAGUUGAAAUGUGAUUGGAAAAGGAAGAAAUUUGGGGUCCAUUUGAACAAAGGAGGUGCGACUGGUUUUAGGGUUUCAAGUUGGGAUUUUUCAAAAUUUGAAGAAAAAGAAAGAUUUUAAUCGGUCAAAAUAUGCUAAAGACGAUGAGGAAGGUUUGUAAUACUUCAAUUUGGUGAAAAAUGACAAGAAAAUGGAUAGAUUUGAGAAGGGAGAACUGGUGUAGUCGCGGGUUGAAGAGAGAGAGAAAGAGAGAGAAAAACGAAAUGAAGGAGAAGAAGAUGAACUGUUCACUUAACGCGCGAUAACGGCGAGCCGUUAUAGAGAUAUCGGCGAGCCGACAGAGUCUAGAGAGCUCCCAAAAAUUUUCAUCAUAAAGACAUAUCGGCGAGCUAAUAGGGUCCAGAAAGUUCCCCCCCAAAAAUUUUGCAUCAGGACGGCGAGCCGAUAGCGUCCAGAAUACUUCCCAUUGUUCCUGCCCUAAAACGGUUAGCCGUUUAUUGAAAUAACGGCAAUCCGUUUUCUAUAACUUAUGAUUUCGCACAUUUAUUUUGAUAUUUGGCUAACUAUUAAUACAUUUCAAGAUCAUUUCAUUGAUCCAAAAUGAUUUAAGUGCCAGUUCAAUGCAUAAUACAUGAACAUAUAUGUAUUGCAACAAUUAAUUCAUACAUUUUCAAAUAUACAUACACACAUGUAUAUUACGAUUGAGCAUUCCAUAGAUAUUAAAGCAUCAAAUCAUAAAUCAAUCAAUGUUAAUAGACUCAAUAGCAUGAAUAAAGAUAUUAAUGUGAAAAUUUCAUCAUCCCAAGUUCAUGCCGAAUUUUUGAAAAUUGUUCUUUGUAAAGUGGUUUUGUAAAAAUAUUGGCAAGUUGUUUUUCUGUAGAAAUAAACUCUAAUGCAAUAUCUCUCUUUUGAACAUGAUCUCUCAAGAAAUGAUGUCUUAUUUCUAUAUGCUUGGUUCGAGAGUGUUGAAUGGGAUUCUUUGAAAGAUUUAUAGCACUAGUAUUAUCACACUUAAUAGAAAUUUGUUCUAGGUUAAUACCAUAGUCUCUAAGUGUUUGUUUCAUCCAAAGACCUUGUGCACAACAGGUUCCUGAGCUAUAUAUUCAGCCUCAGUAGUUGAGAGUGCAACAAAAUUUUGUUUCUUGCUAAACCAUGAAACAAGUGAGUGACCUAGGAUGUGGCAAGUUCCACUAGUGCUUUUCCUAUCAACUUUAUAACCAGCAAAGUCCGCAUCCGAAUAGCAUGUUAAAUCUAUAUGAGUUCCUCUAGGAUACCAAAGUCCAAUAUCUAUGGUUCCACUCAAAUAACGAAAAAUUCUUUUAACAGCAAGCAAAUGGGAUUCCUUGGGACAUGAUUGAAAUCUUACACAUAAACAUACACUAAACAUGAUAUCGGGUCUACUUGCAGUCAAAUAAAGUAAAGAUCCGAUCAUACCUCGAUACAUUUUGAUAUCCACUUCUUUGCCUUUUUCAUCUUUGUCGAGCUUGAUUGUUGUGCUCAUUGGUGUAUUUUUGGUCUUUGAGUCAUCAAUGCCGAAUCGUUUGAGUAGAUCUCUUACAUACUUGGCUUGAUUUAUGAAUAUUCCUUCCUCAUUUUGUUUUAUUUGCAGCCCAAGGAAGUACUUCAGCUCUCUCAUCAUACUCAUUUCAAAUUCAUUGCUCAUACAAGAUGAAAACUAUUUGCACAACAAUUCAUUAGUAGAACCAAAAAUAAUAUCAUCAACAUAAAUUUGAACAACAAGUAUGUCUUUGUUCUUAUGUUUAACAAAGAGAGUAGUAUCCGGUUUACCCAUAGAAAAAUCAUUUUCUAACAAGAAAUUCUUAAGCCUAUCAUACCAUGCUCUAGGUGCUUGUUUUAAUCCAUACAAAGCUUUAAACAACUUAUAAACAUGAUUUGGAAAUUUUUCAUUUUCAAAACCAGGGGGUUGUUUUACAUACACUUCUUCCAUAAUAUAGUCAUUUAAGAAAGUACUUUUCACAUCCAUUUGAAAUAAAAUGAAAUCUUUAUGACAAGCAAAUGCCAACAACAUUCUAAUUGAUUAUAGUCUAGCUACGGCUGCAAAAGUUUCAUCAAAAUCAAUUCAUUCUUCUUGGCUGUAACAUUGAGCCACUAAUCUAGAUUUGUUCCUUACAACCACACUGGAUUCAUCCAUCUUAUUUCUAAAACCCAUUUAGUACCUAUGAUAGAUUGAUGUUCCGGUUUAGGAACUAAUUCCCACACAUUGUUUCUUUCAAAUUGAUUUAACUCCUCUUGCAUUGCCAUAAUCCAAGAUUCAUCAUUUUCCGCAUUCGCAAAGGAUUUGGGUUCAACUUGAGAGAUAAAUGCAUUAUGCUCACAAGUAUUCUUAAGUGAUGAUCUAGUUGUAACACCUCGUGAGAGAUCUCCUAAAAUUACAUCCUUAGGGUGAGAAGAGACAUACCUCCACUCAUUGGGGAGUGUUUGAGAAAUACCUUCUUGUUGCUCCAGCUCCAUAUUUGUUUGUUCUUCUUGCCUAUCCUCUUGAUUUUCUUGUGGUGCAUUCUCUUGAUUUUCUUUUGAUGAUUCUUCUUGUAACUCUCCAUUUGCAUCAUCAUUAGCAACUCCUUUCUCCGCAGAGGAUGGGUUAGAUUCAUCAAACGUAACAUGCAUGGAUUCUUCCACAACCAAAGUUCUUUUAUUAUAAACUCUAUAAGCUUUGCUUGAGUUUGAAUAUCCGAGAAAGAUGCCAAUAUCAGAUUUUGGAUCAAAUUUAGCAAGAUUAUCUUUUGUGUUUAAAAUAAAACUUUUGCAUCCAAAAACUUUGAAAUAACCAAUGUUGAGUUUUCUAUCUUUUCAAAGCUCAUAGGGAGUUUUAUUGAGAUGAGGUCUAAUCAACACCCGAUUUAAAACAUAGCAAGCGGUGUUGACGGCUUCGGCCCAAAAAUAUUUUGGUAAUGCAUUUUCAUUUAACAUGAUCCUAGCCAUUUCUUGAAUAGACCUAUUCUUUCUCUUAACAACUCCAUUUUGUUGUGGAGUCCUAUGUGAUGAAAAUUGAUGCUCAAUGCCAAGAUUAUUGCAAAACAUCUCAAAUGCAUGAUUUUCAAAUUCUCUUCCAUGAUCACUCCUAAUUCAUACAAUACCAUGCCCUUUUUCAUUUUGUAAUUUCUUACAAAGCACUUUAAAAGCAUCAAGAGCAUCAUCCUUAUUGGCUAAGAAUAAUACCCAUGUAUAUCUAGAAUAAUCAUCCACUAUCACAAAUGCAUAAUAUUUGCCAUUUAGACUAGCAUAUCUAGAUGGCCCAAAUAGAUCUAUGUGAAGGAGUUCAAGUGGUUUUGAAGUAGAAAUAUGGUUUUUAUUCUUGAAAGAAGUUUUGAUUUGUUUUCCAAAUUGACAAGCUUAAAAAAUCUUAUCCUUUUGAAAACCAAUUUUCGGAAGACCUUUAACUAAAUCAUUUUUUGAAAUUUUUGAAAUUAAAUCCAUACUAGCAUGUCCUAACCUUCUAUGCCAUAGCCAAUUAUCAUCAUGUAAUGCGGAAAAACAUUUAUCAAGAGUAGAUGUACAUUCUAUAUCAAUGAUAUACACAUUACCACAUCUAUUACCAACAAACAAGAUCUUGCCAUCACAUGAGUUCUCAAUAACACAACUAAAUUUAUCAAAGAUAACUUUAUAACCUUUGUCACAUAAUUGACUAAUACUAAUUAAGUUGUGUUUCAAGUUCUCAACCAAACAUACAUUUUCAAUUAGAGUUGAAGAGACUUUACCAACAUUUUCAAUUCCAAGAAUUUUUCCUUUUGAGUUGUCUCCAAAAGAUACGUCUCCACCAUUUUCUAUUUUGGUGAAGCUUAAGAACCAUGCAUAGUUUCCGGUCAUGUGCCUUAAACAACCACUGUCCAAGUACCAUUUAUUUUUCUUUUUCUUUAAGCCCUACAAAGAAAAUCUCAAGUUUUAGGUACCCAAAGCUUUUUGGGUCCUCGAGAGUUAGCAAUGGUUCAUUUUGGAACCCAAAUACAUUUGACACCAUAAUAUGCAUUCAUUUUCACGGGGCAUCUAUAUUUCAUGUGACCAUUUUGAUUACAAUAAUGGCAAACAAUCUUAUGAUCACUUAUGGAGGUAGCUUUAACAAAAUAAUUCUUAUAAUACUUUUGCUUCAAGUUUGGCUUAUAUCCAAGUCCUCCUUUAUCAAAAACACAUUUUUGUGAGUUAAGCAUAUUAUCCAACAUCUUUUGCCCAUGUGUAAAUUUCAAAACAAUCUCAUUCAACUCAUUUCUCUUUUUCUUGAGCAUUUCGUUUUCAUUUUUCAAAUCAUCUAUGUGUGAUUCUAAAUGCUCAUGUGAGAUGUUAGAUUUCUCAUUUGAUAACGCAAGUUCAUCAUGCAAUGUUUUGUUCUCUACUUCUAGGCAUGUAAUUUUUGCAUUUAAAGAUUCAUUUUCAUUUUUAAGCUUUGUCAUUUCCUUUUUAAGACAUACAUUCUUUUGACCAAUCUUCAUCAACUCAUUAUGCAAUUCUUUAAAAGCAUCAUACAAUUCAUCAUAGGUAGGAUCACUUACCUCAUUGAGAUCAUCAUCCUCUUCUAUUGCCAUAAGCGCUAGGUUUGAUACUUCUUGCAAUCUUUCUUCAUCACUUGAAUCUUCUUCGUUAUCAUCCCAAGUUGCAAUCAUGGCUUUCUUCUUGAGUUUGUUGAUAAGUGGACACUUCGAUCUUAUAUGGCUAGGCUUCUUGCAUUCAUAGCAUGUGAUCACCUCUUUCUUCUCCCUUUAGUUCUUGAAGUUUCUGAAUUUUCUUCGUUCUCCAGUUUUCUUGAAAACCUUUCUGAACCUCCUUGCUAGCAUGGCUAACUUUUCAUCAUCUAGUUUACUACCUCCAUCACUCUCAUAUUUUGAAGCUUUGAGAGCAAUGCUUUUCUUCUUCUCCUCAUCUCUUUUUUCUGCUGCCAAGUCUUCUUCAUAUAAAAUGAGAGAACCAAUUAAAUCAUCAAGAGGUAAAGUAUUUAAAUUUUUGGUCUCUUCAAUGGCGGUUCUUUUAGGUCUCCAUUCUUUUGGAAGUGAACUAAUGAUUUUAUUAACUUUCUCACUAUUUGAGAAGGUCUUCCCUAAGGCACCUAGGGUGUUCACUAUGUCCGUGAAUCUAGUAUACAUAGAAUACACAUUUUCAUUUUGUUCCAUUUGGAACAACUCAUAUUGGCGAGUAUAUCUACUAAUUUUAGACUCUUUAACUUGAUUUGUCCUUUCAUAGACAACUUCAAGUUUAUUCCAUAUUUCUUGUGCACUUUCACAACUAGAUACUCUAUGGAAUUCUUUCUUAUCAAGGGCACAAAACAAAGCAUUCAUAGCCUUGGAGUUUAGGGACAUUUUUCUCUUUUCUAACUCACUCCAUUGACUUGAUGGUUUACGAAUAUCAUCUCCUACUUCAUCUUUAAACAUAGGCAUGAAUGGACCAUCACAAACGACUUCCCAAAUUUCAUAAUCUAAGGCUUGCAGAUAGAUUCUCAUUCUAGUUUUCCAAUAGGCAUAGUCAUUACCAUCAAAGAAUGGUGGUCUAGUUGUGGAUUGCCAUUCUCUAAAGGUUGAGUCAUUUAGGGUUGCCAUGGAUCUUUUACUCUAGACGAUUAAGUCCUAACAAGAGAACAAGGCUCUGAUACCAAAUGAAAUUCUAGUUAUACAACCCAAGAGGGAGGGUGAAUUGGAAUUCUAAAAAUUAUUCAAUUUAUAAAUAAAAACUCAAUGCAAAUGUGAAUUAAAUUCAAAGCAAUAACAAAUAAGUUAACCACAAUAAAAAGGAAAAGGGAAGCGAGAUUUAAACACUGAGAUUUUUACGUGGUUCGGCCAACCUCGCUUACGUCCACGCCUUCAAGCUUUCCGAGCUUGAGGAUUCCACUAAGCAAGCCUCUAAGGCUUCAAAUGCUUACACUUGACUUCCAAGGUGUCAAUAACCUUUACAACAAGAGAUUAUCCCAAUCUCUUAACCCCAAGUGUAUCCCAACACUUACAAUCACUCAAAAAUAAAAUAUUAUAAAUUUGUUUUGCCUCUCACAAUAUUUAAGAUUACACAAUGAUACCCAAUAUGUGAAUAGAUGAAGCAAGAAUGUAUUUAAAGCUCAAUGAAGAUUGUAUUCUCAAGUAUAAGCUCAGUAGUCGUGUUGUGAUUAACUUUUGUUUGAAUUUGAAUGAGCUUAUUUAUAGGUGGAGCUGAAAACUAGCCGUUAUUGACUUUCUGCACACUGUCGGAUCGCCGUUAACUAGAUGGCGGAUCACCGCUUGACUAGUCAAUAUGACCGUUGGGCUGAUUUUUCAAAUUGUCGGAUCGCCGUUAUCUAGAUGUCGGAUCACCGUUUAUGUCCAGAGGCUAACCUUCAGUCUGUUUGAUCUCGGCGAGCCGUUUAUGAAACUUGUCGGAUCGUCAUUUAGGUCCAGAGACUAAUCUUCAUUUCUCAUUGAUCUCGGCGAGCCGUUUAUUAAACUUGUCGGAUCGCCGUUUAGGUCUAGAGGCUAAUCUUCAAUUCUGAUUGAUCUCGGUGAGCCAUUUAUUAAGAUUGUCGGAUCGCUGUUUAGAUCCAGAGACUAAUCUUCAGUUCUGCUUGAUAUCGGCGAACCGUUUAUUAAACUUGUCGGAUCGCCGUUUUUCACAAAAACUGCUGCAGUGAACUGUUUUGCAAGAUAACUGUUUUGUCUCCAAAUCUUUAUAAAAAUAUUUUAUGAAACUUGUCAAAAUAGAUGAAAAUUAUGUUGAGCUUUUAAAAGAUUAAUCAAUCUUAAUCAUAUUUGUUAUCAUCAAAAUCAAUAAAGAAAUAUUUAUGUUAACAAUCUCCCCUUUUAUUUAUUAAAAGAAAUAUAACAAAAUAAAUAAUAUCAUAUAUAAAACAAAAUAAAUAAUAUCAUAUUUACUUAAAUAAUAUUAUUAUAUUAUUUUAUAAAAUUUCAUUUAUUAAAAAGAAAAAUAUCAAUCUCAUUUAAAUAAAACAUUAUUAUAUUAUUUGAGAUUAAUGAUUAAUAAUAAUAAAUAGUUUAUUCUAAGAAAAUAUUAAUUUUCUACUAUGUUUUUAAUAAUAAUGUUUCAUUUCUAUUGCUCUCAUCAAUAAUUUUUAAUUUAGAUAACUAAAAUUAAAACUAACAAAAAAUUAUGAUUUACAUAAUUAAUAAUAUUAAUAAUUAUUGUUAAUUUACAAAUAUAAUGAAAUAAAUAUUUCAUUUUUCAAAUAUAUUUUUUAUUAUUUUUUAAUUAAAAACUACAAUUCUUUAAAUAAGGAUAAAACUGUAAUUUGAAACUAUUUACUCUUGAUCCGAGACAAAGUAAACACAUAAAUUGAAUUUUAAUUCCAAUUCCAUACUCCUAUUCUAGUGUAAAUAAAUAAUCUACUCCUACUCUACACUCUCAAUCUCAGGAUUCCUACUCUAUUCGAAAAUGUAAACGCUAACAAAAUGUAGACCAGACAGAGGUGUAUUUGUUUAUUAAUUAAAUAAACUAUUAUUUUUAACUAUGACAUAAAUGUUUAGUAAAAAGUAUUUAUGAAAUAGUACUACCGAAAACAUAUUCCUUAUUUUUAUUUUUUUCAAUUGUGUCUACCGAACACAUAUUACUGAUUUUAAUUUUAAAAUAUAGAAUAUAGAAAAUGAUACCAGACGCAUGUUUAAAGUCAAAAUACACCAAUUGUAAAAUAUCAUUUUCAUUUUCAUUUUUUUUUUCAGAAAAUGCUAAUUCAGAAACAAUACCGACCAUAAACUUAUUUUUGGUAUGAAUAGUGUUGUGCUAGUUUUAUAGACUUUAUUAGAAGUAUCUACCGAAACCCCUUUUACCAAGUUAUUACAACUAUAUUUACUUACUGGAGUGAGAGUGAGAAGUGUGGAUUCCUCAUAUUCCAGUGAUUACUUGUAUAUUUUAAGGGGUGUGGGAAUCUCACUCCGUGGGUUCCACCCAUUUUUUGAGUUUAUUAUUUUAUAAAAUUUCAUUUAUUAAAAAGAACAAUAUCAAUCUCAUUUAAAUAAAAUAUUAUUAUAUUUAUUUGAGAUUAAUGAUUAAUAAUAAUAAAUAGUUUAUUCUAAGAAAAUAUUAAUUUUCUACUAUGUUAGUAAUAAUAAUGUUUCAUUUCUAUUGCUCUCAUCAAUAGUUUUUAAUUUCGAUAAUUAAAAUUAAAACUAACAAAAAAUUCUUAUUUACAUAAUUAAUAAAAUUAAUAAUUAUUGUUAAUUUAAUAUAAUGAAAUAAAUAUUUCAUUUUUCAAAUAUAUUUUUUAUUAAUUUUUAAUUAAAAACUACAAUUCUUUAAAUAAGGAUAAAACUGCAAUCUGAAACUACUUACUCUCGAUCCGAGACAAAGUAAACAUGUAAAUUAAAUUUUAAUUCCAAUUCCAUACUCCUAUUCUAGUGUUAGUAAACAAUCUACUCCCACUCUACACUCACAAUCUCAGGAUUCCCACUUCUCAGGAUUCUCACUCUAUUCGAAAAUGUAAACGCUAACAACAUGUAGACCAGACAGAGGUGUAUAUAUAUAUAUAUUCUGAAUCAAACGUCAAAUAAAAUUCUUAAUUAAGUAAACCAUAAGGUGAUUGCGCAUUAAAAAAUUAAUAAUAUUAAUUUUCAUAAGAAUUUAUGCUUGUAGUAUUGCAUUACUUUUUAUUAACUGUUGCUUCAACUUAUGGUGGAUAUUAAGAGAACAAUAAUAAUAGAGCUAUAAACGGUCGCAUACUAUCAAUUAAAUUAACACUAUAAUUUGGUUUACCAUACAAAUCCUUAAUCUCAUAAAUAAUUAAAUUAUUGGGGUUUUAAAAUGCAGACUUGCCAUGGCUCCUAUAAGUAAUAUCAGCCACACUUUUUGUUAUUGGUAAAAAAAUAUUUCUAGGUACAAUUUGUGAAUUUGUACAACGUGUGGUAUUAAACAUUUGAAGCAUGAACUGACAAUGUUGCGUCAAUAAUAAAGAAAAGAAAACGAAUUGUAUAAUACACAGGUGUUCUAGUGUAACUUGGAUUCUUUUUCUUUAUAAGUGCACCUAUCAUGUGAUUUUUUUUUUAAAAAAAAGAACUCUUGAGAUUUUAAAAUUUUGUAAUUGCACAUCUUUAGAUUGCCAGGAGAUUUCCUCUCCUUAAAGACACCUUUAAUCCAUAAACGGUCCAAAAAAUAAUUCAUAAAAUGAAUUGAUUAUUUUAGAUAAAUUUCAAGUAUGCAUACCUUUUAUAACUCCAUUUUGCAUAACUCCUCAUUUCACUCAAUUGAUGCAUUUGUUCACUUUUUCUUUCUUGUAAAUUUUUGAAUGGACGUAAUUUUAUAGAUUAUUAGUUAAGUGCUAUUAUUAUCAAUUUUUUUUGUUGAUGCAUAUGUGGGGUGGGGCCGUUUUUGGGGCAUGGAUCUCAAUACAGCAGAGGGCCAGAAUAUUUAUUCUUUAAGAGGAACCACAACCAACAAAAAUGCUCUAAGUUCCAUUCCAUCUUACUUCUGUGCACCGUAUUGCAUAAACAACAUUGAUAUCCAAGGUCAAAGCCUCUCAAACACUUUGGUUACAAGAUAAAGCAUGGGAUUGCGGCCAAAAUUUUCUUCUAGUGAAAGGCUCAGAAAAUGAUGACAACUGUCGGAUUGUUUUGGGCCUCAAUGGUUUUAAUAUUAUUCUCUUACAAAUAUAUAUGUUGAUUAGAGACGAGAGGAAGAAGGGGAUCUGAUUUAGCCAGCUGCACAAGAAAGAGCACACAGUGGAGUCUAGAUUUUGAUUUCUCUUGUUAAAUUGUUUUCAAUUUACUACAAGGUAGAAUAAAUUGCAUUCUUAAAAAAAAAUAUUUUGAACAUCAUAUUUUUGUUUUACAAAUAUACCAAAAAUUAAAUUAAUUUUUUUCUUUAUCAGUAUAAACUAAAUUUUGCAUGAAUCCUCAUCUUUGUAAGUGGAAUUCUAUUGUGAAACUAAUGGUCCUUCCUAGUGCUAACUGUCACUUUGAACAUAUGUGUCAUCUCUAACAACAACUUCCAGACCAGCCGCUAGCUCCUUUUUAGCAUUAGAAGUAGCAUCCACAUUGGCUUUCAACCAGCCAUAAGUCGGAGGAGGGGACCAUUGUUUCUGUUUGUUAGUUUUCUUCCUUGAAGCAUAAGCCAUAAUUAGGAGGACGGCAAGCUUCCAAAUAACAUUUCGAAUGGUAUUGUGAAAAUCUUCCACCUUUUGGUGAAAAAAAAAAACCUUAUUUCUAGUUCUUUCUUAAAAAUCUUAUCACUUUAAGUUUCCUCUUAAGUAGGAACAUCAUAUAUAUUAAUUUGUUGUUAAUAUAAAUAAAACUAAAUAUUUAUGACUUAAAAGAUAGGUGUUGAAUGGCGGCCGUCUCACUCAAAAAAAAAAAAAAAAAAAAAAAAUAUAUAUAUAUAUAUAUAUAUAUAUAUUUAAAAGCAAUGGUGAUAUCAUCAUUUUUUGUACUGAUAUGAGAAUAUUACACUAGAUUUUUUUUUUUGCAUUACAAAAAGUUUGAAUUCAAGAAUAAAUAAGCAAUAUCAAGAUCAAAUUUUACAAAAAGCCUCCAGGACAUGCCAUAUGAAUUUGUGAUACGAAAAAUAGUAUACUAGUCACUGGAUCUUCUUUUCCUCAUUAGGAAAAAUUAGAAAUGCAAUCUAAAUUGAUAUCAAUUACUAAUUUUAUAGUGAAUGGGUCUUGCACGAAAACAAGAAAUUUUUUUAUAAUAUAAGAAAUUAUCAGUCAUUUACCCUAAAUUUAUUCUGUCUCAAAAAAUACUACAGAAACUUUAACUUGCUUAGUUUUUUUACCUUAAUUUAUAAUUUGUAUCAGUCACUCUCUAAAAAGAUAGAAUCACUUCAUAAAAUGACAAAAUAAAAAUAAAUACAAAUGAAAAAAUCGGUUCAUUUUAUAAAGAUAAAUCAAUCCGUUUGGCACCAAAUUACAAAUUAAAUUAUUUUAAAUAUUAUAAAUUAUUUUUAUACUGGGUGAUGGACCUAAUCAUUUUAAUAGUCAUGACAAUUUAAUCUAUCUAAAUAUGAAAUUUCAAAUAGACUUAUGUUUGAGUAGGAGGAUAAUGUUAAAAAAUUUGGCACUUUUAUUCAACUGAAGAAAUUUUACAAUUUAAAUUAGAAACGAUAAAAUUUAAUAAUUAACUAUUAUUUGAACUAAUUGAAUCGUGCGCUAUCAUUUGUGUAAUGUAUCCUACUUGCAAAAUAAACGGCAGGAUGCGGUUUGCGGACAGAUUAUCAAGGUAUUUGCUAAUAUUCGGAAAUGGAAAGAAAAAGGCAUAUAUUUCUCUCCUAUUUUGGUAAUUCUCUUCUUCUUCAACCCCAAAUAAUCAAAAGCUCUCCAAUGGCUUUCGUAUCCUCAACUCGUUCAUUUAAUUUUACUGCAAUUUCAAUAUCAGCUCUUAGAUGUAAUUUCUCAUCUUCGUUCCCUCAUACCAGAAAACCCACAUCUUCAAUUUCGGAAAAUGAACCCUCAUAUCCGACUACAACAGCUACGCUGCGACUGACAGUCAAAGACCGAGCCUCACUCGAACAAUUCCUCAAAGAAAGGUGCAAAUCAUCCGGUGAAGGUGAUAUUACUUCUAUUACUCCUAAUGAAGCCUUGUGUGUCUUUGAUUACAUGCUCAAUAUGCGCCCUUCUCGGCCUCCCGUCACUUCCUUCAAUAUUUUGUUUGGUUGUCUUGCUAAGACUAAACAUUAUGAUACUGUCCUUUCACUCUUCAAGAGACUCAAUUUAACUGGGUUGUUUCCAGAUCGUUAUACUUACAAUAUCUUGAUUAACUGCUUUUGCAAAAUGGGUCGAGUUUCUCAUGGUUUUGUUGUUCUUGGGAGAAUCCUCAGGUCUUGUUUUACUCCAGAUGCUGUGACCUUUACUUCUUUGAUUAAAGGUUUGUGUGCGGAGAGUAGAAUCAUGGAGGCCGCCGCCUUGUUUACGAAACUUAGAGUGUUUGGUUGUGAGCUUGAUGUUUUUACAUACAAUACUUUGAUUAAUGGAUUGUGUCGAACAGGCCAUACAAUUGUUGCUCUAAAUUUAUUUGAAGAGAUGGCUAAUGGAAAUGGGGAAUUUGGUGUUGUUUGUGAGCCAGAUGCUAUUACAUACAGUACUAUUAUAGAUGGUCUUUGUAAGGAAGGUUUUGUGGACAAGGCCAAGGAACUGUUUCUGCAGAUGAAGGAUGAGAAUAUUAACCCCGAUGUGGUUACCUAUACCUCUGUGAUUCGUGGUUUUUGUUAUGCUAAUGAUUGGAAUGAGGCCAAGUGUUUGCUAAUUGAGAUGAUGGACCAAGGGGUACAGCCUAAUGUUGUGACUUUCAAUGUGAUCAUGGAUGAGCUCUGCAAGAAUGGAAAGAUGGAUGAGGCAAGUCGGUUGUUGGACCUGAUGAUUCAGAUUGGUGUGCGUCCAAAUGCUUUUGUCUAUAACACAUUAAUGGACGGGUUUUGCUUGACAGGUAGAGUUAAUCGUGCGAAUGAACUAUUUGUUUCUAUGGAGAGUAUGGGUUGCACACAUACUAUUUUUAGUUACAGUAUUUUGAUAAAUGGUUACUGCAAGAAUAAGGAAAUAGAGGGAGCGUUAAGCCUUUAUAGAGAAAUGCUCUCUAAAGGAAUUAAGCCAGAUGUUGUUAUAUAUAACACCUUGUUUACUGGCCUUUUUGAAAUACACCAGGUUGAGCGUGCUUUCAAGCUGUUUGAUGAGAUGCAACGUGAUGGCGUGGCAGCUGAUACCUGGACAUAUAGAACCUUUAUUGAUGGGCUCUGCAAGAAUGGUUAUAUUGUAGAGGCAGUUGAACUAUUUCGCACUUUGAGAAUUCUCAAGUGUGAACUUGAUAUUCGAGCCUACAACUGCCUCAUUGAUGGAUUAUGUAAAUCCGGCAGACUCGAAAUUGCACGGGAACUAUUUUGUAGUUUGCCUCGUGGAGUCCUAAUAGCAGAUGUUGUAACCUAUAACAUCAUGAUCCAUGCGCUUUGUAACGAUGGGAAAAUGGACAAGGCGCAUGAUUUGUUUCUUGAUAUGGAAGCAAAAGGUGUAGCACCCAAUUGUGUCACAUUUAACACGCUGAUGCUAGGUUGCAUCCGCAAUAAUGAGACAUCAAAAGUUGUUGAACUCCUUCACAGAAUGGAUGAGAGAAAUGUAAUACCAGAUGCAUCUACACUUUCAAUUGUUGUGGACUUGCUUGUAAAGAAUGAAAUUAGCUUAAACUCCAUUCCACAAUUCAAGAGUCAAAGGUAAGUGAGUUUAAUAAUGAUUUAGUCGCAUGUUUCUUCUGCCUGAAAACUCAAUGUGGAGGAUCCCAUUCUUAUUACAACAUGUAAAGGAGUGUUGUCUAAUGUUGGCAUGUUCCUAGGUUCUGUCCAUCGAUUCUGUUUGCAGACAUGGCUAACUUCUUGUGCAACGGAUAAGUUUUAAAGUCUUUCAACUUUAUGUUGUAAAAUAACUUUCUUAUUAUUCAAUUCAUGAGUUUUCCUUCUGUAACACAUACUUCUCAUUAGCUGGAAGUGCAAAUUUUUUAGGCUUUUCCUGUAUGGCCUCUUUUUCUGCUCUAAAUAAAAUGGCAUUUUAUUUCCCUCUUGUGAGGGUACAAUGUUUAUGUUUAAACUUUCUGUUAGUUAAAUUGGCUGUUUUUGAUAUCGGGAACUUCCAGUUGAACUGUUUUGUAAUUCGAGUAUAUGAGAUUACCAACUGUAAUUGGAAUUGAUGCCGAAUUAAUUAUGUCAUCAGGUUUUUCAAUCAUUGUUCAUCAUUUAUUUCUGUUAACAAUUAAUAGCUGCCUCAUUGAUGGAUUGUGCAAAAUAAGCAAACUGAAAAUUGCUCGGGAACUGUUUCAAAGUUUGCCUCGUGCAGGCCUAAUGCCAAAUGUUGUAACAUAUAACAUACUGAUUCGUGGGCUUUGUAACGAUGGGCAAAUGGAUGAGGUACAUGAUUUAUUUUUUGCCAUGGAAGCAAAGGGUGUGCGCCGAAUUGUGUUAUUUUUCGGACGCUUAUGCGAAAGAAUGAGACAUCAAAAGUUAUUCAACUUCGUCACUCAAUGGAUAAGAGAAAUGCAAUGCCGGAUGCAUUUAUAUUUUCAAUUGUUAUGGACUUACUUGAUAAGAAAGAAAUUAGUUUAAACUCGAUUCCACAAUUGAAGGCACAAAAAGUAAGUAGAUGAGUUUAAUGUUUGAUUUAGCAGCAUUUUUUUUUCACUGCCUAAAAGCCAGAUCUGGAGAGUCCCUUUCGUCUUAUAAAAUAUAAAGAAGUGUCGCAUAGUGAUGUCAAGUUCACAGGUUCUACUUGCAGACAUGGCCAACGCUUUUGAUGCAGUCAUUGUUGCAUCAUGUAAAUUUCAGUCAUUAUUAUGGAAAUUCAAGAGUUGUCCUCCUAAGGAGUGUCUCUCUCGUAAUCUCGUUCCCAUGAUUUCGUUAUUCUGAGUUGGAAGUAAUGAAGUGGGAAAAUAGCGUUUAGUAGAAAUGCUUGUUCUUUAGGCUCUGCUCGUGUAGGACAUUUUUCUUUUCUUUAAAUGCUAUAAAUUAUUAAUUUUUUCACUUUCUAAAAUAUCUGAUUCUGAUAUGUAAUUAUGUAUUACAUAAUUAAAAAUUUCUUCAUACUUAUAUUAGAUAUCUAUUUUAGGACAUAGUUUAAUAAUCAUUUAAUAAUCAUGAAAACUAACCAUUUAAUAACAGUCAUGGUCGUUUAACCUAUCUAAACAUGAAAUUUCCCGCCGGUUUAUGUUUGAGUCGGAGGAUAAUGUAAGAAAAUUAAUAUUUUAAUCUACAAUUUUUAUGUCAAGCGAAAAUUUUCACAAUUUGAAUUAGAAAAGAUAAAAUUUAAUAGUUAAAUAUUAUUUGAGCCAAUUGACUAGUGAGACAUUAUUUGUUACGGUCCCAAAAGCAUAACAUUAUUGUGAGGAUAAUUAACAUUAUCCUACUAGUAAAAUUAACGAUAUAACACAGUUUAAGCACUGAUUAUCAAGGUAUUGUUAAUAUUCGGAAAUGGGAAGAAAAGGACAUGGGCUUAUAUUUCUCUUCUAUUCUGGUAAUUCUCUUCUUCUUCUUCAACCCCAAAUAAUCAAAGGCUCUCCAAUGGCUUCCGCGUCCUCAAGUCGUUCAUUCCAUUUUACUUCAAUCUCAAUAUCAGCUCUUACAUGUAAUCUCUUAUCUUCAUGCCCUCACACGCGAAAGCCCACAACUUCAAUUUCGCAAAAUGAACCCUCGUAUCCGACUACAACAGCUAAACUGAAGGAAUCGCUACUACUGACCGUCAAAGACCGAGCCUCACUCAAAAAAUUCCUCAAAGAAAUGUGCAAAUCAUCAGGUGAAGGUGAUGUUAAUAUUAUUACUCCUAAUGAAGCCUUGUGUAUCUUUGAUUACAUGCUCCAUAUGCACCCUUCUUCGCCUCCUGUCACUUCCUUUAAUAUUUUGUUUGGUUGUCUUGCUAAGACUAAACAUUAUGACACUGUCUUUUUACUAUUCAAGAGACUCAACUCCACUGGGUUGUUUCCAGAUCUUUAUACUUACAAUAUCUUGAUUAACUGCUUUUGCAAAAUAGGUCGAGUUUCUAGUGGUUUUGUAAUUUUUGGGAGGAUCCUUCCGUCUUGUUUUACUCCAGAUGCUGUGACCUUUACUUCUUUGAUUAAAGUCUCCACUUGAAAAUUUUAUAACCAUAGAACUCAUUCCAUUCAAACCAGAUCCUUGGAGAUCAAUUCCUUCUUCAGGCAAGUGGCAUGAUCUUCCUCUUUAGGAGACUCAGCAGCAACCAGUCUAUAUGCAUAAACUUUCUUUGUUUGGCCUGGCCUGAAAGCCCUGCCGAUUGCCUGGCGGUUCACUGAUGGAUUAAAGGGAACAUCCAGAAUAAUGAUCCAAAUUUUUGUGGACUUGUAAAGAAUGAAAUUGGUUUAAACUCGAUUCCACAAUUCAAGAGACAAAAGUAAGCAGACGGGUUGAAUGUUGAUUUAGUAGCAUGUCUCUUCUGCUUUAAAACCAGAUCUGGGGAAUCCCAUUCUUCUUACAACGUCUGAAGGAGUGUUGUGUAUUGUUGGCAUGUUCCCAGGUUCUGUUCAUGGAUUCUGUUUGCAGACAUGGCCGACUCUUUGUUUCAUCGGAUAAGUUUCAAAUAAUUCUGGCAACUUUUUGUUGUAAAAUUACUUUUUUAUCAUUUAAUCCAUAUGUUUUCCUGCUAUAAUGCCUCUUUCUCAUCACCUGGAAGUGCAAAAUUUUUAGGCUCUUCCUCUUAGACCAUUUUUCCUUCUAUAAUGCCUCUUUCGCCAUUCUCUUUUGCAAUGGUGAGUUCACUCUCAGGAAUCAGAUCGAAUUUGAAGAAACUGCAAGGGACUACAAAGCAAAUGGUGUGAAGCUCCUUUCACUUAUCACUGGCACAGCAUUACUCUGGCAAAUGGUUUAAAAUACCAUUCGCGUUGGAAGUUCAAUCAUUACUGUUUUUUUUCCCCUCUUUUUACUUGCUCUUGCUAUUUUUGUUGUCUGAAAUUAUCUGAAGUUCCAUGCAUGCUCCAAUAGAACGAGUAAUGUAAUGUAGGUGCUGACCAACUCCAAAUAAGUAGUUAGUUGCCUAGUAGUUGCUUUCCAUGAAAUUUGUUUUUGGUAUGAAUAAUGUUGUCUUAAUUUUACAAGCUUCCGUGCAACCACUAAUUUAUUGGAUGUAUUAACCCAACCCCUCAUUUAAUGUUAGAUUUACCCGUUGAUUGAUGUUGACUCUUGAAAGUAAUAUAAUAUUUUAUAAAUAUAAUGAAAUCUCACUUUAUUAACAAAUAUAAUUUAAAUUAUAAAAAAAAAUAAAAAAUAACUAAAGUUGAAAUCCAAGGAGCAACUUCUAUCCUCUUACCAAGUUAUUAAAUAUAGAGCAGACAAAGGCAUAUGUAUAAUAUAUAUAAUUUUCUUCAUGAUUCAAAAUCACAUCUCAAAUGUCAAAUAAAAUUCUCAAUUAAGGGAGUUUGGGGAUCAGAUUUUAUGGAUUUUAUAUUAUUAUCAGAUAAGAUAUAAUAUAAUAUUAAUGUAAUUAUAUUUUAACUUAUUUAUUUAGUAGUAAGUAUUAAUGACAUAUUUAUAAAUUUUAUUUUUUAAUUAAAUAAAUAAUUUUUAUUAUUUUUGAAUUCGUGGAUUUUUGUGGAUUUACAGAAAUAGAUUUAUAUCUAAUCCACCGAUUACGAAUUAUCAAAUUUUCAAUUCAAUUCAAUCUAUUAAUCUAUAAAUUAUUUUAAAUAUUAUAAAUUAUUUUUAGACUGAGUGAUGAAGGAUCAUUUAAACAAUCAUGGCCAUUUAAUCUAUCUAAACAUAAUAUUUCGAGUACACUUAUGUUUGCGCAGGAGGAUAAUGUAAAAAAAGUGGCACUUUUAUUCAACUGAAUAAAAUUCACAAUUUAAAUUAGAAAACGAUAAAAUUUCUAUUUGGGUAAUUCUCUUCUUCUUCUUCAACCCUAAAUAUUCAAAAGCUCUCCAAUGGCUUUCGUAUCAUCAACUCGUUCAUUUCAUUUUACAUCAAUUUCUAUAUCAGCUCUUAGAUGUAAUUUCUCAUCUUCGUUCCCUCAUAUCGGAAAACCCACAUCUUCAAUUUCAAAAAAUGAGCCCUCAUAUCCGACUACAACAGCUAAACUGAAGGAGUCCCUACGACUGACAGUCAAAGACCAAGCCUCACUCGAAAAAUUCCUCAGAGAAAGGUUCAAAUCAUCAGGUCAAUGUGAUAUUAAUCUUAUUACUCCUAAUGAAGCCUUUUGUAUCUUUGAUUACAUGCUCCGUAUGCACCCUUCUCCGCCUCCUGUCUGUUCCUUCAAUAUUUUGUUUGGUUGUCUUGCUAAGAAUAAACAUUAUGAUACUGUCCUUUCACUCUUCAAGAGACUCAAUUCAAUUGGGUUGUUUCCAGAUCUUUAUACUUAUAAUAUCUUGAUUAACUGCUUUUGCAAAAUGGGUCGAGUUUCUCCUGGUUUUGUUGUUCUUGGGAGAAUCCUCAGGUCUUGUUUUACUCCAGAUGCUGUGACCUUUACUUCUUUGAUUAAAGGUUUGUGUGCGGAGAGUAGAAUCAUGGAGGCCGCCGCAUUGUUUACAAAACUUAGAGCGUUUGGUUGUAAGCCUGAUGUUUUUACAUACACCACUUUGAUUAAUGGAUUGUGUCGAACCGGCCAUACAAUUGUUGCUCUAAAUUUAUUUGAAGAGAUGGCUAAUGGAAAUGGGGAAUUUGGUGUUGUUUGUAAGCCAGACGCUAUUACAUACAGUACUAUUACAGAUGGUCUUUGUAAGGAAGGUUUUGUGGACAAGGCCAAGGAACUGUUUCUGAAGAUGAAGGAUGAGAAUAUUAACCCUGAUGUGGUUACUUAUACCUCUUUGAUUCGCGGUUUUUGUUACGCUAAUGAUUGGAACGAGGCGAAGUGUUUGUUUAUUGAGAUGAUGGACCAAGGGGUACAGCCAAAUGUUGUGACUUUCAAUGUGAUCAUGAAUGAGCUUUGUAAAAAUGGGAAGAUGGACGAAGCAAGUAGGCUGUUAGAAUUGAUGAUUCAGAUUGGUGUGCGUCCAGAUGCUUCUGUCUAUAACACAUUAAUGGACGGGUUUUGCUUGACAGGUAGAGUUAAUCGUGCGAAGGAACUAUUUGUUUCUAUGGAGAGUAACGGGUGCAUGCGUGAUGUUUUUAGUUACGGUAUUUUGAUAAAUGGUUACUGCAAGAAUAAGGAGAUAGAGGGAGCGUUAAGCCUUUAUAGUGAAAUGCUUUCUAAAGGAAUUAGGCCAACAGUUGUUACAUAUAACACCUUGUUUCAUGGCCUUUUUGAAAUACACCAGGUUGAGCGUGCUUUAAAAUUGUUUGAUGAGAUGCAGCGUAGUGAUGUGGCAGCUGAUACCUGGACAUAUAGAACCUUUAUUGAUGGGCUCUGCAAGAAUGGUUAUAUUGUAAAGGCAGUUGAACUAUUUCGUACUUUGAGAAUUCUCAAGUGUGAACUAGAUAUUCGAGCCUACAACUGCCUCAUUGAUGGAUUCUGUAAAUCUGGCAGACUCGAAAUUGCAUGGGAACUAUUUCGUAGUUUGCGUCGUGGAGUCCUAAUAGCAGAUGUUGUAACAUAUAACAUCAUGAUCCAUGCGCUUUGUGCUGAUGGGAAAAUGGACAAGGCACAUGGUUUGUUUCUUGAUAUGGAAGCAAAAGGUGUAGCACCCGAUUGUGUCACAUUUAACACGCUGAUGCUAAGUUGCAUCCGCAAUAAUGAGACAUCAAAAGUUGUUGAACUCCUUCACAGAAUGGAUGAGAGAAAUGUAAUACCUGAUGCAUCUACACUUUCAAUUGUUGUGGACUUACUUGUAAAGAAUGAAAUUAGCUUAAACUCGAUUCCACAAUUCAAGAGUCAAAGGUAAGUGAGUUUAAUAUUGAUUUAGUCGCAUGUUUCUUCUGCCUGAAAACCCCGAUCUGAAGGAUCCCAUUCUUAUUACAACAUGUAAAGGAGUGUUGUCUAUUGUUGGCAUGUUCCUAGGUUCUGUCCAUGGAUUCUGUUUGCAGACAUGGCUAACUUCUUGUUCAACAGAAAGCUUUAAAGUCUUUCAACUUUAUGUUGUAAAAUAACUUUUUUAUUAUUCAAUUCAUGAGUUUUCCUUCUGUAACACAUACUUCUCAUGAGCUGGAAGUGCAAAUUUUUUAGGCUUUUCCUGUAUGGCCUCUUUUUCUGCUCUAAAUAAAAUGGCAUUUUAUUUCCCUCUUGUGAGGGUACAAGGUUUAUGUUUAAACUUUCUGUUAGUUAAAUUGGUUGUCUUUGAUAUAGGGAACUUCCAGUUGAACUAAUUUGUAAUUCGAGUAUAUGAGAUUACCAACUGUAUUGGGAAUUAAUGCCAAAUUAAUUAUGUCAUCAGGUUUUUCAAUCAGCGUUCAUCAUUUAUUUCUAUUAACAAUUAAUAGCACAGCUUGUCUUCUCAGCUUCAUUGUUUCCUCUAAAAAAAAUCUUGUAAAGACAAUUUUGUUUUUUGGCAUGGUAAAUGCUAGAUUGUUUGUGGUCUGAAUGAUACUACACAUCUAAGUAAUUGCCCAAAUUUUUUGUUCCUUGUUACAUGGCAUUCAAUUGAAUGAGGACUCGUGAUUGUGUGUAUCGGUAUUUGUUAUACUAUGUAUUGGCAAGACAGUUUCUUGAAACUGACAAACUUUUCUCUAUGAAGAUUGAAGACAAUAUGAUAAGAUAAAAUUUAUCAAAAGCAUAUAUGCUUGCCAGGGAUGGACCUUUGAUUAUUAGUCCUCGCCUUUCGUUCUUGUUUCAUAAAAAAGAAAACCCACUCGUAAAGUCUUGGACAUAAGCCUCUAGACCUAUUGGCCGUUGCAGUGGUGAGUUCACUCUCAGGAAUCAUAUCUUUCAAAUUCGAGCGAAUUUGAAGAAAUUUCAAAUGCCUACAAAGCAAAUUGGGUAAAGGUCCUUUCACUAUCUACAUUUUACUGCUCUGUUAUUGAUCUACUUUAUGAAAAUUUUGACUGAUUGUGAAGAUAUUUAAAGAUCGUCCAUCUUGGUUCUGCUAUGGUAAGUGUGAACUUAGUAUCGUAGGCUACAGCUGCCUCAUUGAUGGAUUGUGCAAAAUAAGCAAACUCAAAGUUGCCUCGUGCAGGCCUAACGCCAAAUGUUGUAACAUAUAAACACCAUGAUUUAUUUUUUGAUAUGGAAGCAAAGGGUGUGGCGCCCAAUUGUGUCAUAUUUCCGAGGCUUAUGCGAAAGAAUGAGACAUCAGAAGUUAUUCAAAUUCUUCACUGAAUGGAUAAGAGAAAUGUAAUGCCGGAUGCAUUUAUGUUUUCAAUUGUUGUGGACUUACUUGUUAAGAAAGAAAUUAGUUUAAACUCGAUUCCACGAUUCAAGACACAAAAAGUAAGUAGAUGAGUUUAAUGUUGAUUUCGCUAUUCUAAGUUGGAAGUAAUGAAAUGGGAAAAUAGCGUUUAGUAGAAAUGCUUGUUCUUUAGGCUCUGCUUGUGUAGGACAUUUUUCUUUUCUUUAAAUGCUAUAAAUUAUUAAUUAUUAAUUUAGGCAGUUGAACUAUUUCGUACUUGGAGAAUUCAUGAUUAUCAUUUAUGCUUUGAAUUUACAGCAUAUUUUAUCCUUUAGAAGCUAAUGAAUUAGUUGAAGCUUGUCACUUUAUUGGCACUUGAUUAUCAUUUAUGCUUUGAAUUUACAGCAUAUUUUAUCCUUACUGUAAUCUUAGCAUACUUACUUUGAGGGCUGCUAGUAUGUGAAACUGAAAAACCUUAUACAAACUGUAAGCUUUUUUAUUUAGAUUGUUGUAAACUUUCAGUGUAUGUCUGUUCUGUGAAAUAAUUCAUUCUCCAUGCUGCUAGGGCCUAGGCUUAUGACUCUUCUUUGAAAUGAUUUACCCUCACCCGCAUACAGACAUUUAUCACUUUCGAGGAAUCUUCAAACAAUAUGAAAAAAAUGCUUGAAACAGGACGCAGACUUAACUGUUUACAGGAAAAGCGGCAGAAACUUAGAAAAUUACCGAUUAAAAAGUACCUACCAUGAGGAAGAUGCUAUACAACUCACUCGGAAAAUGUAAAAUGGUUAACAGACAUCCAAGAUGAUCAACCAGAAACACAAUUCAGAACAUGGGCUGGUUUUGGCUACCCGGCUUUCAGAAGUCAAUAUUUAGAUGAACUUUGAGGAGAUUAGGAUCACCAGUCAGUCAGAUUUAGAUAGAAAGUGAGAGAUUGCUAUUGCCGGGCCAUUGCUUCAAUCCUAAAUGCUUUGAUCUACCUGAAAAGUAUACAAAUAUCGGAGUUAAAACAGAACAGAUGAAAUCGUAUUGAUGAACUCAACUGAGAUAAAUGACAAAAGAAAACUAACUUUUCCUGUUCAAAACUCGCACACCUUCCUUUAAGAGCUGACUUUCCAAGAAGAGAUCACCACAAUCGUUCACAUCAACAGUCUCCACUUGAAAAUUUUUAUAACCACAAUAGUCAUUCCAUUCAAACCACAUCCUUGAGAUCAGUUCCUUCUUCAAGCAAGUGGGAUGGUCUUCCUCUUGAGGAGACUCAGCAGCAACCAAUCAAAGCACAAUAAAGAUAACAUCCAGAAUAAUGAUCCAAAUUUUUGUGGACUUACAUGCAAAGAAUGAAAUUGGUUUAAACUCGAUUCCACAAUUCAAGAGUUAAUGAGUUUAUCUUGAUUCUGUAGCAUGUCUCUUCUGCUUUAAAACCAGAUCUGGGGAACCCCAUUCUUAUUACAACAUGUGAAGGAGUGUUUGUGUAUUGUUGGCAUGUUCCCAGGUUCUGUUCACGGAUUCUGUUUGCAGACAUGGCUAACUCCUCGUUUCAUCAGAUAAGUUUCAAAGUCUGGCAACUUUUUGUUGUAAAAAUAACUAUUUCAUUAUUCAAUUCAUGAGUUUUCCUUCUAUGGUGCAUCUUUCUCAUUGGCUGUAGUUUCAAAAUUUUUAGGCUCUUCCUGCAUGACCUCUUUUUCUUCUCUAAAUAGAUAAAAUUUGUUUUUCAUUUUUCUCUUGCGAGGGUACAGGUUCAUGUUGAAACUUUCUGUUAGUUAAAUUGAUUGUCUUUGAUAUUCGAACUUCUAGCUGAACUAGUUUGCACUUCGAAUAUAUGAGAUUACCAACUGUAACGGGAAUUGGUGCCAAAUUGAUUAUGUUAUCAGGUUUCCCAGUCUGUGUUCAUCUUGUCUUCUCUGAUUCUUUGGCUCCUGUCAAAUAUAAACUUGUAAAGACAUUUUGUUUUGGCAUGGCACAUGCUAGAUUUUGUUUUUGGUUUGAAUGAUAUUAGACAUCUAAGUAAUUGUCCAAAUUUUUUCGUUCCUAGUGACAAGGCAUUCAAUUGAAAUGGUGACUCAUGAAUCAUGAUUGUGUGUGUUGGUAUUUGUUAUACUACGCGUAAGACAAACUUUGUUGAAACUGACAUACUUUUCUCUAUGGAGAUUGAAGACAACAUAAUAAGAUAAAAUUUAUCCAAAACAUAUAUACUUGAAAGGGCUGGAACGUCUGUUAUUAGUCCUCGCCUUCCAUUCUUGUUUCCUAUUCUUCUGCUAACAAAUCUUGAUCACGAUAGUCUUCUCUUUCUAUACAACCCACAUAUAAAGUCUUGGCCAUAAGCCUCGAGGCCUAUUCUCUUUUGCAGUGGUGAGUUCACUCUCAGGAAUCGGAUCCUUCAAAUUCGAGCGAAUUUGAAGAAACUGCAAAAGCCUACAAAGCAAAUGGUGUAGAGAACCUUGCACUUAUCACGGGCACAGGAUUACUCUUGACUUUCUGCAUUUUACAGUUGGCUAUGGUUUGAUGCAUUAUUUAUUGUUCUCAAAUUAUAUUCUCGUUGGAAGUUCAAUCAUUACUGUUUCUUUUUUCCCCCCUUUUCACUUGAAGUUACCUGAAGUUCCAUGCAUGCUCCAAUAGAACGAGUAAUGUAGGUGCUGACCAACCCAAAAUAAGUAGUCAGUUGCCUAGUAGUUGCUUUGCAUGAAAUUUGUUUUUGGUAUGAAUAAUGUUGUCUUAAUUUUACAAGCUUCCAUGCAACUCCUAAUUUGUUGGAAGUAUUAACUCAACCCGUCAUUUAAGGUUAGAUUUAAUCAUUGACUUAUGUUGACUAUUAAAAGUACUAUAAUAUUCUAUAAAUAUAACGAAACCUACUUUAUUAACAAAUAUAAAAAAAUCAAUAAUAAAAAAUAACUAAAGUUGAAAUCCAAGGAGCAACCUCUAUCCUCUUACAAGUUGUUAAAUAUUAGAGUAGAUAGAGGCAUAUACUUUUCUUCAUGAUUCAGAAUCAUAUCUCAAAGUCAAAUAAAAUUCUCAAUGAUUGCAUGCCUCAAUACCAUUAAGAUGAACUAGACCAUCAUGAAUUUUUGUGCAUCUUGCAAGGUCCAAUUUCUCCAAGUUUAUCAUCAAGCCAAAAAAUGUCAUAAUUCCUUUUAUAGUAAUUUCAUAGUGUUUACUAAACUGAUAAUAGAAAUGGACUGAAACACAAAUAUGGAUGACAAUGGGGAGGGGGGAGGGGGAGGGGGGAGGGGACCAACAUCUCCGUACCCAUUCUUGAUGUUCUGUAUAUGUCCCCAUCCCCUUCCCGUCCCCAUCAGAAUUGCUUGAGGGGAUUCUUGUCCCCUCCCCGAAUAAUAACAGGGAAUCUCCGAGGGUCCUCGAUCCCCAAAUAACUGAUAUAUUUGUUUAGUUUUCAAACUUAAUUUAAUCAUAUUAACCUAAAAAUAUAUAAAAUAAAAUGAAAAUGAUCAUGAAUGAGCCUUAUAUUUCAUUCCACUCCUUCAAACUUUUGGUAUAUAUAAUAUUCAAAUAAUGAUUUUCAAAACAAAAUUCAAAUAAUGUGAUUUUUAUACAAUAUUGACGUGAUUGUUGUCCAUGAGUAACGAUACAUGUUGAUCAUCGACUAUGAUGCAACAAAGCCGCAUGUGUGGCUGCUAGUUGACGUUGCGAUGAGUUAGGCUACUCAAACACUAACAACGCAACGUGCUAUUGGGCUAUGAUGAGAUGAAGACGAGUUGGGUGCUUACUACUGCAUGAAUAAUUUGGAAAUGAUGAGCAAGACUGUGAGAAAGUGAUUUAGAGUUUGAUUUGUGAGUUAUGAGCUUGUGGGAUUGUGUGCUUUUGGUUGUAAUUAAGUCUAAAUUAUAUUAAACAUUUUAUAUUAACUAAUAUUUAUAUUAUUUGUAUAAAUAUUUUGAUAUUUGUUAUUUACACCAAUAUUUUAUAUUUUACAAUUUAAAAUUUAUUAUUUAUUGACUAAUAAUUCUAGAAAAAUAAAAAUAAAAUAAAAUAUUAAAAUAGGGAAAUGGGGAGGGGACAAGGAUUCCACCUCAUCCCCAUCCCUUCACUGAAUAAGUAAUUGGGUAAAAAAUUGUCCUCGUCCCUUCCCCGAAUAAGAAGUGUGGUAUAAAAUCGUCCAUGUACUCUCCCCAAAUGGGUAAAAUCCCCAAGGGCCCCCAUCCCCAUGGGGAUUUCUGCCAUCCCUAAAUUAGAAUAAAUUAUUUAUUUAAAUUGUAGGAAUCAGAAUCAAAAUAAACUGGAUUGUCAUUGAUGUGUUUAUUUUGUCUUGGAAUUGAAAUCAAAAUGAGUUACAUUUUAACAACUUACUGAAAAGUGAUUAAUGAGCUAUUGUCAUAAUUAUUAUUUUAUAUUUUAAUUAUGGUAAUUAUUUAUUCAAAAAUUAUAAUUAUAAUUAUUGUUAAUAAUAUAUUCAUAUAUUAAUUAAUUGAAAAUUAUUUAAAUUAAUUAAUUAUUAAUAUAUUAAUAUAUUAAUUGAUUAAUUAUAAUAAUACAUUAAUUAAUUAUAACUAAGGACAAAAUAGAUAUUUUUUAUUUUGUGUGGGGGCAAAAUGGUCAUUCCAAGGAAUGGGAGACUCAUUCCAGCCUCCCUUGGGAAUUAAUCUUCCAUUUGCCUUUCCCAAAUUGCGGUGGACUCAACGAUUUCAAUUCCGAUUCUUGACUCUAUUUUGUGAAGUAAAUGCUCUCAAUAAUUUCGAUUCCUCAAUCUGAAGAAGUAAACGCACAGUUACUGUUUCUUCUAAAGCUCAAACUUGUCAGGUUUGAGAGACCUGAUAGAUACUUCAGUCAUGCAUCUACUCCAUCAUAAGACAAACUGAAAGUUAGAAAUAAAAGGGACAACUCAAGGAAAAUGCACACAAGUGAGGUUUCAAAAUUAAAAUAGACACUUCAGCUGCAAAUCAGCAUACACAUACAAUGGAGGUCAUACAAAUAUAAUUUCUACAACCGCCCUAAUGUAUUCUUGAAUGAAGAUGGUUUAAAGUCAAGUAAUAAGAUAUUUAAACUUAAGACAAAACAAUACAAUUAAAUUUGCUGGAACUUAUGAGUAACUUACUCUCAUCUCUCCUCCUAAUUUAAUUGGAUAGGCGUAAAUUUUCCAUGUUAAUAUGGAUGAAGUAAAUUUUCUUUUUAUAAUAUAUCUAUGCAUUAAAAAAAUUAAUAAUAAUAACUUUUACAAGCAUUUAUGCUUGUAUUAAUACUCUACUUUUUACUACACGAUUGCUUCAGUAUAUGGUGGAUGUUAAGAUAACAAUAAUACUAGAAUUACAAACACUUGCAUACAAUUAACUAACUUAACACUAUGAUAUUGUUUACUGUGUAAGCACUCGAGGUGAUGUUAAUAUGCCAAAGAUUUAAAAAUAUUAGUUCUAGCUUUUGAAGAAAAAUAUACUUUCAGUCAGAAGGGAAAAAAACGAAAAAAAAAGCUUUCUAACAAGAUAUCAAAAUGGUUAAUAAGAAGAGCAGUAGUAAUGGGGUAAAAGCUCGUUUAAUUCCUAUAUUUUGAGGUUAGUACUUGAUUAGUUCCUAUAUUUUUAAAAAUGCUUCAAAACAUCUUUGCCGUUAAAUUAUUGACACCCCUGUCGUUACUUUGUUUUCAUUUUACCUUACUUUUACAAUAUUACCCUUUUUGCAAUAUUGUUUCUUUUUUUGGACAUUAAUAAUAAAUAAAAUUACCAAUUUAACCCCAAAAAUAAAAUAAAGACAAAGAAAAUAUAUAUUAAUCUUUGUCGAAACUAUGUCAAAAAAAUAAAUAUUGUAAAAAAAAUUUAACUACUAAUUUUUUAGACAUUAAUAAAAAAAAUUAAUAUAUUAACUCCUCGUGGAGUAUUCAAAAAAUUAAUAUAGAUUUUUUUUUGUUUCUAUUUUACUUUUUUGGGUUAAAUUGAUAAUUUGAUUUUUCUUGUUAUUAAUGUCCAAUAAAGAAGAAAUAUUAUUAUACGAAGGUAAUAUUGUGAAAGUAAGUUAAAUAUUUAAAAAAAUAAAUAAAAAUCGCAUGAGUACUGUGCAAAGAUCGAUUGUUGUAGUUAAUUGUUUUUUUUUUUAUAUAAAAGGAAUCAUAACCUUCAUUCAUUAGAAGACUGGAACAAAUACCAGAUAUUUUCUGGAAAUGGGUUCUCCCAUAUGACAGACUCCUCACAACCUAGAGCCAAUCUAGCUAAAGAGUGUGCAAUGGAAUUACAAUGUCUUGGAGUAUAUUGGACUUUAACAUUACAAAAAUCCUUGACUAGCUCUUGAAUUUCCGAUAUCACCCAGAAGACUUCAGAUCUAUUACUCUUCUUGUUGUUGAGCAGAUCCGAAACACCUUGAGAAUCAGUUUCCACUAUGAUCGAAGCCAUAGAAAUAGAUCUUGCAACCUGCAGACCCCAUUCUACAGCCUCUGCCUCAGCAAAGAUUAUAUCUCCAUAAAACUUAAAUGGCUUUACUGCAGCAGCAACCACACUCCCAUCAAAGUCUCUUAGGACAAAUCCCAAUCCUGCAACUUGUUUCUCAAUCUUUGUGGCUGCAUCUACAUUAAUUUUAAUCCAUCCUUGUGGGGGUGGUUUCCACCGCUGCUGCUUAACAGUUAUCUUGCUCUCCAAGUGUGAUGAGUUGGGAAUUUUGACUCGUUUAUAUGAGUCCAACACAGCCUCAGCUUUUGCCAUGGAAACCAGAGGGUCCACCUUCUUUCCUUCGAAUAGAAAAAGGUUCCUUGCUUGCCAAAUUGACCAAAAACAAGCCACCAACAAUUCAAAAUCUGUUCGAUUUAGCAUUUCUGUCAUACCUUGCAGCACAUACGACAUACUUUGCUCUGCAAAUGUGUAAACCUUAUCCACACAAGAGACCAUUUUCCAUACCUUCCUAGCCAUUUUGCAAUCCACCAAGGCAUGAGAGAUGUUUUCCAUAGUUUUUUUACACAGUUGACAAGUAGGAUCUGGGAUCACGUUUUUGCUCCAAAGAUUCUCAACUGAUGGUAACAAAUUCCGGGCAACUCUCCACAUGAAGAUUUUAAUUUUUUCAGGCAGCAAACAAGUCCAGAUAGCCUUCCAAAUACUUGGAUCCGUAACUGAGCAACUAGGGGAGUCCUGGAAUUUUAUUUGCUGAGCAAUCUGAUAUCCACUUUUGACAGUAUAAUUGCCUUGCUUAUCAUAAUGCCACAUGAUCUGAUCUGGCUUUGGUCUUCGCGGGAGAGGAAUGCUGGUAAUUAAUUCUGCAUCUUCCUUUAUAAAAUGUUGGAACACUUUAGUCACAUUCCAGUUUUGGUUAGAAUCAAUCAACUCAGAUACCACAGCCUCAUUUGGGAUAGUUGGAGAGGAGAUUGGUCUGAACGUUUCUGGUCUUGGGAUCCAGUUGCUGUUGUGAACUUGCACUUUGUUCCCUGAACCAAUCCUCCAUCUGCUGCCCUUUUGGAUUACAAGUCUCCCCCACACAAUACUUUUCCAGAUAUACGAAGGAUUUGACCCCAGUUUUGCCUGCAAGAAGUCAGAUUGCCUGAAGUAUCUUGCUUGCAAAACUCGGGCUGCUAAAGAAUCUGGAAACUGUAAAAUCCUCCAUCCUUGUUUAGCUACUAGAGCAUGAUUGAAGCACGAGAACUCCUUGAAUCCCAUUCCACCUCUGCAUUUUGCUUUACUUAUCCUCUCCCACUUAGCCCAAUGAAUGCCUCUCUUAUCAUCCUUAGAUCCCCACCAAAAUCUAGCAAUAAUUUUCUGCACAUCUUCACACAACCCCAGGGGAAUUUUGAACACGCUCAUGGCAUAAGUUGGAAUAGCUUGGGCUAUUGCUUUGAUGAGGACCUCUUUACCACCACUAGAGAAGUGUUUGUGCUGCCAAUUUGAAAUCUUACUCUUCACUCUGAGCUUUAAAUCAUCAAAAAAAUUCCUUUUGUUUCUUCCAACCAUGGAUGGCAGCCCUAGAUAUUUUUCGUGCCUGGAAACGACCUUCAACUGAAAAAUUUCUUUAAUGGCAGCCACUUGAUCAGCUUUGGUCUUGCAACUGAAAAACAUUGAGGAUUUGUCUAGGUUGAAAAGUUGUCCCGAAGCCAUUCUGUAACAGUCAAAGAUUGCCUUGAGAUGCUUACAAUCAUCUAUUGUUGCCCUCGUGAAAAUUAGGCUAUCAUCUGCAAACAACAAGUGGGAUACCGUGAUGGUGUUUCCAAAACUCACUCCAUGUAUAAGAUUCUGGUUUUCUGCCUGCAUUACUAAGCUGGAGAACACCUCAGCACACAAAAUAAAAAGAUAUUGAGACAACGAACAACCUUGUCUAAGCUCUCUUUGAAGUCGUAUCAACCCUUUUGCAACCCCAUUAAUAAGAACUGAAAAGGAUGCGGUGGUAAUACAUCUCAUUAUUAGAUCAACCCAACCAGGGGAAAAUCCUAACCUAAGCAUUGUAGCUUUUACAAAAGACCACUCCACUCGAUCGUAGGCUUUGUUAAUGUCUAAUUUUAGAGCCACUAGACCAUUUUUCUUUCCUUUGCUAUGACGAAUUUUAUGAAGACAUUCAUACCCAAUGAUAACAUUGUCAGUGAUGAGUCUAUUGAGAAUAAAAGCACUUUGAGUGGGGGAUAUGAUCGUAUUGAGUAAGUGUUUAAGUCUAUUUGCAAUGGUUUUUGCCACUAAUCUAUAGAUUACAUUACAAAAACUUAUGGGUCUGUAUUCAGUCACUUUCCUUGGUUUCUCAACUUUAGGAAUGAGUGCAAUAUAUGUGUGAUUGAGUGGAGCAAGAGUACCUUUCUCGUUGAGCACAUGGAGGCAUGCAGUGAUCACCCUUUCACGGACAGUUUCCCAAUGCUUUUGAAAAAACACCGCUGGCAGUCCAUCAGGUCCAGGGGCUUUGGUGAGGCACAUCUGCGCCAAGGCUGUUGUUAUCUCAUCUUCAGUAAAGGGCUGUUGAAGCUCUUCAUUCAUUUCAUCCGAAACUUUUGGAACUAGACUUGCCAGGGCAGCUUCUAGUUGGUCAUGAGUAGGAUUCGAAGACUUGAAAAACGCCUCAAAAUAGUCACAAAACUCCUUCUCUACUUCACUUUUAUCCUUAAUCCAGUUGCCUUGUUCAGUUUCAAUUCCUCUGAUCUUAUUCUUUCUUUUUCUGGAGGAGGCUUUUGAAUGGAAAAACUUUGUGUUCUUGUCUCCCUCUUUCAGCCAAUCCGCUCUCGAUUUCUGUUUCCAGUAUAUCUCUUCAUCGAUCAGAAUGUUAGCAAUUUGCUUCUCAAUCUUUUUUAUCUCAGCUCCACAUUCAUAAGGCUUCUCGCUUUGUCUGAUCAGCUGCAACUCAUUCACUAAUAAUUCCAGCUUCUUUUUUCUCUCCCCAAACUCUUCUUUGCUCCAGAUUCUCAGGUGAGCCAUUGAUGUCGUGGCUGAUUUUUUGAAAAGUUGCACUGGGUUUGCAUUUGUCCCCCCUCCAUGUCUAGUCCACUCAUUCUUAACAAUCUCUUUACAAGCAUCGUAAGAGCUCCACAUAUCCUCAUAGUGGAUUCUACGCCAACUCUUCUUUUUACAAAUUUGCUCUACACCCUUCUUAACCACUUCCAUCAUAAUGGGGCUAUGAUCUGACGUCCAUGACUCUAAGUUUGUAGUUACCAAUUCUUGAAAAUGAUUACCCCACUCCUUAUUACAUAAAAAUCUGUCUAUUCUCUCUUCUAUAAAGUUUGGCCCAUAUCUUUGGUUUGACCAUGUGAAAAAACUCACUGUGCAACCCAAAUCAACUAAGCUACAUUCUCUAAUAGCAUCUCUAAACUCAGAAAUCAUAUUAACAUCCCUAGCAUUACCUCAUUUCUUCUCACUUAAAUGUAAAAUUUCAUUGAAAUCACCAAAGCAUAACCACGGUAAGGAAGAUAAGAUUGCUAACCGUUUCAUUAAAGUCCAUGUGUGCCUCUUCUGAGCUGUUUCUGGGUGUCCGUAAACCCCCGUACAUCUCCAAUUCGGUCCUCCUUCAUUAUAGAUCUCAGCAUCUAUGUGGUGUUGACUGUAAGAGACUAUAUUUACAUCUAUGUCAGAGCUCCAUAACAUUGCUAGACCCCCUCCUAAACCAUUCCUGCUUACGGUAAAACAAUUCUCAAAAUUUAAUUCGACUCGAACAUUGUUCAUCUGCAUAGGUAGCAUUUUUGUUUCGCAUAAGAAGACAAUUUGCGGCCUAUGUGUUUGGAGAAUUUUCUUGAGUGACGUCCGGGAAUUCCUCAAGCCCCGGACGUUCCAACUGAGGAUUUUCAUGGCUCUCGGCGAGGCUGACCCUCAGCCUCCGCCGAUAUUUCUUCGAUAGUUAACCCUAUCACCUCCAUUUCUUCCAUAUCUGAUGCUUCUGAGUUUGCACUUGCAUUAAGUGUUGCUAAGAAAAACACUCCAUCUUGUGCUACUGCCCUCUCCACCGAACUACUCAUAUUUAGUUUCUUUGCUUCUGGGUACCGUUUUUCCGCUUCUCCUCUAGGCCGUUUCUUUACAAGUGAACCCAUUUUGUUUUCAUCCUUAGAACAUGUGUCCCUGGCCAGAUGCUUCCAUUUUUUUUAAUUUGGGCUUUUUCUUGGUUGUUACUUCUCCUUCAUUUGAAAUUGUUUGGGCUUUAUUUUUUAAGCCCAUUAACCCCAAACUUUGGCUUUCCUUUGUAUUCUCUAGUUCCUGCCACUUUCCUCCCGCUUCCUUUUCCACAUUCCCCAACAUCUGAUUCUUGCCAGCUAUUGUGGUCAGAUUAUCACAGCCAACUUGUUGUUCCAUCGGUUUUGCUCCCUCUAGCAUUAAUGUUUCUACACCCAUCUCAGCCACGUGGCUUUUACUCGUUGGUGUUGUAGCUCCACCCAUUUCAAUCCGGGUUGUUUCUAACCCGUUUCAUGAGUCUGAGUUGGGAUGUUUCUGGUUUUGCUGUUGAUUUUCAUGACCUUUUUGGUUUGCCGAUUCCUCCUCCCUUGAAUUGUUGCCUCUAUUCCAUCUAUUUUUGGCUUUAUGAGAAUUAGCCCGCUCAGACAUUGUAACUGCUCUCAUCCAUGGGCCGAAUGCAAGAUCUUCUUGUUUCUGAUCUUUAUAUUUGAUACAUUCUCUAAAAUGAUGGCCAAUGUUUCCACAGCAAAAACAAAAGCCUGGUAAUCUCUCAUACCUAAUCGGCAUUGGUAUUUUCUCCUCACCCUCUGGUUCCAAGAAAAUGAUUUUCUUUAAAGGCUUUGAGAUAUCCACUUUGAUUCUGACUCGUGCAUACUCCCCAAGGCAUUCCCCAUUUUCGCUUGUCUCCACCUCCUCGACUGUACCAAUAAUGGCUCCCAACCUUGAGAUAGCGUCUGUAUUCAUAGCCAUGAUGGGCACAUUUAGGAUUUGAACCCAAAAAGAGACAUGAGUAAAGGCUUGCUUCGCAAUAUUUCCAAUUCUAGUUGGCUCAAUCAGUACUAACAAAGCUCUAUUAAAGUGCCAAGGCCCCCCUGUUAACACUCUUCUUUUAUCAGCUUCCAAUGCAAACUUGAACAAGAAGAUGUUUUCCCCCAGGUUUUCAAUUCUCACUCCACGUAUUGUUCUCCAGACUUGGUGCAUUGCCGCUCUAAGCCCUUCGAUACUCACUCCCCUUGUGGUCAGGAUCUUCCCGACUAGACAUCCUGCAGCAAUUUCAGCACCUUUUGUUUCAUGUUUCCAAUAAAAGAAACCUUAUCCUCUUCUUCCCCUUCUAAGGAAAUGACCCUACACUUCUUAAUAAGUUCUUCUGUCUCCAUAGUAGUUCAAUCAAAAAAUAAUUAAGCUCACCAACCACACUUUAUGGUUUUUAACUCGCUGAACCCCCUGACGAUUAAUGGGGAAACGAUUUAUCUAUUGCAGCUCACACUUUUAGACUGCUCAAAAUACACACAAAACGGAACUGACCCACUCACUCAACUGGGAGUGACAAAGCUGAGCCACUAGGACCCCAUUAUCCUUCCAUUCGUGAUUCUCUUUCCAGAGAAAAGAGAUUUUCGAAGAAAGACUACCGCAUGAUUGUUGUAGUUAUUGUUGAUGUUAUUAUUACUAGCACCGAAUUACAUAUUAUUAAAUUAUUUUAAAUAUUACAAAUUAAAUUAUUUUUAAAUGAGUGAUAAAACCUGAUCAUUUAAUAACCAUGCCCAUUUAACAUAUUUAAACAUAAAAUUUCGUGUCAAAUUAUGUUUGAGUAUAAGGAUAAUGUAAGAUAAUUGGUACUUUAAUUUACAUUUAUGUGCCAACUGAAUAAAGUUCGCUAUUUAAAUUAAAUUAGAAACGGUGAAAUUCAAAAAUUAACUAUUAUUUAUCCAUUCAAACGCAGAGACACAAUUUGUCACGGUUCCAAAAGCAUAGCAUCAUUGAAAGUACCAUAUCCCACUUGUAUUAAUAUUCGGAAGAAUGGAAGGUUCGAUUUUGGUAAUUCUUUUCUUCUUCCUCAACCCCAAAUAAUCAAAAGCUCUCCAAUGGCUUUCGUAUCCUCAACUCGUUCAUUUCAUUUUACUUCAAUUUCAAUAUCGGCUCUUAGAUGUAAUUUCUCCUCUUCGUUCCCUCAUACCAGAAAACCUAAAUCUUCAAUUUCGAAAAAUGAGCCCUCAGAUCCGACUGCAACAGCUAAACUUAAGGAGUCGCUACGACUGACAGUCAAAGACGGAGCCUCACUCGAAAAAUUUCUCAAAGAAAGGUGCAAAUCAUCAGGUCAAGGUGAUAUUAAUCUUAUUACUCCUAAUGAAGCCUUGUGUAUCUUUGAUUACAUGCUCAAUAUGCGCCCUUCUCCGCCUCCUGUCACUUCCUUCAAUCUUUUGUUUGGUUGUCUUGCUAAGACUAAACAUUAUGAAACUGUCCUUUCACUCUUCAAGAGACUCAAUUCCACUGGGUUGUUUCCGGAUCAUUAUACUUACAACAUAUUGAUUAAUUGCUUUUGCAAAAUGGGUCGAGUUUCUCAUGGUUUUGUUGUUCUUGGGAGAAUCCUCAGGUCUUGUUUUACUCCAAAUGCUGUGACCUUUACUUCUUUGAUUAAAGGUUUGUGUGCGGAGAGUAGAAUCAUGGAGGCUGCCGCAUUGUUUACGAAACUUAGAGUGUUUGGUUGUAAGCCUAAUGUUUUUACAUACAAUACUUUGAUUAAUGGAUUGUGUCGAACUGGCCAUACAAUUGUUGCUCUAAAUUUAUUUGAAGAGAUGGCUAAUGGAAAUGGGGAAUUUGGUGUUGUUUGUAAGCCAGACGCUGUUACAUACACUACUAUUAUAGAUGGUCUUUGUAAGGAAGGUUUUGUGGACAAGGCCAAGGAACUGUUUCUGCAGAUGAAGGAUGAGAAUAUUAACCCCGAUGUGGUUACCUAUACCUCUGUGAUUCGUGGUUUUUGUUAUGCUAAUGAUUGGAAUGAGGCCAAGUGUUUGCUAAUUGAGAUGAUGGACCAAGGGGUACAGCCUAAUGUUGUGACUUUCAAUGUGAUCAUGGAUGAGCUCUGCAAGAAUGGGAAGAUGGAUGAAGCAAGUAGGUUGUUGGACCUGAUGAUUCAGCGUGGUGUGCGUCCAAAUGCUU